UUUACAAAUGCUCCUGAAACGUUUCAAGAACUCAUGAAUGAUGUGUUCAAGCCCAAACGAUUUGUGUUGGAUUAUUAAGAACUUGCACUUACAUUUCAAACACAUACACCUGACAAAACAUAGACAUAACACCACACGUAGGGCCACACAAAUAUAUAUAGUAAUAUAUCGUAUCAUCUACAGGUACGGUGCCAAAGUAAUUUAGCGUAGAUCCAGCCAUAGGUAUCCGUGGCAUCAUCGUUCACAGUCAGCAUGUGCGUGCACAUGCAUUGAUGCAGCUUAUUUUAAUUCCACAUUACGCUGCGCGUCAUAGUAUACCCAGCGCGCAGACUAUUAUAUAGCACUAACUACAUGACGGGGUAGGCACCGUACAUGCCACACAGCCCGCGGGGCCCGUCGGCUCCUCUGCGCACGAAGAAGAAGCCCUUCUGACCCCAUGUCUGCCCCCACGAGUUCUUGGCGAUCCAGUACUCUUCUCCGGCGCCGGUGACCCCGUAGCCGACCACCGUCACCACGUGGUUCUGGCUGGUGGUGCACGGCCCCUUGUACACGCCGGACUUGUAGUUCUGCAGCACGGGGCCGCUCCCGUCGAUUUGGACAGUCACCGGCGUCCCGAGCACGGCCAGCGCCAGCGCGCUCUCGCUGCUGCCCGGCCGUACAUCCUGGACGCCGGUGAUUUUGCCGACGCGGCGGGCUGCGUCAUGCACCGCGCAUCUGCCUCGCUUGGCCAAGUAGGGGUACUCGGCCUCCGUGAGGAGGCCGCCUUUUGAUUUGAUCCAUUCGAGUGCGCUCUUGGGCCACCCAUAGCCGCAUGGCGAGCUGAACACACCCGUGCUGCAGUCAACCAGCUCCUGCACGGACAGGUCAACCAGCUCCCCGCCCUUUAUCUUGUUCAAGCUCUCCACCGUCGCCGCUGCAGCAAAUGCCCAGCAGCAUCCUACAGCAAUAUUGUGCAACAAGGUUGUUUCAGGUGUGUAACCAGUAACCACACGCAUGCAUGCCAUAUAAAUUGCUUACCACAUGCCCCUUGUUGCUUGGCAGGCGUGACAACACCAUGUUCCCUCCAGUCGAACUGCCGGGGAGGGUCAGCGGCGGUCAUCGUUAAAUUACGAUCCUCCUCGACGGCGUUCUUGGAUGAUACUGCCUGCUCUUCAACAUCUCCGACUAAAGUAGUGAUGAGACCACCACCAUCACCGGCUCCACCAUAAGCGCCACCGACAUACCGCGCCAUGAACUCCUCAUUAGUGAGGUCGGUGAACUCGUUCUCACCGAGCUCAUAGCCGAGCCUCUCGGCCUCCCUGUUGGAGGCAUCGAUGAGGUCCACGUUGCGACGGUACACCUCAAACCGCCGCAGCUUCUCGGCGGCACUAUGGUACGUCCGUCCAUGCGCUGACAUCCACCGGUGGAACCUACCCAGCAUCAGCAGGUCAUGGUCGUCUCCAUCGCCGGACAUGGCACGGGAGGAAGGUAAUGUGGUGCUGGAGAGGGUGACUAGGAGGACGAGGAGAGGCAACGAGCGUAAGAGGGGAGCCAUGCCCAUGUGUUGAUGCAAGAACACUUGAUUUUGGUGAUGGUGGCGAGGGUUCUCAGUUUCGUGGGUCGUUUAUAUAGUGGGGGGAUAUUAAGCUGAGGAGGCUGUGGCCGUCGAGAUGCCAAUUAUUUGCUCGGCAUGCAUGAUGUGGAGUUGUGGCAUGCCUACACCUCACAUCAUGCUAUUGUUAGGCAUUGGUGUCAUUAAUUAUGUGAUGCUAGCUCACAUGCUAUGCUCGUCCGUGGCAUGGCUAUGUAAUUUUUAUCCGGGUAUAUCUACGGCUACCGAUAACAUUAUUAAUUUGUUUAUACACAUCAAGGAAAAUUAGAAGGCAAUGGUGUUAGUAUAUGAUGAUUGCUCUCCAUGGCCCAUGUCAUGCUUGUACUCCCUCCGUCCGGUAAUACUUGUCAUCAAAAUAAAUAAAAAGAGAUGUAUCUAGACGUAUUCGGACGGAGGGAGUACAUGGCAUGGCUAUGUGAUUUUUAUUUGCCCGCAUAUCACAAUUGUGAAGGAGAUAGAUACAAGGAGGGCAAGUUUUGUUAGCUGAAAUUUUAUGUUCGAGGGCCGAGUUUCAAACAAGGAGGCACACAAUCUUUUAAAAUUUUCUGUUUUGCUUCCUCAGGGUCGUCACUUGUGGCUUCUAUGUCUCUUUUGCAUCCCUAUGAAUUUUGCUUUAAAUUAAUAUAAAAUGUGGGGAUCCCUAAAACAAAUCUACGGCCACCCUUAACUUUACAAGUUUGUUCAUGCAUAUAGAAAUCUCAAAAAUAUUUAGCGGAUCCUAGCAAUUUGACUUUGUUUUUGCUUCUGAAAGUUAGAAAACUGAUGAAUUCUUGCAUGAAACUCUAACUCCAGAUUGUCGAUUCUCCGUAUGGCUUGCACUCUAAAGAAUUCUAAAUUGUAUGAGAGUUAGCAAACAUGGCACGGCUGUAUAAUUUCUAUUUGGGUCUAUCUACAGCUGCCGAUAACAUUAUUAAUUUGUUUACACAUAUACAGAUCGAGAAAAAUUAGGAGACAAUGAUGUUAGUAUAUGAUGAUUGCUCUCCAUUGCCCAUGCCAUGCUUGUACAUGGCAUGGCUAUGUGAUUUUAUUUGUGUCUAUCUACGGCCACCCAUAAGGCCAUAACUUUAUAAAAUUGUCUAUACAUGUACAAAAUUUAGAAAAUGUCCAGCGGGUUGUAGCAAUUUGAUUUUUUCCCCCAAAGUUAAAAAACCGAUGAAUUCUUGCACGAAACUCAACACCGGAUUGAUGAUUCUCUGAAUUGUUUGCACUCCACAGAAUUCUCAAUCGUACUACCUCUGUCUGGUUUUCUUGGUCCUCAUUGUAUUUUCGGCCAAACUUGGAGCACAUAUUAAGCUAGCAAAAUGUUAAUACAUGUCACUAAAAAUUAUAUUGUCGAAUUCAUAUUUAAUAUGAUUUUCAUUGAUGUUAUAUUUGCUUCACAUAACUUAUAUUUUAUUUGUUAAAUUUAUGGUCAAAAUAUAAUAAUAAAAACGAGGAGACUAGUAAACCCGGAUGGAGUGAGAAUUUUUUAGAGAAAAGAUGGAGUGAGAAUUACUAGCAAACAUGUUUUUAUUUUUUAUUUUAUUCCCUCGUGGAUCAUGCCAAGGGACAAGCGGACCCAUGCAUUUGAAAGAAACUGUAUCGCACUGAUUAAGCUAAGAUAUACGAGAAUUUGCUAGUAAUUCUCCAUCAUUUUUCAUUUUACGUGUCUCCAUCAUUGGUGCCCCUUCGAGGUUCCAAGCGGCGCCAAAUAUAUAAUCGCGUGACCAGCUAAAUUACAGGCCUGCACCUAGAGUUUUUUUUUUAGGAACUGGUAGGAGCACUGCCUUUUCUUAUAGAAGAGCGAAAAACACAAUGUAUAGAGUGGCGCACGUUUUAUAUUGACAUGCCCCGCCAACUCUCGUUGCUUAAUUGCCUCAAAGGCCAACAUUGCGACCUCACGGUGCGCCAUCCGUAGUCCAGUGAAAACACACCUAUUUCUUUCCUUCCAGAUUGACAAUAAGGUGUAGAUUAUCAUCCCGCUGCGCCGCCGACGCACUUAAUUUGAUUGGUUUGCAAGCAUCAUGUCCCACCAAUCCGACACAUGGUGGUAACCAGUGGUCGGAAGACCCUCGCUCGUCCAUGAGUUCACCUAGUUCCAGACAACGACCAAGAAGGGGCAAUUCUUACAAAGGUGAUUUUCCGUUUCUGGCUCUUGAAGGCAUAGCAGACACAUGGGAUUAUGUGGCCAACGACGCAGAGCGGGCAUAUCCGCCGUGACGAUUCUUCCAUGGAGGGUGAGGCAGGCGAAGAAUUUGAACUUGGGCUCGACGUGGGCAGACCAGACCUUGGUGGUGUCGAACCUCGGGUGAGAGCCGAAGAAUUGCGCCUCGUAGGCGAAAACAGAGGAGAAGACACCAUUGGUAGUUAGGUUCCAAGAGAUGCGGUCUUCAUAAGCAGGCAACAUGGUUGUCUGGCUGACCCUCACCCAUAGAGACACGAAUUCUCGCAGUUGUUGCAAGGUCUGAAGAAGGGCCACCGUCCUGAUCCAGUUCUCGUUCGUCAACUUGCUGUGCACGGAUCUAUUCUUUCUAGAAGCAGUCUUGUAGAGCUUGGGAGGACCUCUUCCACUCCAGUUGUCAUGCCAGAAAAGGGCCUUUUGCCCAUUGCCUAGAGAGAUGGUGGUGCAGGCACGAAAAAGGCUUUGAUCAGCUUGGUCGCACAACAGUUGAGAACCCACCCAUGGCCUCUCAGGGUCCGUCCAUUGAAGCCAGGGAUCGGCCAAAUCUUUCCAAGUCCAUAAUCCCAAGUGUUGGGAACGUAGCAUGCAAUUUAAAAAAAUUCCUACGCUCACAAGAUCUAUCUAGGAGAUGCAUUGCAAUGAGAGGGGGAGAGUGUGUCUACGUACCCUUGUAGACUGAAAGCGGAAGCGUUUGACAACGUGGUUUGUGUAGUCGAACUUCUUCUAGCUCCGACCGAUCAAGUACCGAACGUACGACACCUUCGAGUUCUGCACACGUUCAGCGCGAUGACGUCCCUCGCCCUCUUGAUCUAGUAAGGUUUCGAGGAAGUAGAUGAGUUCCGUCAGCACGAUGGCGUGGUGACGGUGAUGGUGAAGUAAUCCGCGCAGGGCUUCGCCUAAGCACUACGAAGAUAUGACCGGGGGUGUAAACUGUGGAGGGGGGCUCCGCACACGGCUAACAAUUGUUGUUCAGGCGCUAAGGAAUAGGAAGGGGGGGAGGAGAGGCAGCCAAGGGGGCACCCCAAGUAGGAGGAAUCCUACUUGGGGUCCUCUCCCAAUUCGACCAACCUACUCUCCUAUUCCUAUUCGGAGUAGGAAGGGAAGAGGGGGAAGGGGGAAUCCUAUUCCCUUUUUCCUUUCCUCCUUACCCUUCCCUUCUCCAAUUUGGCAGCCCAUAUGGUGGGGGGGGGGGCACCUGCCCAAUUGUGGCUGGUGCGUUUCCCCUCUUGGCCCAUAAGGCCCAUAUCUUUUGUCGGGGGUGCCCGAAACCCCUUCCGGUGACCCGAUAAGUACCCGGUACUUCCUGAAACACUUUCGGUGUUCGAAUAGCAUCGUCCUAUAUAUCAAUCUUUACCUUUCGACCAUUAUGAAACUACUCAUCAUGUUCGUGAUCUCACCCGGGACUCCGAACAACCUUCGGUCACCAAAUCACAUAACUCAUAUAAUACAAUAUCGUCAUCGAAUGUUAAGCGUGCAGACCCUACGGGUUCGGGGACUAUGUAGACAUGACCGAGACACCUCCCCGGUCAAUAACCAAUAGUGGAACCUGGAUUCUCAUAUUGGCUCCCACAUAUUGUACGAAGAUCUUUAUCGGUCGAACUGUUAUGACAACAUACAUUAUUCCCUUUUUCCAUCUGUAUGUUACUUGCCCAAGAUUCGAUCAACAGUAUCAUCAUUCCUAGUUCAAUCUCGUUACCAACAAGUCUCUUUACUCGUUUCGUAAUGAAUCAACCUGCAACUAACUCAUUAGUCACUUAGCUUGAAAGGCUUCUUAUGAUGUGCAUUACCGAGAGGCCCAGAGACACCUCUCUGAUACUCGGAGUGACGAAUCCUAAUCUCGAUCUAUGCCAACCCAACAAACAUCUUUGGAGAUACCUGUAGAGCAUCAUUAUAAUCACCCAGUUACGUUGUGACGUUUGAUAGCACAUAAGGCAUUCCUCUGGUAUCCGGGAGUUGCAUAAUCUCAUUGUCGAAGGAAUAUGUAUUUGACAUGAAGAAAGCAAUAGCAAUAAAACUGAAAAAUCAUAAUGCUAAGCUAACGAAUGGUUCUUGUCCAUCACAUCAUUCUCCUAAUGAUGUGAUCUUGUUUAUUAAAUGACAACACAUGUCUAUGGUUAGGAAACUUAACCAUCUUUGAUUAACAAGGUAGUCUAAUUGAGGCUUACUGGGACACGGUAUUUUGUCUAUGUAUCCACACAUGUAUCAAGUUUCCGGUUAAUACAAUUGUAGCAUGAAUAAUAAAUAUUUAUCACGAAAUAAGGAAAUAUAAAAUACAACUUUAUUAUUGCCUCUAGGGCAUAUUUCCUUCAGUCUCCCACUUGCAGUAGAGUCAAUAAUCUAGUUCACACCGCCAUGUGAUUUAACACCAAUAGAUCACAUCUUUAUGUGAUUAACACUCAUAGUUCACAUCUCCAUGUGACGAACACCCAAAGGGUUUACUAGAGUCAAUAAUCUAGUUCACAUCGCUAUGUGAUUAAUAUCCAAAGAGUACUAAGGUGUGAUCAUGUUUUGCUUGUGAGAGAAGUUUAGUCAACGGGUCUGCCACAUUCAGAUCCAUAUGUAUUUUACAAACUUCUAUGUCUACAAUGCUAUUUAUGGAGCUACUCUAGCUAAUUGCUCCCACGUUGAAUACGUAUCUAGAUUGACAGUUAGAGUCAUCUAGAUCAGUGUCAAAACUUGCAUCGACGUACUCUUUAUCACCUCCAUACCGAGAAACAUUUCCUUAGUCCUCUAACUAAGGAUAAUUUUGACCAUUGUCCAGUGAUCUACUCCUCGAUCACUAUUGUACCCCCUUGCCAUACUCAUGGCAAAGCACAUAACAGAUCUGGUACAUAGCGUGACAUACUUUAUAGAACCUAUGUCUGAGGCAUAGGGAAUGACUUUCAUUCUCUCUCUAUCUUCUGAUGUGGUCGGGCUUUGGGUCUUACUCAACUUCACACUUUACAAUAGAGGUUAUAACUCCUUUGACAAGACGAUUGGUGCACUGAAUGGUUGUUUCUCUCAUGUUUUUUCAACAGGCACAACUUGAGCACGUAAGGAAGAAAAUUGCAUACGAGAUUGUGACCAUGAAGGGGAACAAGGGAGAUAUUCCGGAUUUCCUGUACAAGGAGAUCCUUGACUGAUGCGAAGGAGCAGUGGUUAGGACUUCGUACGGCCCAUCAAGAUCCUUUAGUUGCAUUGAUGCAAAGGAAUUAGUCUUCGUUCCUGUGUUUAAGGGACAAAAAUCCCUGACUGAAUUUGAAAGUGCCAUCGCUCUGGGUGACAGAAAUUGGGCUAUUUCUUUGCAGCAAUUGCGCGCAUGUUUGGCGCAAACUUUGAUGAGUUGUCUGAAACUCUGAAUCCCUACUGUUAUAACUAGUGGUGCUGAUUUAGUGUCCUGCUUUAAAUAAGCCAUCUGAAUUCCCAAUGUUAUAACUAGUGGUGCUGAUUUGGUGUCUUGCUUUAAAUAAGCCAUCUGCAUUCCGAAUGUUAUAACUAGUGGUGCUGAUGUGGUCUCUAACUUUACGUAACAGUGUACUCCCUCCGUCCAGAUGUAUAGGGCAUCUAAGAAGAAGCACAGUAAUUUAGGCACAAAGAGAUUGGUCGAGAAGAAGUAAAUCGGACUAGGACUCCAACCAAUCACCGCUCCCUUUUCUUCCUCUUAAAUGGAUUUGUAUACAGCAAUCAAUUGCUAAUUAAUAUAGUGGGGUCGUUUUGACUUUUGCAUGAAGCCCGAUUGCUAGGGGGCGUGCAUGCAUAACAAUUGUGAUUUUCCAGGGAAAUUAAUCACAGCGGGCUGCGUAUGGAUAUGAGGCAUACGAGGCGUUGGAGGAUAACGAGGUUGAAUUAAUAGCUACACGACUUAUACAUUUGGAAUAGCUGAUUUUCGUUAGAUGCCCUAUGCACCUGGACGGAGGGAGUACAAGGGAUAGAAAUCCGUGACUGAAAUUUGAAGAGUCGUCCCUGCAGGUGUUCUUUUGCAGCAAAUGUCAACUGUUUUUUGCUUGCAAACGGCUGCACUUGUACUACCUUCGUCCUAGUUUAUUGGUCCCCAUAGUAUUUUAUGCUAAACUUUGAUCUUAGAUUUAGCUAAGAAAAAAAUAAUGCAUGUCAACAAAAAAUAUAUCCUUAGAUUCGUAUUUAAACAUAGUUUUCAAUGAUAUUAGUUUUGGUUAUAUGCAUUAAUAUUUUGUUAGCUAAAUCUAAGGUCAAAAGUUAGCACAAAAUUCGAAGAGAACCAAUAAAUCAGGACAGAGGUUUUACAAGAUUAUCCAACGAUGUGCUAGAUAUAAUAAGUGCAGGUCGGCAAGGAGGCGGCUCAGGUAAAUGACUGGGCGGUUCCGCUUCACCUGACCAGCGGUCAUCUCAUUCAAUGCACCCAUGAGCUGGCUUUAUUUGCCUGCAUCAAUUACAUCUGCUAUACCUGCAGAAAUACAUCAACCAGCACAGAUCCACAUGCUAGUGGACGGGGAUGAUUUCAGGAGAAUCGAAUAUCUGAUCUCACCCCAUAUAUUUUACAACUCCGAUGAAAUCUGAGUCAAUCGUGGCUUUAAUUGCCACAACGUCUCCAUUUUGUUUUCUUUUUUCCUUGAUUUCUGACAGGAAUCUCGGCAUCGAUGAGCUUUAUAACAGACACAGGGCCUCGCGUACGUACACAGUAGUGCACUCUGGACUGCACCCUCGGAAGUUUCGGACUAUCCUAGGAUCACUGGCCAUGAAUUCGGUGACGAAUUUGCUGUGCUUCGUUCUAGGGGCAGCGGCCACGGCAGCCUUUGUCGCGCUGCUGCUACCUUCUGUUCCGUGCCCGUACCCCAUCGCAGAUGUCGGCAUCAGGAAGCUCAACACGGUUCGUACCUACUCCCUCCGGAAAGAAAUAUAAGAUCGUUUAGAUCACUAUUUGAACUGAAACCGUUCGUUCUCUUUUGUUUCGAUUCUUGUCUUGUCACAUGUCUGAACUUAAACCAUCGUUCGCGUGUGUAGGUCGUGGUCGCAAGCGACGACGACGGGCUCGCGGAGGUGCUCCGCAGCGCGUCCAUGGAGGACAAGACCGUCAUCCUGGCCUUCGUCAAUGAGGCGCAUGCGAUGCCUGGCUCGCUCCUCCAGAUGUUGCUGGACAGCCUCCGCACCGGCGUGAGGACGGAGCCAAUGCUCAAGCACGUGGUGGUGGUGGCCACUGACCCCAAGGGGCUCGAGCGGUGCCGGCGCAUGCACCCGCUCUGCCACCUGCUCUCUGGAGCGAACGGCACCGCUCCCAACGGGUCGGAGCUCAUGUUCUAUGACAAGGACUACGUGGACAUGAUGUGGGCGCGCAACAGGUUCCAGGCGCAGGUGCUGGCGCUGGGCUAUGCCUUCCUCUUCACUGACCUAGACAUCUUGUGGUUCCGGAACCCGUUGUUGCGCAUUCCGGUCGGCGCCGACAUCACCCUGGGCUGCGACAACCAUUUCGGCGCCAACCCGUACGACCUGGACAAGGCCGCCAAUGGCGGGUUCGUGUACGCGAGGCCGACCACGGCAUCCCUGGCCUUCUUCAGGGACUGGUACGAGGCGAGGACGCGGUGGCCCGGGGAGAACGACCAGGUGGUGUUCAGAGAGAUGAAGCACGAGCUGGCCGCGAGGCACGGGGCGACUGUGCACCUGGUGGACACCACCUACUUCCAUAGCGCGUGCGAGGCGUGGAAGAAGUUCAACUUCCAUGAAAUAUGCACCUUCCACGCAGCCUGCAUCCACGGCCUGCAGGACAAGAUCGACAGGCUCAACGCCGUGCUCGACGAGUGGAGGCAGUUCAAGGCGCAACAACUGCUGCUCGGCGCCAACAGCACCGCGCUCACCUACUGAUCAAACUUUCUCGCUUCCUGUUUGGUUUGCUUCCUGUUUUUCUGGAAAAGAUUGACCUGUGCAAUUGUUGGGUUCUCCCUUGUCUACCUAGACUAGUUGAAUGCCCGUGCGUUGUCAUGGAACAAUAAAUUGGGAUGUGGAGACGCUGAUAUCAAAUAUCACUUUGACUCCUGUUUCUAAUGAUUAUGUUGAGAGAAAUACCAUCUUCAAGCGCAUCCUCGCGGCCUCCUCUGCUCUAUCAUCCGCUGCUAACUGUAAACUUUGGGAAUGCUUUUCAUUGAUUGAGACACAGAGUACAUAAUAUACGGGAGCGAGCCCGGACUCAUGUAUGGAUGUAGUGGCGAUCGUGGUGAAGAUCUUUGGACAACUCCNNNNNNNNNNNNNNNNNNNNNNNNNNNNNNNNNNNNNNNNNNNNNNNNNNNNNNNNNNNNNNNNNNNNNNNNNNNNNNNNNNNNNNNNNNNNNNNNNNNNNNNNNNNNNNNNNNNNNNNNNNNNNNNNNNNNNNNNNNNNNNNNNNNNNNNNNNNNNNNNNNNNNNNNNNNNNNNNNNNNNNNNNNNNUGUCACGGAAUGGUGCUGUUGGUAGUCCCUUUGUGAAGAUAUCGGUGAAUUGCGCACUGGUAGGAACAUGGAGAACGCGGGCCUCACCUAGAGCUACAUUCUGUCUUACAAAAUGUAUGUCAAUCUCUAUAUGCUUAGUCCUACGAUGCUGUACAGGAUUACAAGACAAGUACACCAUUGAAACGUUAUCAAAAUAUACAAUCAUCGCCUAACACUAACGACGAGCCGUAUUGUAUCAGUUCUCUUAUGUUGUUACAGACCAGAGUGAGCGUAACAUUGCUGAGCUCGUUAUAUCUUUUCCCCUCUUUAGCUAUCUCUUGCACGCCAUCCUACUUGGUCUUGUAUAGCACCGUACACCAAGGAUGUCUUAUUUCUCGGUAACAUUUGCACUCGCACCACCCCAAAUCGCCGUGGCCUCACCCCAGCUUGCAUUCUCGUUCAGGUCCUCCUAGCCGGCUAGCAUGUUUUCUUAGCCACAUCAUUGUGUCGCACUUGCUAUGUGUGAUUAACAUCGACCCUAUUGUGAUAGAUACUCCCUCCAUUUUUAUAUACAAGUCCACAAACUUAUAUUAUAGGUAUCAAGGUAGAAACUAAUGGCCACGUAAGCCAAUGUUGGGAACUACUCCCUCCGUCUAGGUGUGUAAGUCAUAUUACGAGGAGCUCCACAACCUAGGUGGCUAAGGAUUGGACGAGGCAAAAAAAUCAACAUGAAAACCAUCCAAUAGCUGUACCCCAUGACCAGCCAAAAAUUCAGCAAUCAAUUCUUAAUUAAUAGCGCAGCGUUCGCAUGCAAGCAGGCUUAUUCCCUUGACUAACCAGCGCCUUCUUUCUAUGCAUGCAUAGGUCGCUUAUUUAACAAUUAAUCCCUAAUUAACAGCCAAAGAAGAGAAAGCAUGGGUGGUUAAAUGAGGUGGGAAGAAAACAAGAAAACAAUUAAUGUUACGCGCCUAGGUGAUUUGGGAAUACCUGGUUUUCGUAAAGUGACUUACUCACCUAGACAGAGGAAGUAGUCUUUUCUCCUCGCUUGACGUGUUAAUUAAUGUGUAUUUUUCUCUCCAACGCACAACAAAACAACUCUCUCACUCCUCGUUGGUUGAUUAAUGAGGUGCACUAAAACCUCAUAAAUUUUAUCUCGAUUGGUGUUAGUGGCCUUGUAUAGCUGCAAAUUGUAAUUUUGAUAGUGGCCUUGUAUACAAAAAUGAAGGAAGUAGAUUAGUAGUGCUUACUAUUNNNNNNNNNNNNNNNNNNNNNNNNNNNNNNNNNNNNNNNNNNNNNNNNNNNNNNNNNNNNNNNNNNNNNNNNNNNNNNNNNNNNNNNNNNNNNNNNNNNNNNNNNNNNNNNNNNNNNNNNNNNNNNNNNNNNNNNNNNNNNNNNNNNNNNNNNNNNNNNNNNNNNNNNNNNNNNNNNNNNNNNNNNNNNNNNNNNNNNNNNNNNNNNNNNNNNNNNNNNNGCAAUUUAACAAGCACCGACUUCUUCCUGUAUCUUCUCCACUGACAAUCCUUUAUCCGUGUCUUCUUUUCCGUCCUUAUCCCUGCAUGCCUUUGUAAGUCCCCUCUUUCUCAUUCCUCUAUUGCACGAACAAAUUCAGUAACACCUCUAUGAAACUGAGCACCUCCUGAUACAAGGAGACGACUGAAUAUCGUAUACAUGGUCAUAUACUCCGAGUAUUUAUUCACAAACAUGGUGCUACUUUAAACAAUAAUAACUAGAAGAUGCCUCGUGUGGGAGUUUGUAAACUAGGAUUUCAAGAUAGAUUUGUAAAAUUCAAUUCAACAACGAUUACAGAUAGGAUUUGAACAACCUUAAAACUACGAUUCUCUACUAAUUGAACUACGGGCUCUUCCUCCUCUUGGAGGUGACCUCGCGUGGGAUGGAGACUUGGGUUGCCAUGACUUUCGCGGCCACAUGAUCGACAGGCGCCUGUACAACCUGGAUGUGGGAUACGACCACAUUUUCGUAGCCCAGAGUGAACGUGGCUUCCAUUUCUACACCAAAGGCCGUUGAGAUGCAGUCGAAGUAGUUGAUGGCGGCAGGGAGGCGGGGGCGGCUGACGACUGAUGCAACCUUACACGCGUGCAUCAUCGUUGACCCACUCGGAGUACUGCUACACCCUCUGGCAAAACUUCCUCUUUGCAUGGUCCUCUUUGGUAUCUAUGGGGAAGGUCCACAGGGAGGGCGUGGCCGACAUGGUCGAUGGAGGUGAUUAUAGUGGUGACGGGGAACGACAAAGAAAGGGGUCGGGUGGCGGUGGCAGACUUAGGGAGGCGAUGGGGGUGAGCAUGGCAACAAUGUCGAUCUAGGCGAUUGGGGGAGGGGGUGGGGUUAUACCCGCGAAUGAGCAUGAAACAAGGGGAGAUUUGCCAUGUGCAGGUGGGGAAUGGUUGCAAAACACGUGCCCAAGUAGGAGAUCUAGCUGGGUGCUACCUGAUGGCUCGUGUCCGUGUCAGAUUUUUCCCCGAAGAGUAAGGGAUGAUGCAACACAGCUAUGGUAGGUAUUUCCCUCAGUGAUGAGACCAAGGUUAUCGAACCAAUAGGAGAACCAAGCAACACAAUGUAAAUGGUCACACAAAGAACAAAUACUUGCAACCCGACGGUAAGAGGGGUUGUCAAUCCCUCUCGGGUAAAAGAUAGAAUGGUUUGCAGUUGAUUGGAUAAACCGAUCUCUAUAAACGUAAAAUAAAAUAAAUAAAAAUUGCAGCAAGGUAUUAUUGGGUUUUUAGAAUAAUAGAUCCAAAAAUAAAGUGGCAAAUAAUAGAUCGGAAAAUAAAUAUGAUAAAGAAUAGGCCCGGGGCCCGUAGAUUUCACUAGUGACUUCUCUCAAGAAAAAUAGCAUACGACGGGUAAACAAAUUACUGUUGGGCAAUUGAUAGAACUUCAAUUAAUUAUGACGAUAUCUAGACAAUGAUCAAUAUAUAGGCAUCACAUCCAAUAUUAGUAGACCGACUCCUGCCUGCAUCUAGUACUAUUACUCCACACAUCGACCGUUAUCCAGCAUGCAUCUAGUGUAUUAAGUUCAUGUAGAAAUGGAGUAAUGCAAUAAGAACGAUGACAUGAUGUACACAAGAUCUAUUCAUGUAGGAAUAGACCCCGUCUUGUUAUCCUUAAUGGCAACGAUCAAUACGUGUCUUGCUGCCCCUUCUGUCACCGGGAAAGAACACCAUAGGACCGAACCCAUCACAAAGAACCCCUUCCCAUGGCAAGAAAAAUCGAUCUAGUUGUCCUAACUAAACCAAAGAUUCGAAGAAGAAAUACGAGGCUAUAAAUAAUCAUGCAUAUAAGAGAUCCAAAGAAGACUCGAAUAAUUUUCAUGGAUAAAAUAGAUCUGAUCAUAAACUCAAAGUUCAUCGAAUCCCAACAAACACAUCACAAAAAGAGUUACAUCAAAUAGAUCUCCAAAAGACCAUUAUAUUGAGAAUCAAAAGAAAAAGAGGAUGCCAUCUAGCUACUAACUACGAACCCGAAGGUCUACAAUGAACUACUCACGCAUCAUCCGAGAGGUACCAAUGAGGAUGAUGAACCCCUCUGUGAUGGUGUCUAGAUUGGAUCUGGUGGUUCUGAAAAUUGCGGCGGCUCGAAUUGUGUUUCUCGACUCCCCUAGGAUUUUUGGAUUUUCGAGGUAUUUAUAAAGCGAAGAGGCGGUGCGGGAGGUGGCCGAGGUGGGCACAACCCACCAGGGCGCGCCUGGGCACAGGUGCACCCAGGUGGGUUGUGCUCCCCUCGGAGCCCCCCUCUGGUACUUCUUUGGCACAACAGGUGUCUUCUGGUCCAGAAAAAUUCUUCAAAAAGUUUCACUAUGUUUGGUACUGAUUUCCUGUGAAGUAAAAAACAAACAAAAAAUAGAAAUUGACACUGGGCACUAUGUCAAUAGGUUAGUCCCAAAAAAUGAUAUAAAUUGAUAUAAAAUAAUUGUAAAACAUUCAAGAAAGAUAAUAUAACAGCAUGGAACAAGAAAAAAUUAUAGAUACAUUGAAGACAUAUCACUACCAUCUCAGUUGGCAAUGGGAAUAGCACCCAGUUCUGGAUUGACCCCUGGCUUCAUGGGGAACCGCUCCGCUUUCGAUUCCCUAGGCUCCUUCCUAUCUUUGUUCACCCGAAACUCCUCGUCUCCGAUGCUAGUAUAGACGGGCAGUGGAAUAUCUUGUUCCACCGCUCCUUCGGACCAGCUGAAGUGCUUGAGUGGGACGUCUUGAGGGAAGUAGUUCCUCUCUCGCUGUCCCUGUCCCCUGACUCUGUUGCCUGGAGUUUCUCUCCUUUGGGAGAGUUCUCCGUGAGUUCUGCUUAUCAGACACUCUGCCGCCGUCCUGUCAUUCAAUGGUAGUCCCCUCUCUGGAAGGCGUCAUUACCCCUAAAGAUCAAGAUUUUCGUUUGGCAGCUCCUGCUUGGCCGCCUUCCCUCUGGGAUAGAGGUUCUUAAGCGGCAUGGCCCGGGUGAUGGUACUUUCCCCCUAUGUCACGUCCCGGAGACAGGAACCAUAUUAUGUUCUCUUGUGUAACGGCCCAAGCACUUUGUUCCUUUGUGCACAAGGCCGUUGGGCUAGACUAGGAGGCCCUGGAUUUGGCAGAGUUCCAGCAAUCUAGGGACACCCAGAGGGGACGCAAUCGCCGCUUGUUCUAGCUUAUCUUUGUCGCGUUGACGUGGACCCUUUGGACUACACGCAAUAAAAUGGUGAUAGAGUGGAUCUUCCCGCGAUAGACUUCUGACUCGUUCUUCAAAUUUCUUGCAUUCCUGCGACACUGGUAUCCGCUCGCUAGGCAGCGGGACAAUGACCGUCUAGACGCCAUCUUGGGUGCCCUUCUAGCUUCGGCGCACCGGCUUUCAUCUCGCUCAUCGGCUUCUUAGCUUGCCACGAGGUGGCCUUUUUUGUUUCUUCUUGCUUUCCUUAAAUGCAUUUGUGAUGUUGGCCCCAACAGGCUCUAUGCUAGUGUUGUAAGGCUGGUUUGUAUGGAUGUUUGCUUUCUAUAUAAAGCAAGGCGAAAGGCUAAUCCGGAAAUUACUUCUUUGUCAUAAGGGCGCUGGGCUGACUUAGUAAAGUUCGUGCACUGGACCAAAAUGGACAACUUCCAUCCAACUUGGUCUUGUAUAGCACCGUCCACCAUGGAUGUCCUAUUUCUCCGUAACAUUUGCACUCGCACCACCCCAAGUCGCCUCGGCGUCACCCCAGCUUACAUUCUUGUUUGAGUCCUCCUAGCGGGCUAGCAUGUUUUCUUACCCACAUCAUUGUGUCGCAAUUGCUAUGUGUGAUUAACAUCGAUCCUAUUGUGAUGGAUAGAUUAGUAGUGCUCACUUUUUUUGGAGCUAGUACUUCUUUGCNNNNNNNNNNNNNNNNNNNNNNNNNNNNNNNNNNNNNNNNNNNNNNNNNNNNNNNNNNNNNNNNNNNNNNNNNNNNNNNNNNNNNNNNNNNNNNNNNNNNNNNNNNNNNNNNNNNNNNNNNNNNNNNNNNNNNNNNNNNNNNNNNNNNNNNNNNNNNNNNNNNNNNNNNNNNNNNNNNNNNNNNNNNNNNNNNNNNNNNNNNNNNNNNNNNNNNNNNNNNNNNNNNNNNNNNNNNNNNNNNNNNNNNNNNNNNNNNNNNNNNNNNNNNNNNNNNNNNNNNNNNNNNNNNNNNNNNNNNNNNNNNNNNNNNNNNNNNNNNNNNNNNNNNNNNNNNNNNNNNNNNNNNNNNNNNNNNNNNNGCAUAACCGUUCGUAACUGACGGCGCCUCCUCCCACCUCUCGCCCGAUUUAAAAUCCCCUUCUCACAUUUCCCGAAUCGCUGCACCACCAACCACUGCCGCCUCUCCUCCUCUACCUCCACCAUCGGUCUCUCCAAGUUUGAAGAGGUUUGUCGGCCAUGUCUAGGCGCGGCAAGGGAGGCAAGGGGCUCGGCAAGGGCGGCGCCAGGAGGCAGAGGAAGGUCCUGUGCGACAACAUCGAGGGCAUCCGCAAGCCCGCGAUCUGGCGCCUGGCGAGGCAGGGUGGCGUGAAGCGCAUCUAGGAUCUCAUGUACGAGGAGACCCGUGGCGUCCUCAAGAUCUUCCUCGAGAGCGUCAUCCACGACACCGUCACCUACACUGAGCACGCCCAACGCAAGACUGUCACCGCCAUGGACGUUGUCUACGCCCUCAAGCGCCAGGGCCGCACCCCCUAUGGUUUCAACGGCUAGGCCUGCCCCGUCGUGGCUCUUCGUCGCCGCCUGCAGACACGGAAGCCUAUGUGAAACAAGCUUGUUGUUUUAUCUCGCUGUUGUAUUUCCUAUGUAGUUAGAAGAGAAUCGGGGAACAAAGCUGUUCACUUCUGAAGUUGGAAAUCAAACUUGUCUCCGCAAAUACUGUCUUUCUGAUUUCGUUUUGCUCUGUAUUCUGUUCAUUUUUAGUAUCAAAAGUAGGAGUAAUUGUUUAAUUGAUCGAAUAGGUGCUUCCAUAUUUUUUUUCAAGGAUGCGUCAAAAGCUUGACGCAUCAGAAGCAUAGGUAGAAAGUGCCAAGAAUGUAAAACAAUUCAUUACAACUCCACGGCUUACAAAGACAAAAAGAUCCACAUGCGGAUCACUCGCCGCUAUCCAACCUCACUACUCUACGUGGCAAAGAGUCGUGCUCACGAAACAAACCCGCGGCCCUCUAGUCCUUCCCCUCCUCGUCAACCUCCUAAGUACUACCACUACUAGGGAAAAGCCUAGUAGCAACGCGGGUUCUAGGUAUGUCAGUAUCGCGGGGGCCGGCACUACCGAUAAGACGCUACAGCUAACUCGUAGCAGCAACGCGUGUACUCCCGCGCUACUGCUAUACAAGUGUAGCAGCAGCGUGCUGUAUGGAAACUCGCUACAGCUAAUAACUGUAGCGUGCUUUGCUGGGACGCGCUACUGCUACUGUCACGCUGUUGCUAACUUUUCUCCACUCGCUACUGCUAAUUUUAGUAGUUUUUGAUUUUUUUCCUGCAUAUUUGUUUUAUAUUUGAACAUGCUUUAUACAAGAAUCUUUUGCACAUACAAAUGUCAUCAUCAUACACAUACAAAUGGCUGCAAGACCACAAAUGUAAUCAUAGCAUAUACAUACAAAUAGUCCCAUCAUAAUAAUCAUCCAACAUAAAGUGGUAUCUCGUCAUCAUCUCGAAAAUAGCGAUACAUGCAUGUCGAAUACUUGCAACUACAACGUCAUCCAUUUAAACCAUGAUAUACGCGAGAAGAGCUAUCACUAUGAAUGAGAGACGAACUAUGCAGUACAUAAGGCGGCGGUUACGACUCCUCUCUCACGCUAGCGUGAACCUCAAUUAACUAGCUUCUCCUUCUUGUAUGCUUUUGAAGCCUUUAUGGCUGACGUCCGAGACCCCAUUCACUUGCGCCUAACACUCAGUCCACUCGUUGCACACCCCCGGAACCUUACCUUUGUAUACGACAUAGCACUGCCAUCUCGCCAUCAAGAAGCUAGGUACCUGUUAGAGAUGCAUCUUCAUCAAGAGGAUGUACAAUCAUAUGCAACAAAAUAUAAUAAAGCAACACGAAAAAGAAAGGGUUAGCAACUGGAUGCAACAUACAAUAUGCAAACUAAUUAACUAGAGGUACGCAGGUCAUCAUACCCAAACUAACAAAGUAGCGUUACGCAAGUUCAGCAGGGACCGUGGACAUCACAAAGUUUCAUUGCUACAGAAAGUAUACAAGUUCAAUCAACACAUAUCAUCAUCAUUGGCAUCAUAAAUCACUAGAAGUUCCAUCCUUCCAUAUCAUCGAGGGUGGACCCUAGCUUCUUGAACGGCGUGAGGUCAUGAAGUUGCAUGCCUAUGCGAGUUCGGACGUCAGCUCGUGAUAUAGGGCCAUGGUGGAACAUCCCCUUCUCAUCGAUGACUUCUUUCAUGAUGAUCGUCGCAAUGUCCCUUUGGAUGCGAAAGAAGUCAUCUCUAAGUUUAUAAUCCGGUUCUCCAUGAGAUUCUACCCACUUGUGGAUAUGAUCAUCAUUUUUGUUUGUGAUCCUAAGUUUUUGGUGAUCCGUGCUGAACUCAAUCAUGAGAUGGAGGAUGUAGAAUCCAUCUUUCAUGCUUGGUUUUGGGACAUGGAUGCAGCGGAAGUUAGUUUUAUGCGCGAAACCCAUCUUCUUGUUCCUCUAAUGCUGAAGCCUUGGAGAGCAUCAUCUAGAAUAUUCAUUAUGUGGGUGUAGUCCUUCUUCUCGUAGUCUCUGGAAAGGUCAAAAUACACGGCGUGGGAGACUCGCGGGUAAAGGACGAUAAGGACGGUGCGCCCGUUGCAGCGGGGAAAAGACACCUCAAAUUAUUCUCCAUAUGAGCGAGAAGGAAUGAUUGAAAUGUACGAAAGGGUUGGCCAGAACUGACUUACUUUGGAUGAAAAGGCAGGAGGAUAAUUUCCUGGUCCUUAUUCUGUACCAUGAAGUUUUGGAGGUACUCUCUAGCAGUUUCACACCCAAAGUCACCGAGACUCAAGAAAGACUCGUGCAUGUAGUACAGAUCCGCCACACAGAUUUGCGAGACUUCUUCUCUCUUCAUGAUGGAGCUCAUAUGCAGCACAAAAAGGCGGACGAUUGUAAAAUCGAGCUGCCUUGUCAGAAACAUCUCUAAGAUAUGGUCAAACCGCAGGAAGAAUGCCUCCGUGGGCCGUGUGUGGACAUAGCACUUCCCCUCCGGCACACGAGCCGCGUAUAUCGGAUAUCCUGGAUCCUUCGAGGCUAGUAGGCUUUUCUCAGUCAACAACACAUGGUCGUGCAGUCUCCUGAGAUCCCCUGAUAGUGCCUCCAGCGGUUUCACCGGUAGCAUUGGCUCACCCGUGAGAUGGAACAUGGCUGCACCUUUCACGGGUACAUGUUCUUCAAAAUCCAUCAUCGGGCUGCUAUGUGCUUUGGCUUGUUUGUAGGAAGCUAUCUUCCCCAGUCUCUUCUUCUCCUUUUUCUUGGGCACACCUUUAAGACCCUUCGUUAACCCCUUUCCAGUGUUGUCGGGCUAAGAACUGUACGACCCCUGGCUAGUUGAGCCUGUGUUGAGGCGGCAUCUUCAGGCGUGUCCUGUGAGGAUUUCAUGAAGAGAGACUUCUUGCAAUUACUACUACGACCUUCUUGCCCGGGCAAAUCAUCCAUAUCUUCAUUAGCAUGCUGAUAGCCUGAUUCGUCAUCUGGUUGACUCAUCAUAUCUAAGUCACAGUCAUACACAUUUGUAUUGAGGAAAGCCAUUGGGUCGACCACGGUCUCAUCAUCCAUUCUCUGUUCUACGGGACCGAAUACAUCAGCCUGUACUAUUGCACCCCCUUCAUCACGUCGUCCGCCGCUCUCACCCGGCACUAUAGGAGCUGGUAAUUAUGUAGGCAGGGUGGUGGUCUCCUCACAUGCUUGUUGAUGUGUGGUUAUUGGUGUGCUCUCGUCCGGCUCCAAACGAAGAAGAUUCUUUGGCCAUAGCAGCACCCAACCCUUGCAGCUUCCAAUCCGUGGCGGGGUCUCAUCGUCCUCUCCCACUUGCCAUACUAGAGGAGGCAAUUAAAUCCUCGUGCCCUGAUUUCACACUGGACAAGUUAACCCUGAAGUGCCCAGCGGGGAUCGGCUGGUUGUGGAACGUGGGUUGCAAUGGGUUCAUUAUCACCCCCUUUCCCACGUCCACUUCUGGCCUUUGAUCAAGUAGAGUAUGGUGCAUGGGGUUUCGUCGGCCUGCAAACACAUGUCUGUGGCGUAAAACAUCCGAAAGGCAACGGAAAUGGAAUAUUCUAUAUAUAUAUAUAUAUAUGUUGGUGCGACAUGUAAUUACCGUGAGGGCCUCGAGCUCAGCCAAAGACGAAGGCCCACCUAGCGCGCCAGAGACUGAGGACGGGCUGCUAUGAGCGGGAGCGAGUGCGAGAGGAGGCCCGGUUGCGUGAGCAAGUGAUGGUGCGUGGUGUUGUUGUUCACGGAGUUGCUCGCAACGAAACUGGGCAAUAGGAAAUCAUGUACCGUCUUGUCUGGAUUUUUCUUCGUCCAGUUGAUGAUAGCUGGAACCAAGUUAGUAGUGAAAUCAUUUCUGCAUGCAGUUACAGCUGCAUUGACUGCCUGCUAUAGCAACUCAUUUUUCUCCACGGCUGUUUUUUUCGCGUCCUCAGCUGAUUUUCUCUCGACCACAAGCUUCACCUUCUCGUCGAUGUCUGUCUGACUAAACUUCUUUUUCUGCUUCUUGGCCUCCGGGCCCUCGUUAUAGAACACCUUCCACGUGGCGCCGUCUCCAGCGUUGUGCACACAACCAUAUUGCGGCCGCUGGCCCAAAGGGAGUCGGGGGACGGGGUCAGAGUCGGCACCAGGGUCGAGGUCGGGGGUGAGCGCAUGGGCGCGGCGAGGGCAGGGCUCCGGCGGCGCGACGGGGGAAGAGAGAGUGUGGGGAUUUGGUGGAAAAGAGGCCAGAUGAAGAGAGGGGUGGGGAUUUUGGGGGUUAAGUGGGCAUAGCAGUAGCGUGUUUUAACAAAAGGCGUUAUAGCUACUCCAGGUAGCUAUAGCAGUUUUGUGUAGAAACCGCUACUACUAUCUUGACUAGCUGUAGUUCUUUUCUAACAAAAGCGAUUCUGCUAUAUAGCAGUUUUCCUGUUUGUUUCCUUCUAUUUUCUUUUGCUUUAUUUUUUCUCACUUUUUGUUGGGGAUAUAACUACUGAGUGUAAACCGCCCAGGAGGGGCCGGUUCACCCUCAACUAUAUUGAAGCCCACGAAAACUCUAAGAUGGCGCCUUACUAUGAAGCUUAGAGGCCCGGAGCCCAAAGGCGGAUUAGGGCCCAUAAUGGUAAACCGCCAUAGUCAUGUAACUUGUGUUGUAAGAUAAGGAAAGGAGAGACCGAGCCGAACACUUGUAUGAGUCGGCCUCGGGACUCUGUAGACCGGCCGGGCGUCAACCCGUGUAUAUAAGGGGACGACCGGCCGGCAGUUCAGGGACAAGAAACACAACUCGAUAGCUAGGCAUAGCUUGUUUAGAUCCCUGGUUAGCGAGACCCCAAUAAUCCCAUCACAACUAGACGUAGGCCUUUACCUUCAUCGAAGGGGCCGAACUAGUAUAAAAUCCCUCGCGUCCUUUGUCCGGUUUAACCCCUUUAAGCUAACCCAUUGCGAUGGAUCCACGACUAAGUCCUUACACGAGGACAUCUGACGUGAUAUUUCCACGACAGUUGGUGCCCACCGUGGGGCUAUCGCACGAUGGUUUCGAGUUCUUGAAGGGCAGCUUUGAAGGACCCAAAGGAUACGUGGUGGGCCGGAUGACCAAGAGUCGUCGCGGCAAGCUCUACAUCGACGAUGCAGGCUGGGGCCCCAAGGCCGGCUCAAUCAAGUAUGGGUACCGGGUCCCCUUCGGCGGAAUUCACGUCUUCAUCGGCAAGAUCGGCGAACCGGGCCCUGAGCCGGACACCUGCACCGACCUCGUCGAAACGGCUCAGUGUGCAAGUCCCGCCCGGAUUCAGCCUACCGUGAAGCGUGCGUUCGUGGGAUGCGUCCACGGGAUCGGAUCUGAACCGGAAUCUGAGGGUGAGACGGUCGCUUAUUCCAACGACGAAUCAUCCGUUGGUGAAACCGAAUCCCUGUACCAAGUUCAGGAUGGCGUGUUGAGGGGUAUUCCGAUGGCACCAGUAUUCCGGAAUUUCUUGAACCGCCGAACCACGUUGGUAUCUUCAUGGCCGGAACACAACCAACUUUGCAAAACUCUACGGCGGCGACAUCUGGACCGGUAGCAGGGCAGGAGGCUCCGCGCGCCGGCCGGCUCAAGUUCUUUUCAGUUUGAUGGAUGCCUGGGCGGCCUUGUUGACCAUGGCAGUUACACCAGCGACGCAGGAUCAGCACAAUGCGGACAUUGCGAGUCUAAAAGAUCAGAUAACACAAGCCAAGGAGGACUUAGCGGCUGAGGAAACCAGGAUGGCGGAGGAACAGGCCGCUUUUUAGAUGCCCAGGCGCAAAGGAUUCGAGCUGAGAAUUAUCGGCUUUUGAUGGAUCAGAACGCUUUAAAUCAAGUAUCCAGGAGGAAACAUCAAUCUCGCUUGCCGGCGAAUUACAAUGCAAUGAAUCUCUUUGGAACGCCAGGUGCAGGAACUAGUAACCCGCCAGCAGUAAACCGGAAUACCGAUCCAAGGACCGGGGCGCCGGAUCAACCUCAGGUGAUGGGUCCGCCUCAGCGUACGAACAACCCGCCGCGGUAUACCACACCACCGCCGGGUCACUUCUCUACCCCGUUGGACAAUAUGAUAGCGGCAACAUCCCGGUUGGCCGCUAUUUCGAUUGAAGGUGAAUCGCCGACAGCAGUUGAGACACGGCGGGCCAGGGAUCUUCUUCAAACGGCUUUGACACAGCAGCAAGCUUACUCAUAUAGCCGAGACAGGGUUCACUCAACUCCACGACCGAGCAAAAGUUAUAGAAGGCAUAUAGAUGAACCGGAGGUGUCUAGCAGUGCGCGGCGCUGCAUUGUCCCUCAAGGGCCUAAUCCGGUGCAUGGUGAUAUGAAGGCUCAUGACGUGGUGGAUAAUGGUAGAACACGAAGGGAGGCCGCUUUAGCAGCACAACUUACAGGUCGAUACCAACCCGCCCCGGUUCAGCCAGCAGCAUCAGUGGACCGCGGCGUCGGAGUUGCUUUCACCUCGUGGGGAGUGCCGUGCCUUAUUCCGGCUCUCUGUAAUGUGCGAUUGCCUAAGGACUUCAAGGGCCCGGUGCCGAAUUACACCGCUGAUCAGCCACCCGAGGCAUGGGUGGAAAGUUAUGAGAUGGCAAUGGAGAUGCUGGACGUUGAUGAAGCGGCUUGUGCAAAGUACUUCACGAUGAUAUUGGAGGGGACAACCCGUACUUGGUUGAAAAACUUACCACCUAACUCCAUCGAGUCAUGGGACCAGUUGAAGGCCCGGUUUAUAGCCAAUUUCAAGGACACAUGUAAGCAGCCUAUGUCCAUUGUGGAUCUCGACGCCUGUGUGCAAGGGGAGAACGAGUCAACAACUCAUUGGGUGCGCCGGGUUUCAGAAGUCUUGCAUUCAUCGGACCGUAUUAAAGCUGGCUCGGCAAUCAUCACCUUAGAGCGUAAUUGCCGGUUUAAGUCACUGAAGAUGAAGUUGGGACGGCUCAAGCGUCACUGCAAUGACAUGGGCACCCUUAUGGCCGCCUUGGCCAAGUAUGCCGAUUCUGAUAAUACCAAGGAUCCCGAUUUUGAUGAGGAGAAACCGGAGAAGGGAAAGAAGAACGGCGGUGCAAAGGGACAGCAGCACAACCAAGGAGUCCAUGGGAAUAAUGGUAAGCGUAAAGCGGAUUCAGAUUUUUUAGCUAAUGCUAAUGUGCAGCGUCGUAAGGGUAAACCGCCCCAGCGCGGCGGCGGAAUGAAUCUGGAGCGUUUGUUGAAUCAGUCCUGCCCAAAUCAUGGGACCAAGGAGGUUCCCGCAACGCAUCUCUGGAAAUAUUAUCACAUUAUGAAGGAGUUCAAAAACUCUGAUAUUUUACGGUAUGAUCAGGGUCCAUCGGGCGGUUCAGGCCCAGGUUUUCAGGGUGGCGGCGGUUCAAACUCUGGAUUUCAGAAUAAUCAGGGCAAUCAGAACAACCAAGGUGGUAAUAACCAACAGAGUAAUCAAGGAAAUCAGCAGCAGUUGGGUUACCAGAGUCACCCAAAGCAGUUGAAUGGUGGGCAGUAUCAUGUGUUCACCACUAGUUUGUGCAAGCGUGAUCAGAAGCUUCACAAGAGGGCUGUUAAUGCUGUUGAACCGGCAGUACCACGUUACCUGCGGUGGUCCGAGCAACCUAUUGUAUCGAGCAGAGAGGAUCAUCCGCCCCGGGUUGAUAAUCCAGCUCACCUGGCGUUGGUGCUGGCACCUCAGGUGGGAGGUUAUAAGUUCAACAAGGUAGUCAUGGAUGUAGGGAGCAGUAUCAACAUUCUGUAUUAUGAGACCUUCCGUCGCAUGGGGUUGACAGACAAGAGUCUUAAACCAUCCAAUACUGUUUUCCAUGGUGUGGUACCAGGUAAAUCGGCGUAUCCUGUUGGUAAGAUCGCUUUGGAAGUUGUGUUUGGUGAUGAAAAUGAUUCCCGAUCUGAGACAUUGACCUUUGAAGUGGUGAGGAUCCAGAGCCCGUACCACGCACUGUUUGGGCGAUCGGCUUAUGCAAAGUUCAUGGUGAGGCCUUGUUAUAUUUACUUGCAGCUCAAGAUGCCGGGUCAUAAAGGGACCAUUACGGUUCACAGAAGUCGUAAAAUCGCUUUGGAUUGCGAGGAAGGUGAUGCGGCCUAUGCUGCGUCGGUUUGUGCUACAAAGGAGCUGAAGUUUUAUAAGGAAAAUGUUGAUCCGGCAGACAUGACCCCUCUGAAAAAGCCUACCAUUGAGCAUGACCCAACCUUGCAUUCCAAACCGGCUGAUGAGACUAAACUUGUUGACUUUGUUCCUGGUGAUUCAUCCAAGCAGUUUAGCAUCAGCACAAAUCUGGAUCCGAAAUAGGAAAGCGCGCUCAUCGAGUUCAUCCGUGAGAACCGGGACAUUUUUGCAUGGAAGCCCUCUGACAUGACAGGUGUACCGAGGGAACUCGCUGAGCACACUCUCAAUAUUGAUCCCAAGUUUAAACCGGUCAAGCAAUUUCUUCGUCGCUUUAAGGAGGAAAGAAGCAAGGCAAUUGGUGAAGAGGUAGCCCGGCUGUUGGCUGCUAGGUUUAUCGUUGAAGUAUUUCACCCUGAGUGGUUGGCUAAUCCGGUGCUUGUUCCUAAGAAAAACGGCACUUGGCGCAUGUGUGUGGAUUACACAAAUUUGAACAAAGCUUGUCCGGCCGAUCCUUUUGCUCUCCCGCGUAUUGAUCAGAUCAUUGAUGCAACGACGGGUUGUGAGCGUUUGAGUUUUUUGGAUGCUUAUUCAGGCUAUCAUCAGAUCAAAAUGGCAGUUAAGGACCAGGAGAAGACCGCCUUCAUCACUCCCUUUGGAGCCUUCUGCUAUGUUUCUAUGCCCUUUGGGCUCAAGAGUGCCCAGGCAACUUAUCAGUGCUGUGUACAGAAUUGUCUUCACACUCAGAUUGGGUGCAAUGUUCAUGCCUAUGUUGAUGACAUUGUGGUAAAAUCCAGGAAGAAGGAGACACUGAUAGAUGAUCUCAAGGCGACCUUUAACAAUCUGCGGGUUUACAAGAUGAUGCUCAAUCCGGACUGGUGUUCCGGCAGGCAAGCUUCUAGGCUUCCUGGUGUCCAACAGAGGCAUUGAGGCUAAUCCGGAGAAGAUCAAAGCGAUUACAUCUUUGGCUAAACCGGUGUGCAUCAAUGAUGUUCAGCAUCUAGCAGGGCGGAUUGCAGCCCUAAGCCGGUUUAUCAGCCGUUUGGGAGAGAAGGCGAUCCCUCUAUAUCAGAUGUUGAAGAAAACAUACACCUUUGUCUGGAGUGAUGUGCGGCUAAUGCGGCGUUUGAAGACUUGAAGCGGCAGUUGGCUGAACUGCCGGUCCUUGCUGCUCCGGUUGACAGGGAGCCCUUGUUGUUGUACGUGGCUGCUAAUGCCUGUGCUGUCAGUGUGGCAAUUGUGGUGGAGCGCAAGGUGGCUGGUAAGGAGUACCCGGUUCAACGGUCGGUUUACUAUAUCAGUGAGGUGCUUAUCGAGUCAAAGCAGCGAUAUCCGCAUUGGCAGAAGCUCGUAUAUGGGGUUUUGAUGGCAAGUCGGAAGCUCAAACAAUAUUUCCAAAGCCAUCCCAUUACAGUUGUCAGUUCAGCUCCGUUGGGUGAUAUAAUUAAGAACAGGGAAGCAACUGGCCGGGUUGCAAAAUGGGCAAUUGAACUUGGUCCACUUGGUCUGAAGUAUGUGCCCCGAACAGCCAUAAAAUCUCAGGCACUUGUGGACUUCAUCAAUGACUGGACCGAGUUACAAGCGCCAGAGGACAAACCGGAUAAUACAUACUGGACUAUUCACUUCGAUGGAUCCAGGCAAUUGAAGGGCUCGGGGGCUGGAGUUGUUCUUACUUCCCCUCGAGGUGAUAAGAUUCGUUAUGUCCUCUGUUUAAUGUUCCCCUAUACUAACAAUGCAGCUGAGUACGAGGCUCUGCUCCAUGGGCUUUGAGUGGCCAAGGAGAUGAAUUUAAGCCGGGUACGAUGUUUUGGAGACUCUGAUCUGGUGGCUCAGCAAGUUUCUGGCACUUGGGAUUCUAAGGAUCCACUCAUGGCGGCUUACAGACGUGAGGUGGAUAUUGUGGCGGGUUACUUCAAAGGGUAUCAGGUUGAGCAUAUCGAUCAGCGGAAAAACGAUGCAGCAGAUGCUUUAAGCCGGCUUGGAUCUCACCGUAAACCGGUACCUCCCAAUACCUUUUUAGAUAUCUUGCAUAACCCGUCUGUUAAGUGGCCUAUAGAGGAGGAUUUGGUUGUUUGUGAUCCGGAGGCUCAAUUGGUGGCCGCUUUACACGUUGUGCCGGAUUGGACGGUUCCAUAUUUGGCGUAUAUGAACCGGGGCGAGUUACCAGAUGAUGAAGUCCUGGCUCGGCAGAGAAUCCGGCGGUCCAAAUCCAUGGUUAUUCACAAUGGCGAGUUACACCGCUGCAAUGUUUCAGGCGUAUUGCAGCGUUGUGUUUCUCUAGAAGAAGGCCAAGAGAUCCUAACGGAAAUUCAUGAAGGGGAUUGUGGUCAUCAUGCCGGUUCAAAGUCCUUGGUUGCAAAAGGUUUUCUUCAUGGGUUCUACUGGUUGACAGCUCAUGCUGAUGCGGAGGAUCUGGUAAAGCGAUGUGAUGCUUGUCAAAAGUUUUCACGCAGAGCUCAUGUUCCGGCUCAAGAAUUAAGGAUGAUUCCCAUCACUUGGCCGUUUGUCACUUGGGGGCUUGACAUGGUGGGACCCUUGAAACACUCCAAUGAUAAGAAGACCCACCUGCUGGUGGCGGUUGACAAGUUUACCAAGUGGGUUGAAGCGGAGCCUGUCAACAAGUGUGAUGCGGCUACGGCGGUUCAAUUUCUCAAAAAGAUUAUCUUCCGCUUUGGUUUUCCACACAACAUUAUCACGGAUAAUGGCACAAACCUCUCUAAAGGUGAGAUGGAAGAUUUUUGUCAGAGAGAGCACAUCCGGCUUGACUUAGCAUCAGUGGCGCACCCCUAGACCAAUGGUCAAGCAGAGAGGGCUAAUCAAGAAAUCUUGAAGGGUAUUAAACCCCGGCUUAUGGUCCCUUUAAAGCGGACGCCGGGUUGUUGGGUGGAGGAAUUGCCUUCUAUUUUAUGGAGCAUCAACACCACUCCCAGCAGAUCGACGGGUUACACGCCUUUCUUCAUGGUGUACGGGGCAGAGGCGGUCCUCCCAAGUGACAUUCGUCACGAUUCGCCCCGGGUGGCUAAUUAUGUUGAAGCAGACAAUGAUCAAGCACGCCAGGAGGCGUUGGACCUGUUAGAUGAAAAACGGGAUAUGGCUUUAGCCUGUUCGGCGGUUUAUCAGCAAGACCUGCGGCAUUAUCCAACCGCUGGGUCAGGUCACGGACCUUUCAAGAAGGCGAUUUGGUGCUCCGGCUCAUCCAGGAUCAAACCGACAUGCACAAGUUAUCCCCACCUUGGGAAGGGCCCUUUGUGGUCAGCAAAAAUCUGCACAGCGGAUCAUACUACCUCAUUGACGUUCGAGACAACUCAUGCACUUCUGAGGAGGAGACCCGGCAGUCAUGGAACAUAGCUCUCCUACGGCCUUACUACACUUGAGCCAUAGGCUUUUCUUAUGUACAUAUUUCGACAAUGUAUAUAUUAUGAUCAAUAAAAUAAACCAGCAUCCUUGCUAUAAGCAGGGCCUCUGCUAUUUUUUCUCAAAUAUCCUUUGGGUUACAUGGGGACUUCAGCUGACAAAGCGGAGUACUACCUGUUAAACCGGCUAUCAGGCCACAAUACAGCUUGGGAGCUUCACACCCAAGGGGCCAAAGAGAGUCUGGAUGCUUUGCACAUCUCAAACAUAGGCACCUAAUGAGCACAACUCAUCACAUUACUUGGGGGCUCUUUGUGUAAAGUAACAAAGAGUUUGAAAGGACCCUUGUAGCUGGGUAUCGACCCACGGCUUGGAAGCCUGGUAUAUUUACCUAAAACCCCGGGUUAACCUGCCUUCAUCAAGUAAGCCACUCCUAUCUAGGUAAUCCUGGCAUGACCCUCUGAACGUUUGAUAGUUACUCUCAUUGAGACCCUGAACUUGUAAAAGUUAAAAAGGUGAUUGGUUAGUUGGAGGCCCAUCUUAAAAGGCUUUGUCAAAUGGUUUAACUCAGCAGCCUGGCAGCCCAUGAAAAGCCUCGAAUUUGGGCCUGGCAGCCCUCGAAAAGCCUCGAAUACACGGUUUUAUUUGUGUUUGUCAUUAUUUUUCUUUUGAUGACUUCUAUGUUAAACCGGUAUGUUUGAUCUGGUAUGGCUUUUCAGUCAUCAUAUUAACGCCGUGUUUGCUAACCCGUCUUGGAUGUCAACUAAAAGUUGACGAGCCUUAUUAUUAAAGCGGAGUUCAUUAACUCGGCCUGGCUUUGACUACUUGUCACCAGUUUUGAUCAUCUGGUGUUCAUCAUAACCCGACAUGACUUAUACACCAUCAGUACAAGGUGAAGUUGUAUAAAAUUCAAGAUUUGGGUCUUCACCCUUAAUACAAUCAAUGUUGGUAAACCAACUAAAGUGAUAUCACAUCAUAGGUAUGAGUUAUUUCAUAUUUCUUAAGGUUUGAUUGUCAAUCAGGCUUUAUCUUGGGUAUUAUGACCCGUCCAGCGGUAAACCGCCAGGACAAACUUUCUUUCUGCAGGAUUCAAAGUCGUGUUAUCACAGCAUAAGCAAACAUUGCAUGUGUUACGGCGGUUCAACACAACUAGUGCAUCAGCACAACAAACCAUAGAGUGUUAACUAGCCUAUUACAAGGCACUUUGAGGCCCAAAAAGCUGUUUGUUCUUGCACAAUAAAAGUUUAUCAUAGAAACAUAAAUGCCGGAUUAAGACUUGUUGCCCGGACGACGUGAAGUGGAAGGAUCUUCAGGCGCCGGUUCAACCUCCUCCUCUCCACCCAGUGGUUGGAAGUCAUUGGUGGUCCAGUCAAUCCGGGUUAACACCUGAAAGACAGCCUCUUCACCUAUCAGAUUGGACGGGUCAAUAUCAGGGGCGUAAGUGUGCUGACGAAUUGGUGGGAUAAGAGUUUGUGUCUCUGUCACUGUUGUGUCAACUCGAUGGUUCUCUUCAUCAUAAAAGACCGAUGAAUAGUCAGGUUGGCUUCUGCAGCCAGUUGACUGGACAGUGGACGCAUCUCCUUUGUCAGAGCUUUGAAUGUGUCAUUAUCAAAUGCUGAUCCGUCUGCCUGUUCAUCUGGAAAUCCCUUGGCAAUGUCAACCGGAUCCAAGUCAGAUAUCCAUGCUUUGGCCCGGGUCAGUGCCAGUAAAGCGCCAGCCCUGGCAGCAGACCGCUUCACCUCCUCUAUCUGGGCCGGUGUCAUGGAUAAACUAGCUAAGGUAUCCUUGAUCAAUGUUGGUUCGGUUUGUUAUAGGAGACUGCAGAAAUAACCCGUUGGGCACCGGUGUACAGUUGUUCAAUCAGUGUAUAAGCCGCCUUCAAUUUCAUCCGCAUAUCUGUUCCCAGAUGAGCAAUGUGAUGGCCUGCGACGGUUUAAGAAAUUUAAGUUAAACCGGCGGAGAUGAUAGUACUACAGAGCACGUGUUCUACGGUACUUACCAAACACAGCAGCUGUCAUGGAAUUCACUUGACGUUUCAGACCCGUCAGUUCUUCUUCAACCGGUUUAAGGGCUGCUUCAGCAUCUUCCGCCCGCUUCAAUAAAACAGCCCUUUCAGUUUCCCAGUUGGUGCGGUCUGUUUUGAAGCCCUCUUUAAGUUUUUCCAUGCUUGCCAAGGCACCCUUGAGCUCUUCUUUGGCUUUAGAGGUUUGUUCUUGCUGUAGCUUGAGGAUUUCUUGAAGAUCGACGGUUUGGGACUCCUUGGUCUUCAUGUCAGCCUGCAAAGUCAGAUGAUACAACAGUUACAGAUUUCUUAAAGUCCCAAGUGCAUAAUCAAUUAAACACUUGGCACUUGGGGGCUAAUGAGGAUUGCUUUUAAAGUGAAUAUUUUUCAAAGUCCCAAGGCUCAAUCCAGGUAUUAUGCUUGGCACUUGGGGGCUAAUGUACAUUCAAUGUCAUAAAGGAAAGGCUGUUCAACAGGGACAGACAGUCCCGGUUUGUCUUCAAGAAGACAAACCGGCCCUUGGGAGUUACUACGAUUGAAGUGUUCUUUACAUCAAAGACCCGGCUUAUCUUCAAGAGAUAAACCGGCCCUUGGGGGCUACAAUGGAAAAACUACAGGAUUGAACACGUUUCAAAGUAUUCAUACCUCAUAACGCCCCUUCAUCAGAUUUACCAAACCGGGUUCCAGGUCACGGCUGGUGUACAGAUGGUUUAAAAAACCAGGAUGAAGCUCUUCAGCGCUCAGAUUGACAUAGUGGGAUAAAUCCGUCUUCCCCUUCCCCUUGCCCAUAGCGGCGAAUUCCUCCUUAGCGGUAUGUUUGGCCAAGAUAACUGGAUUGCCAGGACUGGUGUGACCCGUGCCGGUGAUUACAACAUCAUCAUCAUCAUUCUUUGAUGGGCUUGGCGGUUUGCUGGAAACCCUGGCUGGACUUGGCGGGUUAGCUGCCGGGCUUGGCGGAUCAGCAGCCGGACUUGGUGGAGGGUUAGUACGAGGGCUCGACGGAUCAGCCUCUGGUGGAUUAGCCUUAGUAUUUACACCUUGCAGGAUGGAAUCAUCCAUAACAUCAGUACUUAUACCGGUGUACUCAGCAGCCCUCUCCGGUUCCACUUCACCAAUGGGGGCACUAGUUUUAGCCUUCUUGCUCAGGCGAGCUUUGGCACUGUGACAUCACAACAAAGAUUAGCAUGGUAAACCGAACUGUGAAGGACAAACAUGAAGAGUAAUGUACUUACCCAGGAACGGUUUUCAGGGGAGGCAGCUGAGUGGUUGAUGAACCGCAAGACGAAUUGGAAGACGCCUGGUAAUUGGGAUCAGACGGGGUAAGUGGGUCUCUGAAGAAACCCUUCAAAGGAUAAAGUUUUUCAGGAGAACAAGUAACCUCUGGGCGACGUUUCCGGUUUGGCGUAUCCGGUAAACCGGAAGAGGUGAUCUGCUGGCCACUGUGCCGGGUUGUGCGACGUUCUUCAGCUUGCUGUGUCUUCAAAUAAAAUUUUGGAUCUAGAUAAGCAAGAGGGUGAGAGUAUUUCACCUUCCGAACUGUACGGCGAAAUCUUUGAACUGACACAAGAUCUGAAUCGGAGGAAAGAGAGAUUACCUCAACAUGGUCUGCACGACUGGCUGCCGCAUCAUCCUAGGAAUAGUUAUUGUCAAUAAGAUGUAUGAAAAAGGAACCAAGUGAAUCAAGUUCUACCUCUGGAUCUGAUUCGUCAACAUCUUCCGGCGGAUCAGAAGAUUCGGCGAUUUUCUUCUUGCCCGCUUUCUUGAUGACUUUGGUUUUUGGACAAGCCCUCGCCGGUUUAGUCCGUUUCCAGAAAGAGCUGUUGUCCUGUAAGAAUUAAAGGAAAGGAGUCUCAUCACAUUAUUAAAGCACAGGUGAACAGUGAGCAUUAAUUUAAAAUUACCGCUGGCGGUUUGUUGGUGGCGCAAAAAGGUGGCAACCCGGUUUGGCUGCAUGCAGAGAUUGUUUCAUCAAGCAUCUUCUUCACACAUUCAGUAACCUCAAGGUCUGUCAUCACCAUCUCGUGAUACCGUUGAGGACCUUUGACGUUGCCAGUAUAUUCGUGCAUCAAUCCGGGACGGCGGCUUAAAGGCAGAAUGCCCCAGGAAACCCAGCAGCGGACGAGAUCGAUUCCAGUCAAACCGUUGGCCAUGAGGGCCCGGAGCUUGGUGAUUUGAGGAUCAAAGGUUUUUUGCUUUGCGGCGGACAAGCGUGAAGGUAAUGGGUGGUUGUUGCUAAGCCGGUGAGGGCGGUAACCCGACAAAGGAUUUUCUCCGUCAGGGGCAGUGUUCCGGCAAUAAAACCAAGUUUGGUUCCAAUAUUUAGGAUGACUAUGGUGUUUUUCAUGAGGGAAAUCAACUUCUUUCCUUUUCUGGAUUCAAACGCCACCAAGUUCUAUGUUGGGACCAUCAGAGAACUCCGUACGGCGGUUCAAAUGGAAAAAAUCUCGGAACAACUCCACAGAUGGUUCUUCCUGAAGGUAGACUUCGCAGAAUACUUGAAAGUUACAGAUAUUGGACACGGAGUUCGGUCCUAUAUCUUGUGGAUGGAGUUGGAAGCUUGCGAGGACAUCCCGGAAUUUUUUUGAUCCGGCGGGACUGAAUCCCCGGUCUAAGUGUUGCAUAAAUACAAUCACUUCUCCAUCUUGAGGUUCAGGAGGGCAUUCAGAAUCCGGAACACGCCAAUGAAGGACCCUUUUUGAGGCUAAAGCGCCGGUGGUGACAUAUCCAUUGAUUUGUGUCUCAGUGAUCUUGGACGGGACCCAAUUGCAGGCAGAGAAUUGUUUGGCCAUUCCGGAAGAAAAACUGUGAAAGGAAAAGUAAAGGCCGGUUUACAAUUAACGGUUUACGCAUAUAAUUCAGUCUUAAACCGGCAAAUUGCCGUCCAAAUUCAGUUGGCGGUUUAAGAGAGGGCUAAUGGUAUAUGGCGGAUUGGUUAUCAAAGGUUAAACCGCCCAUAGACAGAAGGGCUAGGAUGCAAAAUCUACUAAGUGUUACAAAAACAGGUUUCACAAUUUUGCAGUACAAUUUUGGAUCUACCAUGGAUAACUAAGAAAAUAUUCCUGAACCCUACAAUGGUGCUAGGAGGAACAGUGACGAACCAGACAGAACUUAUUCAGAAGCAAAAUGAUGCUACGGUUGGGAGAAGUAGCAACAUGAAUCUAGCCGCAGUUUAAGACUCUCAGGCGUACAUAGAUAUACUAAGUACAAAGACUAGAGAGAGGAACACAGAAGAACUGAUGAACAACGGAGGACAUGGAUGAACUCGAGAAUCCUAAUGAAGAUCUAGGGUUACAAGGCAUGAACGUACCAGGGCCACUCGGCAGCGGAGGGUCGCGGCAGGGUCUCUGGAACAAACAAGUCGAUGCAGCGGUCGGGGUCGGUGCAGAUCCGAAGAGCGACGGCGGCGGCGGCGCGGAGGUCUUUCGGGUCGCGAGGUGGAAGAUGAGAAGAAAGAGGAGAAAGAUGAAAGGGCCCGUCGGGCUUAUUUAUAAUAAGGCAGAGGAUAAGUGAUAGGAGCGAGAUUCGGGGAGUCCAAAGCGGCAAGUGGUGCAGCUGUCGCCUCGAUUUCUAGGAUGACAUUAAAUGAAGGGAAUCUUUUUUUGUUUUUUACAAGAGAUGAUGUCAUGAUGAUCCGUUGCUGUGUCCAGAGGAUGACAUCACGGCGGUUUAACAAGAUUUACAAAGGGAAGACAUCAUGGCAGUUUAUGAGAAAUGAAGGAAGAUGUUUACAGGAAUUUUCUAAGUGUUGAAGAUUGACAUGAACAGGUUCAAAUCAAUCUGGGGCCUAAUGUUGGGGAUAUAACUACUGUGUGUAAACCGCCCAGGAGGGGCCGAUUCACCCUCAACUAUAUUGAAGCCCACGAAAACUCUAAGAUGGCACUUUACUAUGAAGCUUAGAGGCCCGGAUCCCAAAGGCGGAUUAGGGCCCACAAUGGUAAACCGCCAUAGUCAUGUAACUUGUGUUGUAAGAUAAGGAAAGGAGAGACCGAGCCGAACACUUGUAUGAGUCGGCCUCGAGACUCUGUAGACCGGCCGGGCGUCAACCCGUGUAUAUAAGGGGACGACCCGGCGGCGGUUCAGGGACAAGAAACACAACUCGAUAGCCAGGCAUAGCUUGUUUAGCUCCCUGGUUAGCGAGACCCCAAUAAUCCCAUCACAACUAGACGUAGGCCUUUACCUUCAUCGAAGGGGCCAAACUAGUAUAAAAUCCCUCGUGUCCUUUGGCCGGUUUAACCCCUUUAAGCUAACCCGUCGUGAUGGCUCCACGACUAAGUCCUUACACGAGGACAUCUGACGUGAUAUUUCCACGACACUUUUCUUUUUUCCCGAGAGCAGUGAACGAACAGAAGGCGGUAUAUAGUGCAUGAGUUGACGGUUUAGUAUGUAUACAAAAUAGGAACAUUUAUAUUACAUCAUUGGACCCAUGCAUAAUAAUGGCUAAGUGUGUAUACAAAAUAGGAACAUAUACGAAAUAGGAACAUCAUUUGACCAAUAACAUACGGUUCCUCAGUGUUGACGUUUUCGUUUUUGAGUCAGCUUCUUUCCCUUCUUGUUCGUUGAAGAAUAAUUGAGCCCCUCAUUGUGACUUUUCCUUUUCCACGGAGUAAGAUUUUUCUUAGGUAAUGUAGUAUUGCUUCUUAUUUUGACGUAUACUUCAUCAUCAUCGUCAUCUUCCCUCAUUGGGUUAUCGUACUGAUCGUAGUCUUCCUCGUUGGCGACUCCAUCCAUUCCAAUGAUGUUCCUUUUGCCUCUCCUCAUGACAACACGGCUGGGAUUGCACGGGUCGGUUAUGAAGAAGCAUUGUGUCACGUGCUAAGCGUGUACCCAUGGCUCUUUUUUGCGAAAGCGUUCACGGUAGCGCUCUUGGCAUCGGGUAUAGUCAUGGUAGUGAAAUUCCGGUUUUCUCUUUCGACAUGCUUAGCCCAUCUGACACGGAACAUUAUAAGGUUGUGCAGUCCAGAGUAGUCAAGCUCCCAGAUCUCCUCAACCCUUUCGUAAAAUCUUUCAGUUGCGCCAUUGUUAUUGCCGGUCAUGCAUUCCAUCGUCACCCCUGAUUUUUGAUCAUCACUGUCCAUAUCUUUGGCCUCCAUGUAGAACGUGUAUCCAUUGAUAUCGUAUGCCUGAUAGGUUACGAGGUUGGGAGAGGGGCCAUGUGCUAAGGCGUAUAUGAGCAAUCCAUCCUUAGAGCCCUCCUCCAAGGGAUUAGCAAUAAUAUGCUCUUUGAACCAGUGCAGGAAAGUGGAGUUGUGCUCUCUAGUAACUUUGGCAUCUGUCCUGCAUACCGCCCGGUCACGAUACUUCUUUGCGAUAAUUUCUUUGUGCAGUGCCACGAAAGGAUCUACCUCGUCUAGGUGUUGUAGCACUACCAAGUUUGCUCUGUCAAAGUUGCUGCAUCGAUCUGAGUAUGCCACGUGCAGUUCCCUGCGACCAUUGGAGUGAAAUUCUCCUCGAGCCUCCCAUUGUUCUUGUUAAUGGGCAAACCAACACUAACACCAGUCAGCUGGUCUACACCAUAUAGAAAAUUCUCACUGAAAGAGAUGCACUCUUGUGUCAAAUAGCCCUGGAUGAUGCUUCCAUUCGGACGGGACAUGUUACAAACGAAUCCUUUGAUGAUCACAUUCAUCCUCUCAAACGGCAUCAUGUUGUGCAGGAAUGACGGCCCCAGGUCUAUUAUGUCGUCUACAACAUGGACACACAGAUGCACCAUCACGUCAAAGAAUGCAGGCGAGAAGUACAUCUCAAGCUCAUUCAGUAUCACAACGAACUCUUCCUGUAGCCUUUGGAGCUGCUUCACACUAAUCGACUUUUGAGAGAUGACGUCAAAAAAGUUGUAGAGAACAAUAAGCGUGUCACGGAUGUGCUUUUCCAUUAUCCCUCUAAGGGCAACAGGUAGUAUCUGCGUCAUCAUCACAUGCCAGUCAUGGGACUUUAUCCCACUGAACCUUUUCUUGUCCGUGUCUAGGUAUCUGCUUAUCUUGCCACAUUAACUGGAACUAACUUUGACUCCGGUAAGGCACUUAAAGAAUUGAUCGAUCUCAGCCUUACUUAAGGUGAAGCAAGAAGGGGGGCAAUAAUUCUCUUCCUUUAGUUUCUUGCCGUUCUUCUCCCACGCCUCUGUCUCCGUCUCUGUCUCGUCAGACUUACAUGUGUAGAUCUUCCCUGAUCCUUGGUCUUAUCCGUCAUGUUCAUCAGUGUCGCGAGCAAGCUCUCAAGGACAUUCUUACAUAUAUGCAUUUGAUCAAGGCAAUGAGGUGUGUCGAGUUUGUGCCAGUACUCCAAGUGCCAGAACACAGACCUUGUCUUCCAUACCUUUAGCACCGGCUCCGGCACCUUUUUCAUCGUCCUUCUCGGCAUGGGGCACUUCUCCUAGUUUUUCAACAGCUCAUUGAUGUAGGCGCCGCUCCGCUUACAUGGAGGUUCGCGAUGCUCAGCGUGACCAUUGAAUGGAUCACCAUGGUUUCUCCAUGGUUCGUCUGGUUCGACCCAUCUUCGAUGCCCCAUGUACACGAUUUUUCCAGACCCGCCAUCUUUCCUUGACGUUAGCUGCUGAGACGUCGUAUCAUCCAUGCACCGCGUGCAUCCGCAAUAUCCAUGGCACACCUGGCCUAUGACAUAUCCGUAACUGAGAUAGUCGUGAACCGUCGUGAUAAGCGCGACUCUCAUGUAGAAAUACUCGCCUUUGCUAGCGUCCCAUGCCUUGAUCAGUGCGGCUCUCAUGUAGCGCGUGUCAUGACACAGUGCUGCUGCUAAAGUUAGGUUAAUGGGUACUGUCGGUCGAUUUUUGUAGCAGCGCGGUUUAUCCACCACACGCUACUGCUAAAUCUGUAUCCAUAGCGUGUGUAUUGUACCCACGCUACUGCUAAUUAGCAGGAGCGCUGCUUUUUGUGCCGCGCUGCUGCUAAGAUUCUGUGUAUAAGGUUUUCCCUAGUAGUGUACAUCCACCGAGGGGGAAGCACCAUUAAACACUAUGUCAUUCCGGUGUCUCUAGAUCGUCCAUGCCACAAGGGUGAUCACAAGGGUUCCGUCACUUUCUAUUACCUAUACCGAGAGUCGUUACUGUCCCCCGGAUUGUCGUCUUUGUUGGAAAUAUGCUCUAGAGGCAAUAAUAAAUUAGUUAUUAUUAUAUUUCCUUGUUCAUGAUAAUAGUUUAUUAUCCAUGCUAUAAUUGUAUUGAUAGGAAACUCAAAUACAUGUCUGGGUACAUAGACAACACAAUGUCCCUAGUAAGCCUCUAGUUGACUAGCUCGUUGAUCAAUAGAUGGUUACGGUUUCCUGGCCAUGGACAUUGGAUGUCGUUGAUAACGGGAUCAAAUCAUUAGAAGAAUGAUGUGAUGGACAAGACCCAAUCCUAAGCCUAGCACAAAGAUCGUAGUUCGUAUGCGAAAGCUUUUCUAAUGUCAAGUAUCAUUUCCUUAGACCAUGAGAUUGUGCAACUCCCAGAUAACGUAGGAAUGCUUUGGGUGUACCAAACAUCACAACGUAACUGGGUGGCUAUAAAGGUGCACUACAGGUAUCUCCGAAAGUGUCUAUUGGGUUGGAACGAAUCGAGACUGGGAUUUGUCACUCCGUGUAAACGGAGAGGUAUCUCUGGGCCCACUCGGUAGGACAUCAUCAUAAUGUGCACAAUGUGACCAAGGGGUUGAUCACGGGAUGAUGUGUUACGGAACGAGUAAAGAGACUUGCCGGUAACGAGAUUGAACAAGGUAUCGGUAUACCGACAAUCGAAUCUCGGGCAAGUAUAAUACCGCUAGACAAAGGGAAUUGUAUACGGGAUCGAUUGAGUCCUUGACAUCGUGGUUCAUCCGAUGAGAUCAUCGUGGAACAUGUGGGAGCCAACAUGGGUAUCCAGAUCCCGCUGUUGGUUAUUGACCGGAGAAUGUCUCGGUCAUGUCUGCAUGGUUCCCGAACCCGUAGGGUCUACACACUUAACGUUCUAUGACGCUAGGGUUAUAAAGGAAGUUUGUAUGUGGUUACCGAAUGUUGUUCGGAGUCCCGGAUGAGAUCCCGGACGUCACGAGGAGUUAUGGAAUGGUCCAGAGGUAAAGAUUUAUAUAUGGGAAGUCCUGUUUUGGUCACCGGAAAAGUUUCGGGUUUUAUCGGUAACGUACCGGGACCACCGGGAGGGUCCCGGGGGUCCACCAAGUGGGGCCACCGGCCCCGGAGGGCUGCAUGGGCCAAGUGUGGGAGGGGACCAGCCCCAGGUGGGCUGGUGCGCCCCCCCACAAGGGCCCAAGGCGCCUAGGGUUUGGGGAGGGGGUGCUUCCACCUAACUUGGGGGGCAAGUUUCCCCCCUCUCCCCCCUUGCCCGCCACCCUUAGAUGGGAUUAGGGCUGCCGCACCCCUUGGGGUGGAAACCCUAGAGGGGGCGCACCCCCCUCCCUCUCCCCUAUAUAUACUUGAGGGUUUUGGGGCUGCCAACAGAUGAGUUUGACCUCUCCUAGGCGCAGCCCUACCUCUCUCCCUUCUCCUCUGUCGCGGUGCUUGGCGAAGCCCUGCAGGGUUGCCACGCUCCUCCACCACCACCACGCCGUUGUGCUGCUGCUGGACGGAGUCUUCCUCAACCUCUCCCUCUCUCCUUGCUGGAUCAAGCCGUGGGAGACGUAACCGGGCUGUACGUGUGUUGAACGCGGAGGUGCCAUCCGUUCGGCACUAGGAUCUCCGGUGAUUUGGAUCACGAUGAGUACGACUCCUUCAACCCCGUUCUCUUGAACGCUUCCGCUUAGCGAUCUACAAGGGUAUGUAGAUGCACUCUCCUUCCCCUCGUUGCUGGUUUCUCCAUAGAUAGAUCUUGGUGACACGUAGGAAAAUUUUGAAUUUCUGCUACGUUCCCCAGUAGUGGCAUCAUGAGCUAGGUCUAUUGCGUAGAUUCUUUGCACGAGUAGAACACAAAGUUGUUGUGGGCGUUGAUUUUGUUCAAUAUGCUUACUGUUACUAGUCCAAUCUUGUUUCGACGGUAUUGUGGGAUGAAGCGGCCCGGACCGACCUUACACGUACACUUACGUGAGACAGGUUCCACUGACUGACAUGCACUUGGUGCAUAAGGUGGCUAGCGGGUGCCAGUCUCUCCCACUUUAGUCGGAACGGAUUCGAUGAAAGGGUCCUUGUGAAGGGUAAAUAGCAAUUGGCAUAUCACGUUGUGGUUUUGCGUAGGUAAGAAACGUUCUUGCUAGAAACCCAUAGCAGCCACGUAAAACAUGCAAACAACAAUUAGAGGACGUCUAACUUGUUUUUGCAGGGUAUGCUAUGUGAUGUGAUAUGGCCAAGAAGAAUGUGAUGAAUGAUAUGUGAUGUAUGAGAUUGAUCAUGUUCUUGUAAUAGGAAUCACGACUUGCAUGUCAAUGAGUAUGACAACCCGCACGAGCCAUAGGAGUUGUCUUUAUUUAUUGUAUGACCUACGUGUCAUUAAACAACGCCAUGUAAUUACUUUACUUUAUUGCUAACCGGUAGCCAUAGUAGUAGAAGUAAUAGUUGGCGAGACAACUUCAUGAAGACACGAUGAUGGAGAUCAUGGUGUCAUGCCGGUGACGAUGAUGAUCAUGGAGCCCCGAAGAUGGAGAUCAAAAGGAGCAAAAUGAUAUUGGCCAUAUCAUGUCACUUUUUGAUUGCAUGUGAUGUUUAUCAUGUUUAUACAUCUUAUUUGCUUAGAACGACGGUAGUAAAUAAGAUGAUCCCUCAUUAAAAUUUCAAGAAAGUGCUCCCUCUAACUGUGCACCGUUGCGAAAGUUCGUCGUUUUGAAGCACCAUGUGAUGAUCGGGUGUGAUAGAUUCUUACGUUCACAUACAACGGGUGUAAGCCAGAUUUACACACGCGAAACACUUAGGUUAACUUGACGAGCCUAGCAUGUACAGACAUGGCCUCGGAACACAAGAGACCGAAAGGUCGAGCAUGAGUCAUAUGGAGGAUGUGAUCAACAUGAAGAUGUUCACCGAUGAUGACUAGUCCGUCUCACGUGAUGAUCGGACACGGGCUAGUUGACUCGGAUGAUGUAAUCACUUAGAUGACUAGAGGGAUGUCUAUCUGAGUGGGAGUUCAUGAGAUGAACUUAAUUAUCCUGAACAUAGUCAAAAGAUCUUUGCAAAUUAUGUCGUAAGCUCGCGCUUUAGUUCCACUGUUUAGAUAUGUUCCUAGAGAAAAUAUAGCUGAAAGUUGGCAGUAGAGAUUAUGCGGACAGUAGAAAGCUUAUGUCCUUAAUGCACCGCUUAGUGUGCUGAACCCCAAUCGUCGUCUGUGGAUGUUGCGAACAUUGGACAUACAUGUUUUGAUAACUACGUGAUAGUUCAGUUAAACGGUUUAGAGUUGAGGCACCAAAGACGUUUUUUCGAAACGUCGCGGAACAUAUGAGAUGUUUCGAGGGCUGAAAUUGGGAUUUCAGGCUCGUGCCCACGUCAAGAGGUAUAAGACCUCCGACAAUUUUCUUAGUCUGCAAACUAACGGAGAAAAGCUCAAUCGUUGAGCUUGUGCUCAGAUUGUCUGAGUGCAACAAUCACUUGAAUCGAGUGGGAGUUGAUCUUCCAGAUGAGAUAGUGAUGUUUCUCCAAAGUCAUUGCCACCAAGCUGCUAGAGCUUCGUGAUGAACUAUAACAUAUCAGGGAUAGAUGAUCCUGGAGGUAUUCAUGAUGUUUGACACCGCGAAAGUAGAAAUCAAGAAGGAGCAUCAAUUGUUGAUGGUUGGUGAAACCACUAGUUUGAAGAAGGGCAAGGGUAAGAAGGGACACUUCAUGAAACGGCAAAUCAGUUGCUACUCCAGUGAUGAAACCCAAGGUUGAACCCAAACCCGAGACUAAGUGCUUCUGUAAUAUGGGGAACAAUCACUAGAGCGGAAUUACCCUAGAUACUUGGUAGAUGAGAAGGCUGGCAAGGUCGAUAGAAGUAUAUUGGAUAUACAUUAUGUUAAUGUGUACUUUACUAGUACUCCUAGUAGCACCAGGGUAUUGAGAUACCGGUUCGGUUGCUAAGUGUUAGUAACUCGAAAUAAAAGGCUACGGAAUAAACGGAGACUAGCUAAAGGUGAGCUGACGAUAUGUGUUGGAAGUGUUUCCAAGGUUGAUGUGAUCAAACAUCGCAUGCUCCCUCUACCAUCAAGAUUAGUAUUAAACCUGAAUAAUUGUCUUUUGGUGUUUGCGUUGAGCAUAGACAUGAUUGGAUUAUGUCUAUCGCAAUACGGUUAUUCAUUUAAGGAGAAUAAUGGUUACUCUAUUUAUUUGAAUAAUACCUUCAAUGGUCUUGCACCUAAAGGAAUGGUUUAUUGAAUCUCGAUCGUAGUGAUACACAUUUUCAUGCCAAAAGAUAUAAGAUAGUAAUGCUAGUAACACUUACUUGUGGCACUGCCAUGUAAGUCAUAUUGGUAUAAAACGCAUGAAGAAGCUCCAUGUUGAUGGAUCUUUAGACUCACUCGUUUUUGAAAAGUUUGAGACAUGCGAACCAUGUCUAUUGGUGUAUAUGUAUGAAGAAACUCCAUGCAGAUGGAUCGUUUGGACUCACUUGAUUUUGAAUCACUUGAGAUAUGCAAAUCAUACCACAUGGGCAAGAUGACUGAAAAUCCUCGUUUUCAGUAAGAUGGAACAAGAUAGCAAAUUGUUGGAAGUAAUACAUUUUGAUGUGUGCAGUCCAAUAAGUGCUAAGGCACGCAUUGGAUAUCGUUAUGUUCUUACUUCACGGAUGAUUUGAGUAGAUACUAAGUAUAUUUACUUGAUGAAACACAAGUCUGAAUUAUUGAAUGGUUCAAGUAAUUUCAGAGUGAAGUUGAAGAUCAUUGUGACAAGAGGAUAAAAUGUCUAUGAUAUGAUCAUAGAGAUGAUUAUCUGAGUUACAAGCUUUGGCACGCAAUUAAGACAUUGUGGAAAUUGUUUCACAACCAAUACCGCCUAGAAUACCAUAGUGUGAUGGUGUGUCUGAACAUCAUAGUUGCACCCUAUUGGAUAUGGUGCGUACCAUGAUGUCUCUUAUCGAAUUACCACUAUCGUUCAUGGGUUAGGCAUUAGAGACAACCGCACUCACUUUAAAUAGGGCACCACGUAAUUCCGUUGAGACGACACCGUUCGAACUAUGGUUUGGAGAAACCUAAGUUGUCGUUUCUUAAAGGUUUGGGGCUGCGACGCUUAUGUGAAAAGUUUCAGGUUGAUAAGCUCGAACCCAAAGCGGAUAAAAUGCAUCUUCAUAGGACACCCAAAACAGUUGGGUAUACCUCCUAAUUCAGAUCCGAAAGCAAUAGGGAUUGUUUCUUGAAUUGGGUCCUUUCUCGAGAAAAAGUUUGUCUCGGAAAGUUGGGUGGGAGCAUGGUGGAGACUUGAUGAGGUUAUUGAACCAUCACUUCAACUAGUGUGUAGCAGGGCACAGGAAGUUGUUCCUGUGGAACCUACACCAAUUGAAGUAGAAACUUAUGAUAGUGAUCAUGAAGUUUUGGAUCAAGUCACUACCGAACCUCGUAGGACAACAAGGACGCGUACUGCUUCCAAAUGGUACGGUGAUCCUAUCUUGAAGGUCAUGUUGCUAGACAACAGUGAACCUACGAGCUAUGGAGAAGUGAUGGUGGGCCCAAAUUCCGAAAAAUGGUUAGGAGCCAUGAAAUCCGAGAUAGAAUCCAUGUAUCAGAACAAAGCAUGGACUUUGGUGGACUUGCCCAAUGAUCGGCAAGCCAUUGAGAUAAAUGGAUCUUUAAGAAGAAGACGGACGUGGACGGUAAUGUCACCGUCUAUGAAGCUCGACUUGUGGCGAAGAGUUUUUCACAAGUUCAAGGAGUUGACUACGAUGAGAUUUUCUCAUCCGUAGCGACGCUUAAGUCCAUCGGAAUCAUGUUAGCAUUAGCUGCAUUUAUGAAAUCUGGCAGACGGAUGUCAAAACGAGUUUCCUUACCAGUUUUCGUAAGGAAAGGUUGUAUGUGAUACAAUCAGAAAGGUUUUGUCGAUCCUAAGGAUGCUAAAAGGUAUGCUAGCUCCAGCGAUCCUUCCAUGGACUUGAGUAAGCAUCUCGGAGUUGGAAUAUGUAUUUUGAUAAUAUGAUCAAAGAUUUUGGGUUUAUACAAAGUUUAUGAGAAACUUGUAUUUCCAAAGAAGUGAGUGGGAGCACUAUAGAAUUUCUGAUGAGUAUAUGUUGUUGACAUAUUGUUGAUCAGAAAUGAUAUAGAAUUUUCUGUAAAGCAUAUAGGGUUGUUUGAAAAGUGUUUUUCAAUGGAAAACAUGAGUUAAGCUACUUGAACAUUGAGCAUCAAGAUCUAUGAGGAUAGAUCAAAACCGCUUAAUGGUACUUUCAAAUGAGCAUAUACCUUGACAUGAUCUUGAAGGUGUUCAAGAUGGAUCACUCAAAUAAGGAGUUCUUGCCUAAGAUGUAAGGUAUGAAGUUAUGACUUAAAGCUCGACCACAGCAGAAAAGAGAGAAAGGACAAAGGUCGUCCCCUAUGCUUUAGACGUAGGCUCUACAGUAUGCUAUGCUAAGUACCGCACCUGAUGUGUGCCUUGCUACAUACCUGGCAAGAGGGUACAAAGGUGAUCAAGGAGUAGAUCACCAGAUAGCGGUCAAAAUUAUCCUUAGAGGAAUAAGGAUAUGUUUCUCGGUUAUGGAGGUGAUAAAGAGUUCGACGUAAAGAGUUGCGUCGAUGCAAGCUUUAACACCUAUCCGAAAGACUCUGAGUAGCGAAACGGAUAUGUAUAGUGGAGCAACCAUUUGGAAUAGCUCCAAGUGGAGCGUGGAAGCAGCAUUUACAAUAUGACCUAGAGAUUUGCAAAGUACAUACGGAUCUGAAUGUUGCAGACCCGUUGACUAAAACCUCUCUCACAAGAAAAACAUGAUCAAACCCCAGAACUCAUUGAGUCUUAAUCACAUGAUGAUGUCAACUAGUUUAGUGACACUAGUAAACUCUUUGAUGUUGGUCACAUGGCGAUGUGACCUCUGAGUGUUAAUCACAUGGCGAUGUGAACUAGAUUAUUGACUCUAGUGCAAGUGGGAGACUGUUGGAAAUAUGCCCUAGAGGCAAUAAUAAAUUAGUUAUUAUUAUAUUUCCUUGUUCAUGAUAAUAGUUUAUUAUCCAUGCUAUAAUUGUAUUGAUAGGAAACUCAAAUACAUGUGUGGGUACAUAGACAACACCAUGUCCCUAGUAAGCCUCUAGUUGACUAGCUCGUUGAUCAAUAGAUGGUUACGGUUUCCUGACCAUGGACAUUGGAUGUCAUUGAUAACGGGAUCACAUCAUUAGAGGAAUGAUGUGAUGGACAAGACCCAAUCCUAAGCCUAGCACAAAGAUCGUAGUUCGUAUGCUAAAGCUUUUCUAAUGUCAAGUAUCAUUUCCUUAGACCAUGAGAUUGUGCAACUCCCGGAUACCGUAGGAAUGCUUUGGGUGUACCAAACGUCACAACGUAACUGGGUGGCUAUAAAGGUGCACUACAGGUAUCUCCGAAAGUGUCCGUUGGGUUGGCAUGAAUCGAGACUGGGAUUUGUCACUCCGUGUAAACGGAGAGGUAUCUCUGGGCCCACUCGGUAGGACAUCAUCAUAAUGUGCACAAUGUGACCAAGGGGUUGAUCACGGGAUGAUGUGUUACGGAACGAGUAAAGAGACUUACCGGUAAUGAGAUUGAACAAGGUAUCGAUAUACCGACGAUCGAAUCUCGGGCAAGUAUAAUACCGCUAGACAAAGGGAAUUGUAUACAGGAUCGAUUGAGUCCUUGACAUCGUGGUUCAUCCGGUGAGAUCAUCGUGGAACAUGUGGGAGCCAACAUGGGUAUCCAGAUCCCGCUGUUGGUUAUUGACCGGAGAACGUCUUAGUUAUGUCUGCAUGGUUCCCGAACCCGUAGGGUCUACACACUUAAGGUUCGAUGACACUAGGGUUAUAAAGGAAGUUUGUAUGUGGUUACCAAAUGUUGUUCGGAGUCCCGGAUGAGAUCCCGGACGUCACGAGGAGUUCUAGAAUGGUCCGGAGGUAAAGAUUUAUAUAUGGGAAGUCCUGUUUUGGUCACCAGAAAAGUUUCGGGUUUUAUCGGUAACGUACCGGGACCACCGGGAGGGUCCCAGGGGUCCACCAAGUGGGGCCACCGGCCCCGGAGGGCUGCAUGGGCCAAGUGUGGGAGGGGACCAGCCCCAGGUGGGCUGGUGCGCCCCCCCACAAGGGCCCAAGGCGCCUAGGGUUUGGGGAGGGGGUGCUUCCACCUAACUUGGGGGGCAAGUUUCCCCCCUCUCCCCCCUUGGCCGCCACCCUUAGAUGGGAUUGGGGCUGCCGCACCCCUUGGGGUGGAAACCCUAGAGGGGGCGCACCCCCCUCCCUCUCCCCUAUAUAUACUUGAGGGUUUUGGGGCUGCCAACAGAUGAGUUUGACCUCUCCUAGGCGCAGCCCUACCUCUCUCCCUUCUCCUCUCCCGCGGUGCUUGGCGAAGCCCUGCAGGAUUGCCACGCUCCUCCACCACCACCAUGCCGUUGUGCUGCUGCUGGACGGAGUCUUCCUCAACCUCUCCCUCUCUCCUUGCUGGAUCAAGGCGUGGGAGACGUAACCGGGCUGUACGUGUGUUGAACGCGGAGGUGCCGUCCGUUCGGCACUAGGAUCUCCGGUGAUUUGGAUCACGAUGAGUACGACUCCUUCAAUCCCGUUCUCUUGAACGCUUCCGCUUAGCGAUCUACAAGGGUAUGUAGAUGCAUUCUCCUUCUCCUCGUUGCUGGUUUCUCCAUAGAUAGAUCUUGGUGACACGUAGGAAAAUUUUGAAUUUCUGCUACGUUCCCCAGCAGUCUCGACCAUCCUCUCUGAAAGGGCUAGUUACCGACUAGAGGGGGGGGGGGUGAAUAGGCGAUUUUUAUUGAAGUCUUCAAAACAUUGGAGUUUCAAAGACAAACAGUAGAAACAACACUAUUCGUAUGCAGCGAAAGGUAGACUACACUAGACAAGCCAUAGUCAAGUAUUCAAUGAAGUGAAAGCAUGAAGACUAUUAGCAGCUAGGUAGUAGGGAUCAUGAUGGAAGAUAGUAUGAAGCCAAACAAGACAAGUAGUCACAUAGUGAAGUCAAACAGAUUAUGCAAGCAAGCAAUGACUUCACGAAGACAAACUGUAAGUAAAGAGAAGUGAGAGAUAGAACCAGUAACUUCAGGAGGACAGGGGUUUGUUCGACCAGUUCCAGUUGCUGUGACAACUGUACGUUUGGUUAGGGAGGCUGAGAUUUAACUCAGAAGACCGCGUCUUCACCUUAUUCCCCUUGAGCUAAGGACUCUCAGUCCCCGCCCAAUCACUCUGGUAAGUCUUCAAGGUAGACUUCCAAACCUUCACAGACUUCGUUCACUGGCAAUCCACAAUGACUCUUGGAUGCUCAGAACGUGAUGCCUAACCGGCUGGAGGAUUCACAGUUCUCAAGUGAAAUAAGUCUUCAGAUCACACGGACAGAAAGUCUUUAGUGAUGCCAAACACUCAUUGGGCUAUGGGUGGUUUGGGAUUUGUCCUUGCAAGAAUUAUCUCUCAAAAGCUUCGGAGGUGGGUUGCUCUCAAACGAAAAAAGCCGUAUCCUAACUCUGAGAAGCCACCAAUUUAUGGUGCAGGGGGUGGGCUAUUUAUAGCCACUAGGCAACCCGACCUGAUUUGUCUGAAAUGACCCUAGGUCAUUAAGGAACUGACACGUGUCACAACAGCCCGAUUUCAAACACACGCGGCAGCUUGACUUGGGCUACAAAUAAAGCUGACUUAUCCGACUCUGGAUAAGAUUUGCACUCAUUGUCUUCGCUCGAAGACAUAGGAUUUGGUUGAGCAUCACUUCAGUCACUCUCAAUUUGUUCACUUGGACGCCACUUAACAGUGCGGUGGUUCCUAUGACUCAACAAAGAAGAAAAGGAAACAACAAAACAACUAAGUCUUCGCACUCCAUAAUCUUCACUCAAUAUCUUCUCAUGGCAUAGUCUUCAAUGUGAAUAGCUUCACAGAUCACCAUUGUCUUCAAUGUCUUCAAACAUUUUUAGGGGUCACCUCCGGUAGGUAAACCGAAUCAAUGAGGGACUACUACCUGUGUUAUCCUGCAAUUCUCACAAACACAUUAGUCCAUCAACCAGGUUUGUCGUCAAUACUCCAAAACCAACUAGGGGUGGCACUAGAUGCACUUACAAUCUCCCCCUUUUUUGUGAUUGAUGACAAACUGGUUGAAGUUUUCAAUGGGGAUAAAAGUAUGUGAAAUUGUAAAGGAUUAAGAUAUUGUCUUCAUAAGUGGAAAAAGGCUCCCCCUGAAGAUGUGCAUAUAAAUGUUUUGCGUUGGAAUGCCAAUGCACAUGGAAGGUUGUACUUGUGGAGAUGCUCUCCCACCAUAUGAAGACAAUACAUCAUGCAUGAACAGAUAUAUAGGAAUAAUGACAUGCAUAAUGAAAGAUGGACAUUUGCGAAAUGAUUUCAUGCGGUAUUUAUCAUCGCAUCGUAGAAUAGCAGACGACCAUCAGGUUUAAGUGUUACAACUCAAAGAACCAAAUGUAUCAAAAAUGAGAGCUGUAAACACUAGGCAAAAGUAUAGCAACCACCCAUAUGGACCCGCUUGAAGACUAUCAACCUAUGCUUCUCCCCCUUUUGUUAGUGAGGACCAAAAAGGUUUCAAGACAUAGCCAUUACUCGUUCCCAUGAGGAGUACGUGAAGCAGCAGGGUCGUCGUUGAGGUUUGGUGGUGCAGAAUAACUGGGUGCAGUGUCGAUGCGCGCUGAUGUUGGAGGUGGUGAAGUAGCAUCAUCGGCGUCAUCAAGAACUCUGGCAUUUACCAUAGCUGCGGAGGAAGAGUACUCUGAGUCUUCAAGAGAUGGAGUUCGAUGCAAGAUAGCAUUCCUUGGAGGAGUGGAGUCAAACUUGAAUCUCUCAGUGAAGCCACCGUCUUGAAGAUCAGCUUUAGCACUAAGCAAUGUCAAACCCUUCCAAGUCCUCCGACAUGUUUCAUGAGUAACAAAGGCAUUCUUGGUGGCAAGGUUGCGAAUGCGGUUGACAUCCACCAAAAGGCUUUGCAUUUGUUGUUUCAGCCAGUAGUGAUGCUUGUCGUGUUUCUGAUGCAAGGCCACGAGAAGCUCUCGGUCAUUGAGCACACGAGAUCGCUUUCGAGCCCUUGGAGCAAUGGUGCUCUCGGUGGCUUCAGUACGUGCACGGCGAGUGUUGCCAGCCAAUGGAUAGACACGAGAAGUAGCCUGAACACCUUCAACAUGCUGGGAGAAACUCUGGUGAUCGGCAUUGUGAAGAUAUAUUGCCUCCUUGGCAGGCUCUUGAUAGAUGGCUUCGACGGACAUAUCAACCUCUUGUAGGAAUAUAAGAUGGUUGCAUGCAGAGGGCUGAUAGUUGACCGUAGAGUGAAGCUUUAUUAGACGCAUGACCCAAGGAGCAUAAAAUUUCAGACCAAAGAUGUCAAAGCCAGAUGCAGCAAACUGACGAAUUAAGAAAUCCUGAGCAUUGAAGCUUUGGCCAUCAUUGCACCUUCAAGCUUUGCUGAGGAGGAAUGCCCUUUGAUGGGCCAUAGAGUUCGCCUAGUGAUGUGAUAGAUGGUGCAGGGCAGAUACUCUAGGUCUUCAACAAAGAAUUCCUUGGGAUAUUCUGUUGGAAAUAUGCCCUAGAGGCAAUAAUAAAAGUAUUAUUAUUAUAUUUCCUUGUUCAUGAUAAUUGUCUUUUAUUCAUGCUAUAACUGUAUUAUCCGGAAAUCGUAAUACACGUGUGAAUACUUAGACCACAAUAUGUCCCUGGUGAGCCUCUAGUUGACUAGCUCGUUGUGAUCAACGGAUAGUCAUGGUUUCCUGACUAUGGACAUUGGAUGUCGUUGAUAACGGGAUCACAUCAUUAGGAGAAUGAUGUGAUGGACAAGACCCAAUCCUAAGCCUAGCACAAAAGGUCGUGUAGUUCAUUUGCUAGAGCUUUGCAAAUGUCAAGUAUCUCUUCCUUUGACCAUGAGAGCGUGUAACUCCUGGAUACCGUAGGAGUGCUUUGGGUGUAUCAAACGUCACAACGUAACUGGGUGACUAUAAAGGUGCACUACAGGUAUCUCCGAAAGUAUCUAUUGUUUUAUGCGGAUCGAGACUGGGAUUUGUCACUCCGUGUAAACGGAGAGGUAUCUCUGGGCCCACUCGGUAGGACAUCAUCAUAUGCGCAAUGUGACCAAGGAGUUGAUCACGGGAUGAUGUGUUACGGAACGAGUAAAGUGACUUGCCGGUAACGAGAUUGAACAAGGUAUUGGAUACCGACGAUCGAAUCUCGGGCAAGUAACAUACCGAUAGACAAAGGGAAUUGAAUACGGGAUCGAUUGAGUCCUUGACAUCGUGGUUCAUCCGAUGAGAUCAUCAUGGAACAUGUGGGAGCCAACAUGGGUAUCCAGAUCCCGCUGUUGGUUAUUGACCGGAGAACGUCUCGGUCAUGUCUGCAUGUCUCCCGAACCCGUAGGGUCUACACACUUAAGGUUCGAUGACGCUAGGGUUAUAAAGGAAGCUUGUAUGUGGUUACCGAAUGUUGUUCGGAGUCCCGGAUGAGAUCCCGGACAUCACGAGGAGUUCCGGAAUGGUCCGGAGGUAAAGAUUUAUAUAUAGGAAGUCCUGUUUCGGCCAUCGGGACAAGUUUCGGGGUCAUCGGUAAUGUACCGGGACCACCGGAAGGGUCCCGGGGGCCCACCGGGUGGGGCCACCUGCCCCAGGGGGCCACAUGGGCUGUAGGGGGUGCGCCUUGGCCUACAUGGGCCAAGGGCACAAGCCCCAAGAGGCCCAUGCGCCUAGGGAACCCUAGAGGGAAGAGUCCUCAAGGGGGAAGGCACCUCCGAGGUGCCUUGGGGAGGAUGGACUCCUCCCCCCCCCCUCUUGGCCGCACCCCUUUCUUGGAGUAAGGGGCAAGGCUGCGCCUCCCCCCUCUCCCCUGCCCCUAUAUAUAGUGGAGGGGAGGGAGGGCAUCCAUACCUGAGCCCUUGGCGCCUCCCUCCCUCCCGUGACACCUCCUCCUCUCCCGUAGGUGCUUGGCGAAGCCCUGCUGGAUUGCCACGCUCCUCCAUCACCACCACGCCGUUGUGCUGCUGUUGGAUGGAGUCUUCCUCAACCUCUCCCUCUCUCCUUGCUGGAUCAAGGCGUGGGAGACGUCAUCGGGCUGUACGUGUGUUGAACGCGGAGGUGCCGUACGUUCGGCACUUGAUCAUCGGUGAUCUGAAUCACGACGAGUACGACUCCAUCAACCCCGUUCACUUGAAUGCUUCCGCUUAGCGAUCUACAAGGGUAUGUAGAUGCACUCUCCUUCUACUCGUAGCUGGUUUCUCCAUAGAUAGAUCUUGGUGACGCGUAGGAAAAUUUUGAAUUUCUGCUACGUUCCCCAACAGUGGCAUCAUGAGCUAGGUCUAUUGCGUAGAUUCUUUGCACGAGUAGAACACAAAGUAGUUGUGGGCGUUGAUGUUGUUCAAUAUUCUUACCGUUACUAGUCCAAUCUUGUUUCGACGGUAUUGUGGGAUGAAGCGGCCCGGACCAACCUUACACGUACUCUUACGUGAGACAGGUUCCACCGAUUGACAUGCACUUGGUGCAUAAGGUGGCUAGCGCGUGCCAGUCUCUCCCACUUUAGUCCGAACGGAUUCGAUGAAAAGGGUCCUUAUGAAGGGUAAAUAGCAAUUGGCAUAUCACGUUGUGGUUUUGCGUAGGUAAGAAACGUUCUUGCUAGAAACCCAUAGCAGCCACGUAAAACAUGCAACAACAAUUAGAGGACGUCUAACUUGUUUUUGCAGGGUAUGCUAUGUGAUGUGAUAUGGCCAAGAAGAAUGUGAUGAAUGAUAUGUGAUGUAUGAGAUUGAUCAUGUUCUUGUAAUAGGAUUCACGACUUGCAUGUCGAUGAGUAUGACAACCGGCAGGAGCCAUAGGAGUUGUCUUUAUUUUUGUAUGACCUGUGCGUCAUUGAAGAACGCCAUGUAACUUACUUUACUUUAUUGCUAAACGCGUUAGUCAUAGAAGUAGAAGUAGUCGUUGGCGUGACAACUUCAUGAAGACACGAUGAUGGAGAUCAUGAUGAUGGAGAUCAUGGUGUCAUGCCGGUGACGAUGAUGAUCAUGGAGCCCCGAAGAUGAAGAUCAAAAGGAGCAAAAUGAUAUUGGCCAUAUCAUGUCACUAUUUGAUUGCAUGUGAUGUUUAUCAUGUUUAUGCAUCUUGUUUACUUAGGACGACGGUAGUAAAUAAGAUGAUCCCUUACAAAAUUUCAAGAAGUGUUCUCCCCUAACUGUGCACCGUUGCUACAGUUCGUCGCUUCUAAGCACCACGUGAUGAUCGGGUGUGAUGGAUUCUUACGUUCACAUACAACGGGUGUAAGACAGUUUUACACAACGAAAACACUUAGGGUUAACUUGACGAGCCUAGCAUGUGCAGACAUGGCCUCGGAACACGGAGACCGAAAGGUCGAGCAUGAGUCGUAUGGUAGAUACGAUCAACAUGAAGAUGUUCACCGAUGAUGACUAGUCCGUCUCACGUGAUGAUCGGACACGGCCUAGUUGACUCGGAUCAUGUGAUCACUUAGAUGACCAGAGGGAUGUCUAUCUGAGUGGGAGUUCAUAAGAUGAACUUAAUUAUCCUGAACAUAGUCAAAAGACCUUUUGCAAAUUAUGUCGUAGUUCACGCUAUAGUUCUACUGUUUAGUUAUGUUCCUAGAGAAAAUAUAGUUGAAUUUGACAGUAGCGAUUAUGCGGACACUAGAACGCUUAUGUCCUUAAUGCACUGCUUAGUGUGCUGAACCCCAAACGUCGUUUGUGGAUGUUUCGAACAUCGAACAUACACGUUUUGAUAACUACGUGAUAGUUCAGUUAAAUGGUUUAAGUAGAGGCACCAAAGACGUUUUCGAAACGUCGCGGAACAUAUGAGAUGUUUCAAGGGCUGAAAUUGGGAUUUCAGGCUCGUGCCCACGUCAAGAGGUAUGAGACCUCCGACAAUUUUCUUAGCCUACAAACUAAGGGAGAAAAGCUCAAUCGUUGAGCUUGUGCUCAGAUUGUCUGAGUACAACAAUCACUUGAAUCGAGUGGGAGUUGAUCUUCCAGAUGAGAUAGUGAUGUUUCCCCAAAGUCAUUGCCACCAAGCUGCUAGAGCUUCGUGAUGAACUAUAACAUAUCAGGGAUAGAUAUGAUGAUCCUUGAAAUAUUCAUGAUGUUUGACACCGCGAAAGUAGAAAUCAAGAAGGAGCAUCAAUUGUUGAUGGUUGGUGAAACCACUAGUUUCAAGAAGGGCAAGGGAACAAAGGGAUACUUCAUGAAACGGCAAUUCAGCUGCUGCUCAAGUGAAGAAACCCAAGGUUGAACCCAAACCCGAGACUAAGUGCUUCUGUAAUAAGGGGAACAACCACUAGAGCAGCAUUACCCUAGAUACUUGGUAGAUGAGAAGGCUGGCAAAGUCGAUAGAAGUAUAUUGGAUAUACAUUAUGUUAAUGUGUACUUUACUAGUACUCCUAGUAGCACCAGGGUAUUGAGAUACCGGUUCGGUUGCUAAGUGUUAGUAACUCGAAAUAAAAGCUACGGAAUAAAACGGAGACUAGCUAAAGGUGAGCUGACGAUAUGUGUUGGAAGUGUUUCCAAGUUUGAUGUGAUCUAACAUCGCACACUCCCUCUACCAUCAAGAUUAGUAUUAAACCUGAAUAAGUGCUCUUGCACCUAAAGGAAUGGUUUAUUGAAUCUUGAUCGUAGGGAUACACAUUUUCAUGCCAAAAAGAUAUAAGAUAGUAAUGAUAGUACCACUUACUUGUGGCACUGCCAUGUAAGUCAUAUUGGUAUAAAACACAUGAAGAAGCUCCACGUUGAUGGAUCUUUGGACUCACUCGUUUUUGAAAAGUUUGAGACAUGCAAACCAUGUCUAUUGGUGUAUACGCAUGAAAGAAACUCCAUGCAAAUGGACCAUUUGGACUCACUUGAUUUUGAAUCACUUGAGAUAUGCAAAUCAUACCGCAUAGGCAAGAUGACUGAAAAGCCUCGGUUUCAAUAAGAUGGAACAAGAUAGCAACUUGUUGGAAGUAACACAUUUGAUGUGUGUAGUCCAAUAAGUGCUGAGGCAUGCAGUGAAUAUCGUUAUGUUCUUACUUCACAGAUGAUUCGAGUAGAUGUUGAGAAUAUUUACUUGAUGAAACACAAGUCUGAAUUAUUGAAUGGUUCAAGUAAUUUCAGAGUGAAGUAGAAGAUCAUUGUGACAAGAGGAUAAAAUGUCUAUGAUACAAUCAUAGAGAUGAAUAUCUGAGUUACGAGUUUUGGCACACAAUUAAGACAUUGUGGAAAUUGUUUCACAAUUAAUACCGCCUGGAACACCAUAGUGUGAUGGUGUGUCCGAACAUCAUAACUGCACCCUAUUGGAUAUGAUGCAUACCAUGAUGUCUCUUAUCGAAUUGCCACUAUCGUUUAUGGGUUAGGCAUUAAAGACAACCACAUUCACUUUAAAUAGGGCACCACGUAAUUCUGAUGAGAUGACACCGUAUGAAUUAUGGUUUAGAGAAACCUAAGUUGUCGUUUCUUAAAAGUUUGGGGCUACGACGCUUAUGUGAAAAAGUUUCAGGAUUAAGCUCGAACCCAAAGCGGAUAAAAUGCAUCUUCAUAGGACACCCAAAACAGUUGGGUAUACCUCCUAAUUCAGAUCCGAAAGCAAUAUGAAUUGUUUCUUGAAUCAAGUCCUUUCUCGAGGAAAGGUUUCUCUCGAAAGAGUUGAGUGGGAGGAUGGUGGAGACUUGAUGAGGUUAUUGAACCGUCUCUUCAACUAGUGUGUGGCAGGGCACAGGAAGUUGUUCCUGUGGCACCUACACCAAUUGAAGUGGAAGCUUAUGAUAGUGAUCAUGAAGCUUCGGAUCAAGUCACUAACGAACCUCAUAGGAUGACAAGGAUACGUACUACUUCAGAAUGGUACAGUAAUCCUGUCUUGAAGGUCAUGUUGCUAGACAACAAUGAACCUACGAGCUAUGGAGAAGCGAUGGUGGGCCCAAAUUCCGACAAAUGGUUAGAAACCAUGAAAUCCGAGAUAGGAUCCAUGUAUCAGAACAAAGCAUAGACUUUGGUGGACUUGCCCGAUGAUCGGCAAGCCAUUGAGAUAAAUGGAUCUUUAAGAAGAAGACGGACGUGGAUGGUAAUGUCACCAUCUAUGAAGCUCGACUUGUGGAGAAGAGUUUUUCACAUGUUCAAGGAGUUGACUACGAUGAGAUUUUCUCAUCCGUAGCGAUGCUUAAGUCCGUCGGAAUCACGUUAGCACAAGCUGCAUUUAUGAAAUCUGGCAGAUGGAUGUCAAAAUGAGUUUCCUUACCAGUCGUAAGGAAAGGUUGUAUGCGAUACAAUUAGAAAGGUUUUGUCGAUCCUAAGGAUGCUAAAAGGUAUGCUAGCUCCAGCGAUCCUUCUAAGGACUGGAGUAAGCAUCUCGGAGUUGGAAUGUAUGCUUUGAUGAGAUGAUCAAAGAUUUUGGAUUUAUACAAAGUUUAUGAGAAACUUGUAUUUCCAAAGAAGUGAGUGGGAGCACUAUAGAAUUUCUGAUGAGUAUAUGUUGUUGACAUAUUGAUGAUCAGAGAUGAUGUAGAAUUUCUAGAAAGCAUAUAGGGUUAUUUGAAAGGUGUUUUUCAAUAGAAAACCUGGAUUAAGCUACUUGAACAUUGAGCAUCAAGAUCUAUAAGGAUAGAUCAAAAUGCUUAAUAAUACUUUCAAAUGAGCACAUACCUUGACAUGAUCUUGAAGGUGUUCAAGAUGGACCAGUCAAAGAAGGAGUUCUUGCCUGAGUUGUAAGGUAUGAAGUUAAGACUUAAAGCUCGACCACGGCAGAAUAGAGAGAAAGGACGAAGGUCGUCCCCUAUGCUUAAGACGUAGGCUCUUCAGUAUGCUAUGCUGUGUACCGCACCUGAAGUGUGCCUUGCCAUGAGUCAGUCAAGGGGUACAAGAGUGAUCCAAGAAUGGCUCACAGGACAGCGGUCAAAGUUAUCCUUAGUAACUAGUGGACUAAGGAAUUUUCUCGAUUAUGGAGGUGGUAAAAGAGUUCGUCGUAAAGGUUACGACGAUGCAAGCUUGACACCUAUCCGGAUAGCUCUGAGUAGAGAGACCGGAUACAUAUAAUGGAGCAAUAAUUUAGAAAUAGCUCCAAGUAGAACAGUUGUUUGGAAUAGCUCCAAAUAGAGCGUGGUAGCUGCAUCUAGGAGAUGACAUAGAGAUUUGUAAAGCACACACGGAUCUGAAAGGUUCAGACCCGUUGACUAAAACCUCUCUCACAAGCAACAUGAUCAAACAUAAAACUCAUUGAGUGUUAAUCACAUAGUGAUGUGAACUAGACUACUGACUCUAGUAAACUCUUGGGUAUUAGUCACAUGGCGAUGUGACCUGUGAGUGUUAAUCACAUGGCGAUGUGAACUAGAUUAUUGACUCUAGUGCAAGUGGGAGACUGUUGGAAAUAUGCCCUAGAGGCAAUAAUAAAAGUAUUAUUAUUAUAUUUCCUUGUUCAUGAUAAUUGUCUUUUAUUCAUGCUAUAACUGUAUUAUCCGGAAAUAGUAAUACACGUGUGAAUACUUAGACCACAAUAUGUCCCUGGUGAGCCUCUAGUUGACUAGCUUGUUGUGAUCAACGGAUAGUCAUGGUUUCCUGACUAUGGACAUUGGAUGUCGUUGAUAACGGGAUCACAUCAUUAGGAGAAUGAUGUGAUGGACAAGACCCAAUCCUAAGCCUAGCACAAAAGGUCAUGUAGUUCAUUUGCUAGAGCUUUGCAAAUGUCAAGUAUCUCUUCCUUUGACCAUGAGAGCGUGUAACUCCUGGAUACCAUAGGAGUGCUUUGGGUGUAUCAAACGUCACAACGUACCUGGGUGACUAUAAAGGUGCACUACAGGUAUCUCCGAAAGUAUCUAUUGUUUUAUGCGGAUCGAGACUGGGAUUUGUCACUCCGUGUAAACGGAGAGGUAUCUCUGGGCCCACUCGGUAGGACAUCAUCAUAUGCGCAAUGUGACCAAGGAGUUGAUCACGGGAUGAUGUGUUACGGAACGAGUAAAGUGACUUGCCGGUAAUGAGAUUGAACAAGGUAUUGGAUACCGACGAUCGAAUCUCGGGCAAGUAACAUACCGAUAGACAAAGGGAAUUGAAUACGGGAUCGAUUGAGUCCUUGACAUCGUGGUUCAUCCGAUGAGAUCAUCGUGGAACAUGUGGGAGCCAACAUGGGUAUCCAGAUCCCGCUGUUGGUUAUUGACCGGAGAACGUCUCGGUCAUGUCUGCAUGUCUCCCGAACCCGUAGGGUCUACACACUUAAGGUUCGAUGACGCUAGGGUUAUAAAGGAAGCUUGUAUGUGGUUACCGAAUGUUGUUCGGAGUCCCGGAUGAGAUCCCGGACGUCACGAGGAGUUCCGGAAUGGUCCAGAGGUAAAGAUUUAUAUAUAGGAAGCCCAGUUUCGGCCAUCGGGACAAGUUUCGGGGUCAUCGGUAAUGUACCGGGACCACCGGAAGGGUCCCGAGGGCCCACCGGGUGGGGCCACCUGCCCCGGGGGGCCACAUGGGCUGUAGGGGGUGCGCCUUGGCCUACAUGGGCCAAGGGCACCAGCCCCAAGAGGCCCAUGCGCCUAGGGAACCCUAGAGGGAAGAGUCCUCAAGGGGGAAGGCACCUCCGAGGUGCCUUGGGGAGGAUGGACUCCUCCCCCCCUCUUGGCCGCACCCCUUUCUUGGAGUAAGGGGCAAGGCUGAGCCUCCCCCCUCUCCCCUGCCCCUAUAUAUAGUGGAGGGGAGGGAGGGCAUCCAUACCUGAGCCCUUGGCGCCUCCCUCCCUCCCGUGACACCUCCUCCUCUCCCGUAGGUGCUUGGCGAAGCCCUGCUGGAUUGCCACGCUCCUCCAUCACCACCACGCCGUUGUGCUACUGUUGGAUGGAGUCUUCCUCAACCUCUCCCUCUCUCCUUGCUGGAUCAAGGCGUGGGAGACGUCACCGGGCUGUACGUGUGUUGAACGCGGAGGUGCCGUACGUUCGGCACUUGAUCAUCGGUGAUCUGAAUCACGACGAGUACGACUCCAUCAACCCCGUUCACUUGAACGCUUCCGCUUAGCAAUCUACAAGGGUAUGUAGAUGCACUCUCCUUCUACUCGUAGCUGGUUUCUCCACAGAUAGAUCUUGGUGACGCAUAGGAAAAUUUUGAAUUUCUGCUACGUUCCCCAACAUAUUCGGCAUCCUGAGGCAGUGGCUUCAUCAUGCUCAGCAUUUGGCUCAUGUUGGGCUCUGGCUUCUGAAAGAUGAUCUCCAAUGCAUUGCGAUAAAGAUGACAACCAGGUUGAUAGAGUUCACCUGGAGUGGACAGGCCGAUAAGCUCAAUCAGGUCAAAGGCUUUGGCUUCAUGAUGGACAUUGCCUGUCAUCCACUCAAGGACCCAUGUCUUCAGAUCCCUGUUGUAGCCGCGAAUGUGAAGGGUUGCAUUGAAUUGCAGCAGAAGCUCUUCAUUCCAAUGCUCCUUAUCGGUGACAAACUGUAGCCGGCCAGCAUCGCGAAAACAGUCAAGGGCUUCUUCUAGGCAUGGCAGGCCAGCAAUGGCUUCGGAAUCCAGAUGCAUAUGAGGAAAUAUGCGCUCUUGAUUGUAUAUGACACAUGAGUAGUAGCUGCGCUGCUGAUAGCUCCAGAACCGAUCAGAGGAUAUUCUUGGUUUGGAGUAUGGGUUCUUGGCGCUAUCAAAGAAGGUGUUGUGUGCAAUGAAGCCAUUUACAUUGAAUGAUCCUGGUGCUGAUGCAGUACCUGGAAACCGUGGCACCCUUGGUUUUGGCUUCUAAACCUGAGGCCUGUGCUCCACAUGAUAGUCAAACUGAGGUCUGGGAGUAGGCGGAGGAACCAGAAUUGGCCAUCUAAUAGUGACAAGCUUGCCUUGGUAGAAUGCUUGCUCAAUGGUCUAUGGCCUUGGAGGCGGAACAUGAGUAGUGGCAUUAGCAGAGGCGUCAGGCUGCACAUUGGUUGUAGGUGCAUCAUUGGCUUCAUGGACAGUGUUCAUUGCAAGCGCCACAUUAUCUUCAGCCAUGACAAUGUCAUUGGCGUCAGUAGUGUUGUUGGUGGCUGCCUUAGGAUUUUCAACCUCCACUUGAGUAGCUGGAGGGUCGGGCACAGACACAUUCUCCUCAAGAAUGACUUCUUCUUGGUUGGUUGGGGGUGUAGAAACACAAUCUUCUUCUUGUCUUUCAUCGGCUACUGCAGCCGGAAUUUCUUCAGAAGCAUUAGCUUCAGACAUAGGAACCGUCACAAAAGGAUUAUCUUCAGGGAACACCUGACGUGCCACUGAGCUGGACUGGUUUGAGUCUUCUUCUUUGAUGGUUGUCAUGGAGACUGAUGGCCUUAGGCCUUUGCGAAGCCGUUGAAACACGGGCGACGCUUUUGGUGACGGUGUGGUCUCCAUGUAAUUGUCAUCAUUGACAAUUGGGCUAGUGACUUGCAUUGGUGUAGGACGGGGUGUACUUGGUGAGUCUUGAACUGGGGUUGCUGGUUGGGGGCGAUCAGCCCAUGAGGCAUCUUGAGAGAUUGGCGUCAAGGGACGACCAAUGCUGAUGAGCUCGCUGUUCGUGAGAACAGGCGAUGAUACCGUGGGGCGGUCAAUCUUAGGAAGGACUUCAUCAUCUUCUACAUUGUCUUGAGGACCAAUGUCUUUAGCCAUGAUGGGGUCAACGGCUGGAUCUUCUUCAGCUUCAGGAGCCUCUGUGGAAGCAGACUCAUGAACUAUCAACUGACGCUCUUGAUUUUCAGAUGGAGGAUGAGCAAAAGCAAUAGGCUCGAUGAGGGAGUCCUGGAUUAGGGGGUGUCCGGAUGGCCGGACUAUGACCUUCGGCCGGACUCCCGGACUAUGAAGAUACAAGAUUGAAGACUUCUUCCCGUGUCCGGAUGGGACAUUCCUUGGCGUGGAAGGCAAGCUUGGCGAUACGAUAUGUGGAUCUCCUCCCAUUGUAACCGACUCUGUGUAACCCUAGCCCUCUCUGGUGUCUAUAUAAACCGGAGGGUUUUAGUCCGUAGGAGGAACAACAAUCAUACCAUAGGCUAGCUUCUAGGGUUUAGCCUCUCUGAUCUCGUGGUAGAUCUACUCUUGUACUACCCAUAUCAUCAAUAUUAAUCAAGCAGGAGUAGGGUUUUACCUCCAUCAAGAGGGCCCAAACCUGGGUAAAAACAUCGUGUCCCUUGUCUCCUGUUACCAUCUGCGUAGACGCAUAGUUCGGGACCUCCUACCCGUGAUCAGCCGGUUUUGACACUGACAUUGGUGCUUUCAUUGAGAGUUCCUCUGUGUCGUCACCUUUAGGCCCGAUGGCUUCUCCGAUCAUCAACAACGAUGCGGUCUAGGGUGAGACAUUUCUCCCCGGAUAGAUCUUCGUAUUCGACGGCUUUGCACUGCGGGCCAAUUCGCUUGGCCAUCUGGAGCAGAUUGAAAGCUACGCCCCUGGCCAUCAGGUCAGAUUUGGAAGUUUGAACUACACGGCUGACAUCCGCGGAGACUUGAUCUUCAACGGAUUCGAGCCACAGCCGAGCGUGCCGCACUGUCAUGAUGGGCAUGAUCUAGCUCUGCCGCCGGACAGUGCCCAGAAGGCCGCUCAGGUGUCCGCUCCUACCCUUAGUUUGGAGCUGACUGUGCCGAUCGAGGACGGGUGGCUGGACACAGCCUCGGGGGCUGCAAUCUCUACGGUGAUCGAGCCGAACACCAGUCUUGUCCUUCGCGAAGCUCGCGACUCCAAGGUGACGGACUCCUUUCCGGAUUCCGAACCUUCCGCACCCCUGCCGAUCGAACCCGAUUGGGCGCCGAUCAUGGAGUUCGCCGCCGCGGACAUCUUUCAGCACUCGCCCUUUGGCGACAUUCUGAAUUCACUACAGUCUCUCUCUUUAUCAGGAGAGCCCUAGCCGGACUAUGGUCAGCAAGGUUGGGAUGCGGACGACGAAGAAAUCCGAAGCCCACCCACCACCCACUUCAUAGCCACUGUCGAUGAUUUAACCGACAUGCUCGACUUCGACUCCAAAGACAUCGACGGUAUGGACGCCGAUGAAGGAGACAACCAAGAACCAGCGCCUAUAGGGCACUAGAAAGCCACCUCGUCAUAUGAUGUAUACAUGGUGGACACCCCAAAAUAAGGGGAUGGCGAUGGAACAACGGAGGAUGACCCCUCCAAAAAACAGCCUAAGCGCCGGCGUCAGCGGCGCCGCUCUAAAUCCCGCCAAAACAAAUACGGUGAUUCCGGCACAACAGAUAAUAAUACCCCAGACAGUGCCGAAAACAACCCCCUCCAGCAGGAUUCAGCGCAGGAGGAUAGAGAAGCCAGCCGUCAUGAUAGAGCGGCAGACAGAGAGGUCGAGGACGAUAAUUACAUGCCUCCCUCCGAAGAUGAAGCAAGCCUCGACGACAACGAAUUUGUCAUACCUAAGGAUUCCGUCGAACAAGAGCGUUUCCAACGCAGGCUUAUGGCCACGGCAAGUAGCCUCAAGAAAAAACAGCAGCAGCUUAGAGCUGACCAAGACUUGCUAGCCGGCAGAUGGGCUGAAGUCCUUGCGGCCGAAGAGUACGAACUCGAACGCCCCUCCAAGAGCUACCCCAAACGUAGGCUGCUACCCCGAUUAGAGGAUGAAGCAACUAAACCUAUGUCACCAGCAUAUGACGCGGCCGACCGGCCAUCCCGUGGCCGCGACAGAGAGGCCUCUCGGCCAUCAAUUCAAGCCGCACCCCGGUGCCGCUCAAAAAAUACCAAGGCACGGGGAAAUGCAAUAGACCUGCGUGACAUAUUGGAGGACAAGGCAAGGCAAACAAGAUGGAUCUACGGAUCGCAUGGGCGCCCCACAACACGUGACGAUAACUGUCAUGCUGGAUAUGGCAAAUACGGCGGGGCCGAACACGGCAAGCAAAGCUCAUAUGAGCUACGUCAUGAUAUAGCCCAGUACAGAGGCGCCGCACACCCACUAUGCUUCACAGAUGAAGUAAUGGAUCAUCAAAUCCCGAGGGGUUUAAACCCGUAAACAUCGAAUCAUACGAUGGCACAACAGAUCCUGCGGUAUGGAUCGAGGAUUAUCUCCUUCAUAUCCACAUGGCCCGCGGUGAUGAUCUACACGCUAUCAAAUACGUCCCACUCAAGCUUAAAGGACCAGCUCGGCAUUGGCAUAACAGCUUGCCAGUAGAGUCAAUUGGUUGCUGGGAGGACCUGGAAUCCGCAUUCCUCGACAAUUUCCAGGGCACCUAUGUGCGACCACCAGACGCCGAUGACCUAAGCCACAUAAUUCAGCAGCCAGAGGAAUCGGCCAGACAAUUCUGGACACGGUUCCUAACAAAGAAAAAUCAAAUAGUCGACUGUCCGGAUGUAGAGGCCCUUGUAGCCUUCAAACAUAACAUCCGUGACGAAUGGCUUGCCCGGCACCUAGGACAGGAAAAGCUGAAAUCCAUGGCAGCCCUCACAACACUCAUGACCCGCUUUUGCGCGGGAGAAGACAGCUGGCUAGUUCGUAGUAAUAACAUGACCAAGAGCCUUUGUAAUUCGGAUACCAAGGACAACAAUGGUAGGUCGCGUCGCAACAAGCACAAGUGCCACAUUAACGGCGACAAUACUGAGGAUACGGCAGUUAAUGCAGGAUUCAGAGGCUCUAAACCCGGUCAGCGGAAAAAGCCAUUCAAAAGAAAUACUCCGGGCCCGUCCAGUUUAGACUGGAUACCCGAUCGCUCGUGCCAGAUACACGGCACCCCCGAACAACCAGCCAAUCACACCAACAGGGAUUGUUGGGUGUUCAAGCAGGCAGGCAAGUUAAGUGCCGAAAACAGAGACAAGGGGCUGCAUAGCGAUGACGAGGAGGAGCCCCGGCCGCCGAACAACAGAGGACAGAAGGGCUUCCCCCCACAAGUACGGACAGUGAACAUGAUAUACGCAACCCACAUCCCCAAAAGGGAAUGGAAGCGUGCACUCAGGGACGUAUAUGCAUUGACACUACUAGGGAAAAGCCUAGCAGCAGCACGGGUUUUGGGCCUAUUAGCAGCGCGGGGGCCGGCGCUACUAAUAAGGUGCUACAGCUAACUUAUAGUAGUAGCGUGGGUGCCACCCACGCUACUACUACGUCCUUUAGUAGUAGCGUGGGUAAAAACCCGUGCUACUACUACCAGCGAGGUUUUUUUGAAUUUUUUCGAAAAAAAUAUUUUGAUUUUUUUCCUAUUUUUCAAAUUUCUGAAUUAUUUUAACCUCAAAUCUCUAAUCACCCCUCAUCGCUGCUCAAUUUAAUCUCUAAUCACCCCUCAUCAUUCCAAAUCAUCUAACUUCCCGGACGGUCACCCAUCCUCUCACUACUCCAGCGUGAGCACGCUUAACUUCCGGGUUCUAUUCUCCCUCAUUUCCAAGUCUGCACUUGUUGUUUUCCUGACAAUAGUAAGAAGUCAAUCCUAUUAACCUCAGGAAUUUAGCUUGAGCAUGAAGUCACACAUUUCACUAUUUGAGUUUGAAACUAUUGUUCUAAAAAAUUAGUAACACUAAUAUUUCUAGAAUAAUUAGUUUGACCAUAGUUUGACCACAGUUUGACCACAAUUUGACCACAGUUUGGCCAUAGUUUGACAAGAUUUGACAAAAAUUCAAAAAAAGUAAAAUAAUUAUUUAGUAACACUAAUAUUCUAGAAUAAUUAGUUUGACCAAUGUUUGACCACAGUUUGACCACACAGUUUGAAAUUUUUUCGAUUUUUUCCACUCUAGAUCUUAAAAGCUCUGUAAAAAUUUUUCUGUUAGGUUUUUGAGGAUUUUGAAAAUGUUUAACAGAGUUCCCCAGUUAAAUUUGGAUGUAACUUUUUGAGUAGAUGAUUUUUCAUAUAAAAAACUUUUUCAUCCGAGUUAGCAUGCAAAAGUUAUGCCCAUUUUUACAAAUUCUCGAGAGAUUUUGCAAAUAAAGUCGAAAUUCAUAUUUGCAAAUUUUCCCAACAACUAUACCACAUAGCACAUGGGAAACUUAUUUUCUUUUAUUUUUUUGACAUUUUCAUCAUUUUCUUUUAUUUUUUUUAAAACUGAAAAGGCGAUCCAGGGGGGGUAGACUUUGAAAAUGGGACCUUUAGUAGCAGCGCGGUUUUUUACCCCCACGCUACUACUAUAGCACCACUUAGUAGUAGAGAGGGCUAAAAACCAACGCUACUGCUAUCAAACUUAGUAGUAGCGAGGUUUUAAAAACCCGCGCUACUACUAUGGCAUGUCCCGGGGGGCACGGUAGAGACCGCUUAGUAGUAGUGAGGGUUAAAAACCCGCGCUGUUUCUAUCAACUUAGUAGUAGCGAGGUUUAAAAACCCUCGCUACUAGUAACUUUCUGUGUAUAGGCUUUUCCCUAGUAGUGUGGAGCCAGUCGCCCCAAAGUUCAACCCAUGGUCCUCCUGCCCGAUCACUUUUGAUCGAAGGGACCACCCCACUAGCAUUCAUCACGGCGGAUUCGCUGCAUUGGUUCUAGACCCAAUCAUUGACGGAUUUCACCUCACUAGAGUCCUCAUGGAUGGCGGAAGCAGCCUGAACCUGCUUUAUCAGGAUACAGUGCGAAAAAUGGGCAUAGAUCCCUUAAGAAUUGAACCCACAAAGACGACCUAUAAAGGCGUCAUACCAGGUGUAGAAGCCAGCUAUACAGGCUUAGUUACACUCAAAGUGGUCUUCGGAUCCCCGAAUAAUUUCCGAAGCGAGGAGUUAAUCUUCGAUAUAGUUCCGUUCCACAGUGGCUAUCCCGCCCUGCUCGGGCGAACCGCAUUUGCAAAGUUCAAUGUGGUGCCGCACUACGCAUACCUCAAGCUCAAGAUGCCAGGCCCUCGAGGAGUCAUCACGGUCAAUGGAAACACCGAACGCUCUCUCCAAACAGAGGAGCACACGGCAGCCCUCGCGGCGGAAGUACAAAGUAGCCUCUCAAGGCAAUUCUCCAGUCCGGCUGGUAAACGUCCGGACACCGUCAAGCGCGCCCGGAGUAACCUACAACAAGACCGUCUGGCACGUUCCGAGCAAGCAUAGCAGUGCGGCCCCUACCCCAGCCCUCGCGAGAUUGCGAAACCAGUACAACGCGUACAUAAUUACGCUCUGGAAAUACCAUGGGCAUACGGGGAAGGGCACAACCACGGCACACCCAGAAUGCGGAUCAACCGCACUAGUGGCUCCCGAUUUUGUCAUUUCUUUUUUUUCUUACUUUCAGGACUCCAUUCUCCGCAAGGCCUGCCCGGCAAUACAAUCGCCGAACACACGAUGCAACAGCCAGGGAGGCAGCAAGCUACGUCGAAUGUCCAGGUGGUCUCUUUAACGAGCUAAAUAUCUGUCUUACAUAAAGUCCCGCAGCUUGCCCCUGGACGGGGACAUGUCAAAUAAUCCCAUCUCUUGCUUAUCGCACUAUUUGUAUCAUUCUGCUUUCAUAGCAGCCCUUUAAUAAACAAUACAUAGCUCUUGUCUAUUAUUGCAUUCAUUUUUAUGUAAACAUGUUCAGUUAUGACAUUAUGCAACCGUACACUUUGGUACGGCCAAUACACCAGGGACUUAAGUACCCCGGAAUACGGUGUGAGAAGACUGAACACUCUCAUGAGUGCGGCACCCCAAACUUAUAGCAUUAUAUGCAUCGGCUCCGAAUCAUGUCUUGGGUCAACAGUUGGGUUUGCCCGGCUCCCAUGUUUUGGUACCUUACGUUCCGCUAUAUCGGCUAAGGUAGCGCUGGGAGAACUACUACGAUUGUGUCCCAGUUGAGCUGGGUUAACACCUCAGUAGGGAAAGCUAAAACUGACCGUCAUGAUAAGGCGAGAGCCGGUCGCUCUUCGCGAGGUUUUUCGAGUCCCUAAAGACUUAUGCCGCUUAGAUCGAGGAGCUGGCUUUGUCCGGCCUAGGCGUGGAUAGCGCCCCGAACUCAGUCUUCCGAAUACUAGGGGCUUCGCCGAAAUUUAAAAUUAUAGAAUUCUAUGGCUAAGUGAGAGUGAUAAAGCAUUAUAAGUCUGAUUUCCUUGUUCAUUGUGCUGAGCGCCUCCCUCGAAGGACCCAAGAAUGGGAACAAGAGCGCUCAGGUUUAUCCCGAACACCCCAGCACUCGUGGCAUGGGGGCAGAAGCCGACGACUUGCAUCUCUCAGAUUUAAUAAACGGCCGCACAGAAGGUAAUACUUUAAAUUAAAAAAGCAUUGCUUAGCGCAUAUGAACAAGUUUUCAGCGCACAGGAUACACACGAGCGAGUUUACUCAAAAAUUAAAUCCUUGGAACAUUCGUUCGCCACAAGGAGGGCACCCUUCAGGACGCCCUCAUAGUACAUCUCGGGCCUGUGAUGCUCCUUCCCCUCCGGUGGCCCAUCCUUCACCAGCUUCUCAGCAUCCAGGUUGCCCCAGUGCACUUUGGCACGGGCAAGGGCCCUACGGGCGCCUCCGAUGCAUACGGAGCACUUGAUGACUUCAUGCCAUGGACAGGCAUCCACCAGCCGCCUCACCAGCCCAAAGUAGCUCUCAGGCAGGACCUCCCCAGGCCACAGCCGGCCUAUAAGGCCCUUCAUGGCCUGUUCGGCUACCUUAUGGAGCUCGACCAGCUGCUUCAGUUGGUCGCUCAAAGGCACCGGGUGUCCGUCCUCAGCAUACUGGGACCAGAACACUUUCUCUGUCGAGCUCCCUUCUUUGGCUCAGUAGAAUGCGGCGGCGGCGGAUACACUGCGGGGCAGAUCUACGAAUGCUCCUGGAGAGCUCCGGAUUCGGGUAAGUAACAAGUAAUGCACUUUCACAUGCUUGCUUUGCAUAAAGAAUGCCUUACCCGCCGCUAUCUUCUUCAUUGCCUCAAUUUCCUGGAGGGCCUUUUGGGCUUCGUCCUUGGCAGAUUUGGCGCUUUCAAGUGCCGAGACAAGCUCGGACUCUCGAGUCUUUGAGUCAAGCUCUAAACUCUCGUGUUUUUUCACAAGAGCAUUGAGCUCUUGCCACACCUUCGCCACCUACGCCUCUUGUUUCUCUCGCUCGGUGCGCUCCACGGCCGCAUUGUCUUUGGCCUUAGAUAGCGCUUCCUUCAGGGUUGCCACCUCAAUUAUGGCCCCUGUAACAUUCAUGUUGGUCCUGUCAUUAUUUGCAACUAGGUAUUUUUAUAUACUUAUAUAAGGUACUACCUACCUUCCUUGUCCCCGAGAUGCUUCUUGGCACGGUCGAGCUCAUUCUCGGACCGCUCGAGGCUCUGCUUCAAUGCAUCGACCUCCGCAGUCAGUGCGGCAGAGGUCAGGAGCGCAGCCUGCAUUCCCAUAUUGACAUAUUUAUGUUAGACUCCUGCGUAUAUCUUUUUAGAUCCUCAGUCCGGCUUUUCUUUCCGAACACCAAACUGAGCAUCAGGGGCUACUGUCUAUGCGGUAACAUUUUUACAUGUUUUAAAUACAUACCUCAAAGCCUGUUAGAAGGCUGGCACAGGCUUCUCUCAGCCCGCUCUUGGCGGACUAAACCUUCUGGAUCAGCGCACUCAUAACAGUGUGGUGCCCCUCGUCGAUGGAGGCGCCGUUGAGCACCUCCAGCAAAUUAUCCGGUGCCUCCGGUUGGACGGAGGUCACCGCCAUCGUAGGCUUGCCCUUCUUACGAAGGGGCCGCCUGCCGGACUCCGGAACCACUAAAGGUUCCAGUGCGGCGUCCGGCCCAGGGCCGGGCUUAGAGCCCUUUGGGGUUUUGUCCCCCUUGCACCUGGAAUCUGGAAGGUCGCCUUGCGGCGCCUCCGGGGCUACCUCCUCCGAGACCGUCCCCUUUUGGGACUCCACCUCGGCAUCAUCCGUGGGGCGAGGGGAGGUAGCGGUUGGGAGUGAAAGGCUAUUCACAUCCGACGAAUCCAGGGAUCCGCUCGACGAAGCGUCGAGUUGGGCCUUGGGUAGAUUGCAUGAUUAUGUUCGGCGUUAGACGAUACUGUGCACUAAAGGAACGCCAUGAGUUAUUCUGGUAUCCGGAUACUUACGAUGUUGCCAGUGGCUUGGCCCUAGAUGGCCACUCCUCUCCACCGUCUUCGGCAUCGGAGGCGUAGUCCAGAAGAAGGGUCUUCCCCUUCUUGGACCCUCCGGCCUCCCCAGCCCCAGCUGGGGAAGCCUUCCUUUUCUUUCCUCCCCCCGUUGGAGGGGGAGAGGCUUCUUCUUCCUCCUCCUCGUCUUCGGAGGGGGAGUGCGCUUCGGGGUCGUCAUGCGAUGAGUCCGACACCACCAGGCGGAGGGAACUCUUUCGAGUUCCCGUGGCCUUCUUCUUGGCCUUCUUCUCCGGCACCACAUGAGGUGCCGGGACCAGCAGCUUCGUCAAGCGUGCAUCAGCUGGGCCUUCGGGCAAAGGAGCCGGACAGUUAAACUGUCCGGACGUCUUCUUCCAGUCCUGUCAAAGGAGCGGGAUGUCACGACCGGGUUUUCCGGGUAAUAAAUUUCCAGAAAAGACCGUCGUGCUCAUCAGCCCCAGGAUUACUGUUAGCUGAUGAGGCUCUAACUUGAUACAGAAACUCCAAGCAAAAUACAAAAUAUGUAGUACAAGACCAUUCUGGCCUGUGAGUACAACAAAUGGUUUCUAGUGGUUGAUGGUGGAAGCGGGUUGUGAAACAUCUGUGUCUAUGGGACUCCAUUUCCCACGCGAACAGCUGACCAGGUUAAAUUCUUAUCUUCGCGAGGCUACUAUCUCCAUUGAGUGGUUUCCGGGGCUAGCAUCGCGUCGCUCCUCUCCGUGCAAGAAAAAUCUGGCCAAGACAAUAGCCAGGGACAAGCCAGUGAGUACUUUGAAUGUACUCGCAAACAUUAUGAACACAAGUAUAAUAUAACAAUGAUAUGCUGAAAAUAUUUUAUGCUCAUGACGUCAGUUACCGAAAGAUAAAUAAAUCUCGGUUCCGUGCAAGCAAGUUAUUUAUAAAAUUUCAAUAACAGAGUAGCAUUAAAAAUUUAUGAAAUAAAUAACAAGUAAUGCCACGGUCGGGCGUCUGAGCGACACCACAUAAAGGGCUUUAAAAGAAAUGCCACAGUCGGGCGUCUGGGCGACGCCACAUAAAGGGCUUUAAAAGAAAUGCCACAGUCGGGCGUCUGAGCGACGCCACAUAAAGGGCUUUAAAAGAAAUGCCACAGUCGGGCGUCUGAGCGACGCCACAUAAAGGGCUUUAAAAGAAAUGCCACAGUCGGGCGUCUGAGCGACGCCACAUAAAGGGCUUUAAAAGAAAUGCCACAGUCGGGCGUCUAGGCGACGCCACAUAAAGGGCUUUAAACGAAAUGCCACAGUCGGGCGUCUGAGCGACGCCACAUAAAGGGCUUUAAUAGAAAUUCCACAGUCAGGCGUCUGAGCGACGCCACAUAAAGGGCUUUAAAAGAAAUGCCACAGUCGGGUGUCUGGGUGACGCCACAUAAAGGGCUUUAAAAGAAAUGAUCAUAGUGAAUAUCCCGGAGGUAGAACCAUCCUAGAGAUAUUCGGUAAUAAUAUCACGGGUUAGUCAACAAUAAUAAAAAUCAUAGAUAUCACAAGUCACGAAUAGUAAUUCCAUUUUUCUGGUUAACGUUUUCACCUCCGAAGACCGACACUAAGACCGACACCUGACCCAUCCCAGACUGUAAUCCUUAACCAUAGACACGGCUAUUCGAAUAGGUUUAUUCUCUGCAGAGGGUGUACUCUUUACCCACGAGUAACGGAUUUCUUUAGUCCAGCAGGACUAAUUCCGUCUACGGUCUUUUUGUUGACAACACACCUAACUUGCACACACCAGCUCAUCUCACACGUGUCUGGAAUCACCCACGACACCUGUUAAGCAAACUUUAAGUGGGGAGGCUACAACCUCGCGUAGCAUGGGAUCAAAUUUAUAUCGCGCGCUCUAAGGGGUGGCCUCCCCUCUCGGUCCCAACUGGAAACACCCAUGCCCCCGGACCAGGUGGCCUGCCUACUAGCUACAACCGGUAUCCUCCACCAUGGCCUCUCUGUACGGUGUGUGCUGGAAAGAGGUUGACAACUUACUGAACCGUACUCUACUUGCUGUAGAGACGGGUGGUAGUACGAAACAAGUAUGGGGGUUACUGGAACAAGACUCGAUCUAUGGUCGACUCAGGAGGUUCAAUUGUUCCCUGCAUGAUUAGCAUGACAAAUAUAUUCUCAUCCAACAGAGUCACCUCUCAUAUCACCUUACCAUGCCAUACCAGACAUAACCAUCCCGACGGAGACCGGCGACAAACUCAUGCCUACCCAAGGCAGAGGUUUCCCCGGGUUCCUGCCGGUAUGCAUGCAAAGCACAUGAGGGUGAUUAUCAUCACAAGUGAGUCCAUUUCCAACAGCAUGGAAAUCAACAACAUGCACCCAUGCAUAUGAUUAUAUCACAUGAAAUAACAAGUCCUUCGAAAUGCGGUGGUGUUAUAAAUGUAUCAACGAUCACACCAAAAAUAUUAUGCCGGGGUUCAGAAUGCUUGCCUUCAAUGUGUGGAAAGGCAGGGUGCACUCCAAAACUUUUGAAAGUUUCUUCUCUCUCCCAAAAUCCUAUUUAAGAAUAUAUUUGAAUUAACACAUAUUUCAAAAACAGAACCAAAAAGUUGUUUGAAAAUUUUUCAAAUAAAUCUUAAAAUAAACUAGAUCAAAUUUGAGGGAGGUAGGAAAAAGAAUCAACCCAUUUGGAGUUAUAUUUAAAAAGUUAUAGCCAGUCAAAGAUUUGGUCAAAUCUGUUAUUUAAAUUAAAAUAGAAAAGAAAACGAUUCAGGCGAGAUUACGCUUUCGGUACAGAGGAGGCAUACUCCUGAAGUUUACGCCUUCACUUAAACACGUGGACGGCGCGGGGUGUCACUGACAGUGGGCCUGCCUGGCCCACUGGUCAGGUUUGACCAGUCGCCGCGCGUCGUCUCCCUCCUUUGCCCGAGCGGAGCGGGGCUCCGGCGAUCGUCGCCGGCGUUUGGCUGCUCCUCGCGGGCCCCCGAGGGUGGGGAUGGAUCCGCAAAGUUGAGGCGGUCCUCCCGGUAGUCGUUGGGUCGGCGGGGACGGGAUGAGCUGCCGGCGGCGAGCUCCUCGGCGGAGGAAAGCUUCGGGGAAAAGUGGUUUUCGGGGCGGCGGUGGUUCUCGAUCGAAAUGGAGUAGGGGGAAGGUUUACGGGAGGAUGAGGGGGUUCUUGGUGGAGAGAACGGAGAGUGGGAGGCCCUGGUGGUGCCGAAUUGGCCGGGGCAGUGGUGGCGGCUGCCGUUGCCGGAGAUGAGGAAGAAGACCUUCCUCGAGUCGAUUGGCUGCCAUGAGAGGACUAGGGGAGCACUCUAAGGCUUCCUGCGUGACCGGGGUGGCUCGGGGGCCUCCUUUUAUAGCUCGUCGAGGUCGGUUCCGCGGCGGCCGGAUAAGCUCUCCGGCGAACCGCCUCGCUGUAGCUUGCAGGGCAACGUGGCGUGGCUGGGGAUGACGGCAAGAGCUAGUGGGCGAGAGUGCACUGCUCCAGGGGCAGGUGGCGAGUGGGAGUGGCUUGGGCGGCACCGACAUGGCCAGAGGCUGUCGGGCGGCGGCGGCUAGCGCUUGGCUUGCCGGGCGUGGCGAGGGGCGGCUUGGCGCGUAGCUGAGAGAAGGGGAGCGCGUGGCGUGAUGCUGCUGUGUGGGCCAAAGCCAGGGGGGCCAGUGUGUCGGCUCGGGCGCGUGGCUGCAAUUUGCGCGCUCUGGGCGCGCCCAGUGCACGCACGGGACGUGCUCGACGAAAUGCUAUGGCAUGUUAGGGGUCGCGGUUGAGGCUGGCAAUUAACAGACCCAGGUUAGGAGAAACGGGGAGUCUAGUGGACAUGCUGGUCUGGCCAGGGGAUUAAGUCCAUAGUGCAAACAAGGACUCAUGUCAAAACUGAUCAUGCCUGAAAGGUGUUUGACAAAAUUCCAAGGGCACUUAGGCAUUUCUUGGAGUGGCCAAAAUCUCCAGAUCAGUGUCUCUGUGGAUGAAAGAGAGGGUGGUGAUGUUAGUUGGUGAAAUGCACAAACUUGUUAGUGCAAGUCUAGCAGAAUUUCAAUUCUGGACAGGAAAUAAAUGGCAUUAUUUCAUGAACCAAAAUUAAUCCAAUGGGUGCAUGCUUCUGGAUUUAGAGGUUUAACAUGGGGGACUAGAAGUAGGAGAAAUAAUCAAGGGUUAAAGAGCAAGAAAAAACAUGGUUGCUGUACAAACCAUCAAGUUGGUCCAGAAUGAAAAUGAGGUUGAUUCACUCAAGUUUUUCAAAGAACAUAUAUAGGUUUUUGCACAAAGUGAAAUAAUAGGCUCCUACUGACCUCCCCUAAUUUUGGUAGAAGUUUUAAAGAAAUAUUUAAAUAGGUUGUAGUGCAAAAUGCACUCUGGACCAGAGAAGAAAAAUUUAGUGUAGAGCUCAAAAUAUUUCAUGAAUGAAAUAUAUUUUAGCAUAAAAGUGAUUUAAAAACAUCACAUGACAUCUCCAAAUUUUUGUGGGAAUUUUAAGUGAAUUUAUCAAAUGGUUGUAGUUCAAAUAUGGCCAUUUAACCUUGAAAAACUAUUUUUCAAUAAAACAAUGAUCAAGCAACUAAAUUAGUUAAUUAGUUAUAUUGGUAAAAGGAAAGUUUUUCUUGAGAGGUUAAACAAGUCCAACAACAUUUUUGAAAAGUUUUCUCUCUGGGAAAAACUCAUAAUAACAGGGAAGGAAAUGAUUUAAACAGAAAUCAAAAUGGAGCUCAAAAAUUCAAAGUUUUAAAUCCUGGCAAAAUUUAUUCCAUUAAAACAAGGCCAAAAUUUUGGGGUGUCACAAUACUAACCCCCUUAAGUAAAAAUCUCGUCCUCGAGAUUUGCUAAAAGUGGUGUUAAGAAAGUAAUUUACGCAAUAAAGAUGUGGCUACAGUGAGAGGGCAAUAAGUGGUGAAAAACCACAGUCUGAAAAACUGGGGCUGCGCGGAAAAGUCCACGGUUCGGGACAAAAACGGGUGAUUUCUACGCUGGAUAUAAAUUUAGGAUAACUCCUAAAUUUAGAUAUACGCUGGUCGCACCCGAGAGCACAGUGCUCUCUCUGGUUGACAGGUGGACCCGGGGUCCACUGUCAGUCUCCUCUUCUUCUCCCUCUGGCCCUUUCUUCCUCCUCUCUCCCGCGCGCUUUUUCCACCGGCGACGCCUAGUGUGUAGGGCAUCUAGGCCGUACCGUGGUAGUGCGCGGCAUGCUAGCUGCCGGUGCAGCAUGCACUCACCUCGCGGGCCAGCGCGCUGUCGGCACUGCUCGCGGAUUCGACUCCGAACAUCGGCGAUCGGCGACAAGCGGCGUUGGUGGACUUCGCCCACCGUACACCGAGCUCGAGAUAUAAAAACGGCUGGGGUGCCUCCCUCUUCCUCCUCACACCUGGCCUCACUUCUCCUCCUCCUUCUUUCUCCGUUACUGCUUACAGAAGCUCGGUCGAGGCUCUAAUGGCGGAGGCGAUGCCGGACUGGUUUGUGAUCCUGAUAUGUGGAGGGCUGGCGACGCUGCUGGGGCUCUCUGUGCUCCUGUGCGCGAUGAUCUUCGACGAGUACUGCGAUGCUGCGGCUCGGGUGUUGGCUCUCCGCGGUGGUGGUGAUCAUGAGGAGUAGAUGGGGUGUGCCGGGUGCUAACUGUUGUUAGGGGGUGAUUAGCUGGAUGUAACACCGUUGCAAAGUUUUGCAAACAGUGUAUGUGUCCGAAUGAUUAUGGUUGUGAGUCUGCUCGAGGUGCUGAGUGAAAUUAAUUAAUCCAUGUCGUGAGAAAGUGUAGAUGUAGCAACUCAGGGAAAAGAAAAUCUCACUCCAGGGUUUUGCGAGGGAAAGACAGUUAUUUAAAGGAGCAUAAACUACAACAAAAACUACACACAUUAGUAGAAGCCAAAUAAUUGACUCGUCAUACAAACUCAGGGUAUCACGCAUAAGUCACACAUAUAAAUAAAUACUGCAAAGAACAAAUACAGUAGCGACGUCUAAAAUGAAAACGGUAACUGGACGGGGUCCUGAUAAAAUGUCUCUGGUAAAGGGAUACAUUGUUCUUCAAUCGGAGGCAGUGGAUUGACCAGUCGAUGUAUGCGUCUCUCCGUGUCGGGUCUCAGUGGUCUGCCGAUGGCAAUCUGAGGAUUUAAAUUUGCGAGGCUCUGGAGAUAAUCCAUCACCCGCUGGUUUAAAUGCUCUUGAGCAAUUAUGUACUGGAUAAGGUUGGCCAGAACUGGGUCUCUCUCAAUACGUCCACCGGGAAAAGAUGUUACUUCUCCGGGUGCUGCACGACUCGGAAAGUAAUAAUAUCCUCGUUCGCGGGCAUAGGGUACUGCAGAUCGAAGACGAGCAAUCGCUUCUUUCGCAGCAGCCUCUAUGGCCAAGUGUGGGGUUGGCAUAGAUUUCCCCACGAAGGAAACUUCUGUAGGAUCUUGGUUGGGGUCUACAGGAGGAAUGUGUACUGCUGCCCAAUAUUCCGAGGUGGAUGGGGUGAUCCUUGAUUUGAACAGCUCGUACUGAGGUGGCUGGGUAGAACCCAUGGUACUGCGGGUAAAAUCCCACAAUAUUUUGACAAAGCUACCUGGGGUUGCAUCUGGGGUUCUCAGAUGAAUGCUGGGGUUCGGCAUGACAGGAAAAAAAAGCGUGAGUGUUGUGCACAAAGUGAGGGUUGCUGGGUAAGGUCACAAGGUGGCCUUUAUAUAGCAAUGGAGCCGGAUCGUUUUACCGUGGUGAAAGGUAAAAAAAAUCGCUAGCUUAGCUCCAAAGGUCGGGUCAGUGUCAGAGAUACACAUAUCUCAUAAAGAGACGUGUUACUGUGGUUGUCGUCGGGUUGGUUUUGGGUAGUUGUGCCCGGAAAAAUAUGCAGCUAUGCGCUGACCAAAUAUGCAAGGCUAUUAUUAAAAUAGAGGCACAAAGACAGGCUGCGUUAAUAUACGCGGUCGCAUGAUUACAAAGCGAGGAUACAUUGAAACUUGGUGCUACUCAUACGGCUUAGUCUACUUCGUUUAUGUCUAAACGGGCGUGCCUGGUGGAUGUCGAGGCUUCUCCGCGUGUCUCUCUGCCGGGAUUAGUCGGAGAUGGCGGAGGAACUGCAGGGUCGGGGUAGUGAGAAUGACCAUUGCGGGGAUUGUUGGCCACAACCCCGUUGGAGUGUGCUCCCAAAAUGCGACGAAGCACUUCUAGGGUUAUCGCAGCACCUUGGCCGAUGGCUGGGGCAGAUCUCGGGGUCUCGAUCGGUUGUCCAAACAGCACGACUGGGUUGUCGGUGUUGGGCUCGUUUUCUUCCCUCGCCGGGGCUCGACGAACCAGCUCUCCACGAGCUGCGAUCAGAUCAAUAGUGAUCUGGUCGAACAGUGCCUCUAGUGCACUUACAUAGCGCACUAGGUGCAACAAUGCGGGGUCCAUCUCGUGAUCUCCAUUGGCAACUUGGGGUGGUCUACCAUACCCUUCCCGUCUGGGGUAGUAGUGGAACGAGCGACAGUUAACUCUGGGAGACAAGUGCCUGAGAUGAACUAUAGCCUCUCGAGCAGCUAGCUGGAUGGCUUGUGGCUCAAAGGAAGUUGUUCUUCCGGUGAACCGGUAGGGGCGCUCGGGUGCUAGACUCCUACCAUAAAUGUGCACAGUGGCCCAGAAUUGGCGGUCUUCACCGCUCAUGGGUCCUUGAUACACAACAUAUUCUGGUGGCUCCUCUAACGCGUAGGCACGACGGGUGAGGUUUGCGAGGAUGGUCACAAAACCUCCAAGGUUGGUUGCUGUGGUUUCGUUGUGCACUAUAGGUCCAGGCAUUGUGGCUGGGUUCGAGGCUGUGCUGUGCUGGGUUGGGGCUAGCGUGCCCUUUUUAUAGGAAAAAGGGGACGGAAUCUUCCUUCGCACGCUUGUGAGAAAGGACUAUUUAGGGGGCGGUCACUGGCGCAUGAGUGACAGGUUAGGUUGAUAGGUUGGGCACCGACUGCCAAAAAGUGUUGGGUCACUGUGUGGCUAUCUUGCACGAGAAGCUUGGCUGGGGUUUGGUUAAGGUCUGGUGGGUUGGUUUGCCUAUGCUUAUUGACCUGGCUAAGAUAGGAUUAGCCAAUGGUCAGCCUGGCUCUGAUACCAAGUCUGUCACGACCGGGUUUUCCGGGUAAUAAAUUUCCAGAAAAGACCGUCGUGCUCAUCAGCCCCAGGAUUACUGUUAGCUGAUGAGGCUCCAACUUGAUACAGAAACUCCAAGCAAAAUACAAAAUAUGUAGUACAAGACCAUUCUGGCCUGUGAGUACAACAAAUGGUUUCUAGUGGUUGAUGGCGGAAGCGGGUUGUGAAACAUCUGUGUCUAUGGGACUCCAUUUCCCACGGGAAUAGCUGACCAGGUUAAAUUCCUAUCUUCGCGAGGCUGCUAUCUCCAUUGAGUGGUUUCCGGGGCUGGCAUCGCGUCGCUCAUCUCUGUGCAAGAAAAAUCUGGCCAAGACAAUAGCCAGGGACAAGCCAGUGAGUACUUUGAAUGUACUCACAAAUAUUAUGAACACAAGUAUAAUAUAACAAUGAUAUGCUGAAAAUAUUUUAUGCUCAUGACGUCAGUCACCAAAAGAUAAAUAAAUCUCGGUUGCGUGCAAGCAAGUUAUUUAUAAAAUUUCAAUAACAGAGUAGCAUUAAAAAUUUAUGAAAUAAAUAACAAGUAAUGCCACGGUCGGGCGUCUGAGCGACACCACAUAAAGGGCUUUAAAAGAAAUGCCACAGUCGGGCGUCUGGGCGACGCCACAUAAAGGGCUUUAAAAGAAAUGCCACAGUCGGGCGUCUGAGCGACGCCACAUAAAGGGCUUUAAAAGAAAUGCCACAGUCGGGCGUCUGAGCGACGCCACAUAAAGGGCUUUAAAAGAAAUGCCACAGUCGGGCGUCUGGGCGACGCCACAUAAAGGGCUUUAAACAAAAUGCCACAGUCGGGCGUCUGAGCGACGCCACAUAAAGGGCUUUAAUAGAAAUGCCACAGUCGGGCGUCUGAGCGACGCCACAUAAAGGGCUUUAAAAGAAAUGCCACAGUCGGGCGUCUGGGUGACGCCACAUAAAGGUCUUUAAAAUAAAUGAUCAUAGGGAAUAUCCCGGAGGUAGAACCAUCCUAGAGAUAUUCGGUAAUAAUAUCACGGGUUAGUCAACAAUAAUAAAAAUCAUAGAUAUCACAAGUCACGAGUAGUAAUUCCAUUUUUCUGGUUAACGUUUUCACCUCCGAAGACCGACACUAAGACCGACACCUGACCCAUCCCAGACUGUAAUCCUUAACCAUAGACACGGCUAUUCGAAUAGGUUUAUUCUCUGCAGAGGGUGUACUCUUUACCCACGAGUAACGGAUUUCUUUAGUCCAGCAGGACUAAUUCCGUCUACGGUCUUUUUGUUGACAACACACCUAACUUGCACACACCAGCUCAUCUCACACGUGUCUGGAAUCACGCACGACACCUGUUAAGCAAACUUUAAGUGGGGAGGCUACAACCUCGCGUAGCAUGGGAUCAAAUUUAUAUCGCGCGCUCUAAGGGGUGGCCUCCCCUCUCGGUCCCAACUGGAAACACCCAUGCCCCCGGACCAGGUGGCCUGCCUACCAGCUACAACCGGUAUCUUUCACCAUGGCUCUCUGUACGGUGUGUGCUGGAAAGAGGUUGACAUCUUACUGAACCGUACUCUACUUGCUGUAGAGACGAGUGGUAGUACGAAACAAGUAUGGGGGUUACUGGAACAAGACUCGAUCUACGGUCGACUCAGGAGGUUCAAUUGUUCCCUGCAUGAUUAGCAUGACAAAUAUAUUCUCAUCCAACAGAGUGACCUCUCAUAUCACCUUACCAUGCCAUACCAGAAAUAACCGUCCCGACGGAGACCGGCGACAAACUCAUGCCUACCCAAGGCAGAGGUUUCCCCGGGUUCCUGCCGGUAUGCAUGCAAAGCACAUGAGGGUGAUUAUCAUCACAAGUGAGUCCAUUUCCAACAGCAUGGAAAUCAACAACAUGCACCCAUGCAUAUGAUUAUAUCACAUGAAAUAACAAGUCCUUCGAAAUGCGGUGGUGUUAUAAAUGUAUCAACGAUCACACCAAAAAUAUUAUGCCGGGGUUCAGAAUGCUUGCCUUCAAUGUGUGGAAAGGCAGGGUGCACUCCAAAACUUUUGAAAGUUUCUUCUCUCUCCCAAAAUCCUAUUUAAGAAUAUAUUUGAAUUAACACAUAUUUCAAAAACAGAACCAAAAAGUUGUUUGAAAUUUUUUCAAAUAAAUCUUAAAAUAAACUAGAUCAAAUUUGAGGAAGGUAGGAAAAAGAAUCAACCCAUUUGGAGUUAUAUUUAAAAAGUUAUAGCCAGUCAAAGAUUUGGUCAAAUCUGUUAUUUAAAUUAAAACAGAAAAGAAAACGAUUCAGGCGAGAUUACGCUUUCGGUAUAGAGGAGGCAUACUCCUGAAGUUUACGCCUUCACUUAAACACGUGGACGGCGCGGGGUGUCACUGACAGUGGGCCUGCCUGGCCCACUGGUCAGGUUUGACCAGUCGCCACGCGUCGUCUCCCUCCUUUGCCCGAGCGGAGCGGGGCUCCGGCGAUCGUCGCCGGUGUUUGGCUGCUCCUCGCGGGCCCCCGAGGGUGGGGAUGGAUCCGCAAAGUUGAGGCGGUCCUCCCGGUAGUCGUUGGGUCGGCGGGGACGGGAUGAGCUGCCGGCGGCGAGCUCCUCGGCGGAGGAAAGCUUCGGGGAAAAGUGGUUUUCGGGGCGGCGGUGGUUCUCGAUCGAAAUGGAGUAGGGGGAAGGUUUACGGGAGGAUGAGGGGGUUCUUGGUGGAGAGAACGGAGAGUGGGAGGCCCUGGUGGUGCCGAAUUGGCCGGGGCAGUGGUGGCGGCUGCCGUUGCCGGAGAUGAGGAAGAAGACCUUCCUCGAGUCGAUUGGCUGCCAUGGGAGGACUAGGGGAGCACUCUAAGGCUUCCUGUGACCGGGGUGGCUCGGGGGCCUCCUUUUAUAGCUCGUCGAGGUCGGUUCCGCGGCGGCCGGAUAAGCUCUCCGGCGAACCGCCUCGCUGUAGCUUGCAGGGCAACGUGGCGUGGCUGGGGAUGACGGCAAGAGCUAGUGGGCGAGAGUGCACUGCUCCAGGGGCAGGUGGCGAGUGGGAGUGGCUUGGGCGGCACCGACAUGGCCAGAGGCUGUCGGGCGGCGGCGGCGGCUAGCGCUUGGCUUGCCGGGCGUGGCGAGGGGCGGCUUGGCGCGUAGCUGAGAGAAGGGGAGCGCGUGGCGUGAUGCUGCUGUGUGGGCCAAAGCCAGGGGGGCCAGUGUGUCGGCUCGGGCGCGCGGCUGCAAUUUGCGCGCUCUGGGCGCGCUCAGUGCACGCACGGGACAUGCUCGACGAAAUGCUAUGGCAUGUUAGGGGUCGCGGUUGAGGCUGGCAAUUAACAGACCCAGGUUAGGAGAAACGGGGAGUCUAGUGGACAUGUUGGUCUGGCCAGGGGAUUAAGUCCAUAGUGCAAACAAGGACUCAUGUCAAAACUGAUCAUGCCUGAAAGGUGUUUGACAAAAUGCCAAGGGCACUUAGGCAUUUCUUGGAGUGGCCAAAAUCUCCAGAUCAGUGUCUCUGUGGAUGAAAGAGAGGGUGGUGAUGUUAGUUGGUGAAAUGCACAAACUUGUUAGUGCAAGUCUAGCAGAAUUUCAAUUCUGGACAGGAAAUAAAUGGCAUUAUUUCAUGAACCAAAAUUAAUCCAAUGGGUGCAUGCUUCUGGAUUUAGAGGUUUAACAUGGGGGACUAGAAGUAGGAGAAAUAAUCAAGGGUUAAAGAGCAAGAAAAAACAUGGUUGCUGUACAAACCAUCAAGUUGGUCCAGAAUGAAAAUGAGGUUGAUUCACUCAAGUUUUUCAAAGAACAUAUAUAGGUUUUUGCACAAAGUGAAAUAAUAGGCUCCUACUGACCUCCCCUAAUUUUGGUAGAAGUUUUAAAGAAAUAUUUAAAUAGGUUGUAGUGCAAAAUGCACUCUGGACCAGAGAAGAAAAAUUUAGUGUAGAGCUCAAAAUAUUUCAUGAAUGAAAUAUAUUUUAGCAUAAAAGUGAUUUAAAAACAUCACAUGACAUCUCCAAAUUUUUGUGGGAAUUUUAAGUGAAUUUAUCAAAUGGUUGUAGUUCAAAUAUGGCCAUUUAACCUUGAAAAACUAUUUUUCAAUAAAACAAUGAUCAAGCAACUAAAUUAGUUAAUUAGUUAUAUUGGUAAAAGGAAAGUUUUUCUUGAGAGGUUAAACAAGUCCAACAACAUUUUUGAAAAGUUUUCUCUCUGGGAAAAACUCAUAAUAACAGGGAAGGAAAUGAUUUAAACAAAAAUCAAAAUGGAGCUCAAAAAUUCAAAGUUUUAAAUCCUGGUAAAAUUUUAUUCCAUUAAAACAAGGCCAAAAUUUUGGGGUGUCACACGGGAGCUUACAUCCCGCAUGGAGUCAAACUAUGGAAAACAAGUAUCCUGUAAAGGGUAAAAAAAGCUUACCGCGCUGGCUUGGCACUUUGCGCAGAAUCCACGAUCCUUGGUAAUGGGUGGGGGAACCUCGGAGCUCUUGAAUAGCACCUUCCAGGCAUCUUCGUGCGUUGUGUCGAACAGCCUGGACAAAGUUUGGUGCUGAGCCGGGUCGAACUCCCACAAGUUGAAAGCCCGUCGUUGACACGGGAGGAUCCGGCGGAAGAUCAUGACCUGGACUACGUUGACAAGCUUAACCUUCUUGUCCACCAAGUUUUGGACGCAGGUUUGGAGUCCAGUCACCUAUUCCGGAUUACCCCACGACACGCCCGUCUCUUUCCAGGAGGUGAGCCGUGUGGGGAUGCCAGAUUGGAAUUCGGGGGCCGCUGCCCAUUCAGGGUCACGCGGCUCGGUGAUGUAGAACCACCCCGAUUGCCACCCUUUGAUGGUUUCCACAAAGGAGCCAUCGAGCCAGGUGAUGUUGGGCAUCUUGCCCAACAUGGCGCCUCCGCACUCCGCUUGUCGGCCGCCCACAACCUUCGGCUUGACAUUGAAGGUCUUCAGCCAUAAGCCGAAGUGGGGCUGGAUGCAGAGGAAGACCUCGCACACGACGAUAAACGCCGAGAUGUUGAGGAUGAAGUUCGGGGCCAGAUCGUGGAAAUACAGGCCAUAGUAGAACAUGAGCCCCCGGACAAAUGGGUGAAGAGGGAAGCCCAGUCCGUGAAGGAAAUGGGGGAGAAACACCACCCUUUCAUGGGGCCUAGGGGUGGGGACGAGCUGUCCCUCAUCUGGGAGCUGGUGCGCAAUGUCGUAAGACAGGUAUCCGACCUUCCUCAGCUUUUUGAUUUGCCCCUCCGUGACGGAGGAAGCCAUCCACCUGCCUCCCGCUCCGGACAUGGUUGGAGAAGGUCAAGGUGGGAAGUGCGGACUUGGGCGCUGGAGCUCGAAUGUGCAGGAAUGGAUAAGCGAAGGAGGAGGAAGGCGUAGAUGGAAAGGGUGGAUCCUUAUCCCCUUAUAUGGGUGGCCGAAACUAUGUGCCCCCACCAGCCUAGUAAAACUCACUUAUCUCCCAAGCGUGGUGAUUAAUGGUGCGGUUGGGUUACCCACGCCCGUAUUGAUGAGAAUCCCGAAAUAAGGGGACAUGAUCUCUGCUUUGACAGGACGUGCCAAGGAAACCUCCUCGCUAAAUGCGCUGAGGUGGGACAGUAAAACAAUUCGAAUAAAGGCUUGGCUGUGGCAUGAUGUCACGCUGCAGAAUACGUCAGCAGAUUAGAUUUGUACAAAUAUUAUUCUCUCUACGGUGGUAUGUGGAACUUAUUUUGCAGAGCCGGACACUAUCCUUGUGUUCAACAUCUUCUAUGAAGUAUUUAGAGGAGGAACCCGCCUUGCAAUGCCGAAGACAAUUUGCGUGCCGGACUCGUUGUCAUUGAAGCCUGGUUCAAGGGCUACUGAGGGAGUCCUGGAUUAGGGGGUGUCUGGAUGGCCGGACUAUGACCUUUGGCCGGACUCCCGGACUAUGAAGAUACAAGAUUGAAGACUUCGUCCCGUGUCCGGAUGGGACAUUCCUUGGCGUGGAAGGCAAGCUUGGCGAUACGAUAUGUAGAUCUCCUCCCAUUGUAACCGACUCUGUGUAACCCUAGCCCUCUCCAGUGUCUAUAUAAACUGGAGGGUUUUAGUCCAUAGGACGAACAACAAUCAUACCAUAGGCUAGCUUCUAGGGUUUAGCCUCUCUGAUCUCGUGGUAGAUCUACUCUUGUACUACCCAUAUCAUCAAUAUUAAUCAAGCAGGAGUAGGGUUUUACCUCCACCGAGAGGGCCCGAACCUAGGUAAAAACAUCAUGUUCCUUGUCUUCUGUUACCAUCCGCCUAGACGCACAGUUCGGGACCCCCUAACCAAGAUCCGCCGGUUUUGACACCGACACUCGACAACAAGGGGCUCUUUGGGAGCAGCCCGAUCUCUCUUCUUAGUCUUUCUCUUCUUGGUGGGUGGUGCAUCAUCAGUGUGUUCAUGAGCAUGCGCUUUUUGGCUUCGGCUUCAGCUGCCUUGGUUUUCUUCAGUUCUGAAGCCACUGUGGGGACCUUAGGCUUCGAGCCUGUCAUGCUGGCAGGGAAGAGAAUGCGAGGUUCUUCCCGCCUUGGAGCUUCAGUUGGGGCCACAGUAGACUUCUUUUUCUUGGCAGCCAUCUUGGGAUCAAUGCCUGGACGCCCAAGUGCCUUGCGCUUCUCAGCUUCAUUGUAAGCUUGAACACAUUUGGCGGCAAGAUUGUUCAUGCGCUCUCUUGAACCUUUGGCUUCUUCGCGUUUUCCCGACCGACAUAGAUUUCCCGACCGACUACUUCUUGGUGAUAGGGUAUCUUUCCCGACCAACAUUCUGGUGGGCCUACCCUGGGCCUUUCCCGACCAACAGUCUGUUGGGGCUACAAUGGGCCUUUCGCGACCGACUAUCAUACAGGGAAUUCUUUCCCGACCAACAAUCUAUUGGGAUGCCAUGGGCCUUUCGCAACCGGCAAUCUGACAGUGUAUUCUUUCCCGACCAACAUUAUGUUGGGCCUAGCAUUGGCCUUUCCUGACCGAUUGUUACAGUUUUUUUCUACCGACCAACAUCCAUUAGUACUCCAUAAGUGGACAUAAAUUACCAAUAGAAUAUACAUCAAGUUACAGUGCAUGUCAUCCAAAAACAUUGAACCAGAUGCAAACAAUAACAUACAUUUCAUUAAUUUUCAGAUAUAAAUACAUCAUCUGUUAUGAACUAAUGAACAUCCAAGUUUCCUAUAAAACUAGUGGAACUAAUUAAGUAGAGGAAACAUUGUCACGACCGGUUUUCCCGGAUAUCAAUUUCCAGAAAGAGACCGUCGUGCUCAUCAGCCCCAGGAUUACUGUUAGCUGAUGAGGCUCCAACUUGAUACAGAAAUUCCAAGCAAAUACAAAAUAUGUAGUACAAGACCAUUAUGGUCUGUGAGUACAACAAAUGGUUUCUAGUGGUUGAUGGCAGAAGCGGGCUGUAAAUCAUCAGUGUCUAUGGGACUCCAUUUCCCACGGGAACAGCUGACCAGGUUAACUCCUAUCUUCGCGAGGCUGCUAUCACGGUUGCUUAAGUACCGGGGCUGUCAUCGUGUCGCUCCUCUUCGCGCAAGAAAUCUGGCCAAGACAAUAGCCAGGGACAAGCCAGUGAGUACUUUGAAUGUACUCGCAACCAUUAUGAACACACGAAUAAUAUAAUGAUGUGAUGAAACUAUUUUAUACUCAUGACGUCAGUCACAAAAUAUAAAUAUAACUCGGAUGCGUGUAAGCAUGUUAAUUAUGAAUAUGCAAUAACUUAGCAAUAUUAAAAUUAUGAAAUAAACAACAAAGAAAUGCCACAGUCGGGCGUCUGAGCGACACCACAUAAAGGGCUUUAAAAGAAAUGCCACAGUCGGGCGUCUGAGCGACACCACAUAAAGGGCUUUAAAGAAAUGCCACAUUCGGGCGUCUGAGCGACACCACAUAAAGGGCUUUAAAAGAAAUGCCACAGUCGGGCGUCUGAGCGACACCACAUACAGGGCUUUAAAGAAAAUGCCACAGUCNNNNNNNNNNNNNNNNNNNNNNNNNNNNNNNNNNNNNNNNNNNNNNNNNNNNNNNNNNNNNNNNNNNNNNNNNNNNNNNNNNNNNNNNNNNNNNNNNNNNNNNNNNNNNNNNNNNNNNNNNNNNNNNNNNNNNNNNNNNNNNNNNNNNNNNNNNNNNNNNNNNNNNNNNNNNNNNNNNNNNNNNNNNNNNNNNNNNNNNNNNNNNNNNNNNNNNNNNNNNNNNNNNNNNNNNNNNNNNNNNNNNNNNNNNNNNNNNNNNNNNNNNNNNNNNNNNACAGGGCUUUAAAAAGAAAUGCCACAGUCGGGCAUCUGAGCGACACCACAUACAGGGCUUUAAAAGAAAUGCCACGGUCGGGCAUCCGAGCGACACCACAUAUAGGGCUUUAAAAGAAAUGCCACAGUCGGGCGUCUGAGCGACGCCACAUAUAGGGUUUUAAAAGAAAUGCCACAGUCGGGCGUCUGAGCGACACCACAUAAAGGGCUUUAAAGAAACAAACAUAGUGAAUAUCCCGGAGGUAGAACCAUCCCAGGAGUAUUCGAUAAUACCAAAAAUAUCACGGGUUAGUCCACAACAAAAUAAUAAUCAUCAUUAUCAAAUGUCACAAGUUGUAAUAUCAGUCCUCAUGUAACAGUUUCACCUCCGAAGACCGACACUAAGACCGACACUUGACCCAUCCCAGGCUGUAGUCCUUAACCAUGGACAUGGCUAUUCGAAUAGGUUUAAUCUCUGCAGAGGGUGUACUCUUUACCCACGAGUAACGGAUUCCCUUAGUCCAUCGGUACUAAUUCCGUCUACGGUCUUUUAAAUGAAAACACACCUAACUUGCACACACCAGCUUAACUCACACGUGUCUGGAAUCACCCACGACACCUGUCAAGCAAACUCUAAGUGGGGAGGCUACAACCUCGAUUAGCAUGGGAUCACCAAAUUUAUACCGCGCGCAAAACUGGGAAAGCUACCCCCUCGGCUACAACCGAAAACACCCAUGCCCCCUGACCGGAUGACUGGCUUUAAUCCAUGGCCGUGGUACCCUCAUUCCGGCCCCUCUGUACAGUGUGUGCUAGAAAGGGGUUGACAAAUUACUGAGUCGUACUCUACUUGUUGUAGAGACGAGUGGUAGACGGAGCAAGUAUGGGGGUUACUGGAACAAGACUCGAUCUACGGUCGACUCAGGAGGUUUAAGUAUUCUCUGCAUGAUUAGCAUAACGAAUAUAUUUCAACCAACAGAGUCACCGCUCAUAUCACCUUACCAUGCCAUACCAGACAUAACCGUCCCGACGGAGACCGGCGACAAACUCGUGCCUACCCAAGACAGAGGUUUUCCCGGGUUCCUGCUGGUAUGCAUGUAAGGCACAUGAGGAUGAUUAUCAUCACAAGUGUGAUCAUUUCCAACAGCAUGGAAAUCACUAACAUGCACCCAUGCAUAUGAUCAUAUCACAUGAAAUAACAAGUUUCUCCAAAGUGAGGUGAAGUUAUAAACGUGUCAUCAAACACACAAAGAAUAUUAUGCCGGGGUUCAGAAUGCUUGCCUUCAGGUCAUGGGAAGGCAGGGUGUAUUUCAAACUCUUGAAAUACUUCUCCUCUCUUCAAAAAUCCUAUUUUUGAAAAUAUAAAUGAAUUAACACACAAAAUAAAAACAGCACAAAAAGUUUUUUGAAAAGUUUCCAAAUAAAUCUUAAAAUAAACUAGACAGGAUUUGAGAGAUGUAGGAAAAAGAAUCAAUUCAUUUGGAGUUAUAUUUAAAAAGUUAUAGCCAGUCAAACAUUUGGUCAAAAUCUGUUUUUUUUUAAAACAGAAAAGAAAAGAAAAACGCUUCGAACCGGUAUACGUCGAAGACGUACUUUGCAAAUACGUUACCACUUAACCCACGUGGACUGGCGCAAGGUCACUGACAGUGGGCCCGCCUGGCCCACUAGUCAGGUUUGACUAGUCCGCCUUCCUUCUUCUCCCUCUGUCCCGAGCGGAGGCGGAACUCCGGCGAUCGUCACCGGUGAACGGCGGGUCCCUGAGGGAAGCUGAGGGCGGGGAUGGAUUCGCGGGUCGAGGGUGAUCCUACUGGUAGUCGCUGGGUCAGCGGGGAUGGCGUGGGCUGCCGGCGGCGAGCUUCGCGGCGGAGGAAAGCUUCGGGGUGAAGUGGUUUCGGGGCCGCGGUGGUUCCCGAACGAAAUGGAGUAGGGGGAUGUGAUCACGGGAGGAAGGGAAAGUUCCUGGUGGAGAGAGUGGAGAGGGGGAUGCCUUCGUUGCGCCGGAAUGGCCUGGUUAGUGGCGGCGGCUGGAGUCGCCGGAGAGGUUGAAGAUGGCAUGCUCCCCUCCAAUUGGCGGUUGGGGGGCACUAGCGAGACGGUGUGAAGCUGCCCCCGAGCGGGCUUGAGCUUGGGUCUCCUUAUAUAGUGUGGCUAGGGUGGUCCGAGGCGGCCGGUGAUAAGAACAACGGCGAACUGCCGUUCUAUAGCAGCAGGGGGGUCGUGGCGACGACGAGAACUAGGGAACACGCUUGCGGAUGAGCACGUACUGCUCACAAGGGCAGGUGGCGAGCCGGGGUGGCUUCGGCGGCGCUGGCCUGAGUCAGGGCUGUCGGACGGCCAUGGCGGCUAGUCCUUGGCUUGCCGGGGACGCGGCGAGGCUCUGCUCGGUGUGUUGCGGUGAGUGGGGAGCAUGCUGCGCGCAAGGGGACACGGCGUGCCGGCUGCGGUCGGUCACAGGCUGGGGUGAGUGACGCGGCGGCUCGGGCGCCACUCGUGCAAUACGCGCGCUCUGGGCGCGUUCAAAGCACGCCCGGGAUGUGCUCGACGAAAUGCCAGGGUGUCCUAGAGGUCAUGGUUGAGGCUGGAAAGAACCAGGGCUAGUCUAGGUUUAGUAAGGGUAGCAAGGGACAUGGUGGUUUGGUCAGGAGACCAAGUUCACAAGGCCAAUAACAAUACAUGUCAAAACUGAUCAUGCACUCCAGGUGUUUGACAAAAUGCCACAGGCACUUAGGCUAUUCUUGGAGGAGCCAAAUCUUCCAGAUCAGUGUCUCCUUGGAUGCACAAGAGGGUGGUGAGGUUAGUUUGCAAAAAGGACUUCAAAUCUGGACAGGAUGUGAAUGGCAUUAUUUCAUGAACCAAAGAUAUGCCAAUGGUUGUAUGCUCCCGGACUUAGGGGUUUAGCAUGGAGGACUACAAGUAGGAGAAAGAAUCAAGGGCCAAAGAGCAAGCAAUAAUAUGGUUGAUGUACAAACCAUCAUGAUGAACCAGAAUGGAGAUGAGGUUGAUACACUCAACAUUUUCAAAGAACAUCAUUGGGUCUAUGCAUAUAAUGGAAUCAUAUGCUGCUACUGACAUCCCAUAAUUUUGGUGGAAGCUAGAAACAAAUAUUUAAAAGGGUUGCAGUGCAAAAAUGCCUACUAGACCAGAGAAGAAAAACAUGUGUAGCACUCAAAAUAUGCAAUGAAUGAACUAUAUUAUUGCAUAAAAGUGAUUUAGGGGCAUCACAUGACAUCUCCAAAUUUUGGUUGGAUUUUUAGUUAAAUUUAUCAAAUGGUUGUAGUACAAAAAGAGCUCCAAACUUAAAACAAGUCAUUUUUAAAGAAUAUAGCUCAGGGUGGAAUAAUUUAAUAAAUAAACCUACUGAUUAGGAAAUUGUUUUAAUGAGAUGCCAUAGAGGUUCAAUAUGUUUGGAAGGAUCCACUUGGAAAAAAAAUCCUUAAUAAUAAAAGAAAGGUUUUGAAAUCAACAGAAAUAUUCUUGCAGGCAAAAUUUGAAAUUCUUGGCAAAAUUUUAAUAACUAAAACCUGGUUAAAUUUUUGGGGUGUUACAAACAUUAUGGUUUAUUCCUUGCUUUAUUUUCUAGAAUUUGUUUUAAGAGGCACAUCAUCUGCCUUGGCUCCUUGUAGUGCGCAACUACAUACACAUCCUCUCAGCAUUCCACCAAGAUCCUUGUGUCGUUCUAGUACUUGACAUCAAAGCCUUCCUUCUACAUCUCAUUGGAGAACAUCCUCCAAUUUGAAAAUCUGCAAGUCAAAAUCCCCAGUUAAUAUUUCCACAUGAUAACUGGAGAACGUGAUAUUUUCUCUAAGCCGCCUUCAGUAUCAUUUCACACCAAAGCAACUAAAGAGAAUUCAUUAUCACUGAUGGGAAAAGGGUUCCUUUUGCUCCCCUCUUUUGUGUUUCCUGCAACUUCUUUUGAUAUAUCCUAAGAUACAUGAAAGAGUAAGAAAUCUAGAAGCGAAAGCAUUUGCUAAAAUGAAAGGAUAAUUCUCUUCAGGACAUGGGGGAUAAUGCUCUUUAGGCAAUUCCUGCAUAAAUGAAAGGUGUAAGAAAUUAGAUGAUUAAUAAUAGGUAGCAUCAAAAGCAUUUGCUAAGCAAUGAAUUUACCUAUGGGGAUAGGUGGAGCCUUCAAUAUUUCCAAAUAAGUGACAUGCUCAAAGUCCUCUGUUGUAGGCAAGCCACUUGCUAUCACAAACAACAAUUUAAUAUCUCCUUCAAUCGUUACUUCACCAAAAAACCAAAGCUCCAAAUCCUGGUAAAUGCCAUGGUAUGACUAGUAAUGUGAAAAAUACUCUGAAACAAGAAAAAAAUGGUUCUGUAAUCAGAGGAUGGAAAAUUACUUUCAUAGACCAUCAUAAGACACCACAAAAAAAUUAGCCUGACAAAAUCAGUUCGCCUAGACACUGUUAGAAAAUGCAGCAGAAAGAAAUUCUUAUACAAGAGCCACCUCUCGAAUGCAAAGGAAGUGAACUUUGAAGCCAAGAUCUGUUUGUGACCUUUGUCCACCAUGCUACUACAUUUUUCCAAAUCAUUCACUGAAAAACAACAGAAAACAAAACUUUAUGUCAAGCCUGCUAUCAAAAGAAAAAACAUGUGUAACCAGUUCAUGAAAGUACCUUUUAAAAAACUACAAAACAAUAAUGAAGCUUAAUUAACUGCUGCACAUAAAGAACUUUACUGCUUCAAGGGUUCUCUAUUUCCAUGAAUCAAAGCAGCAUAGAUUUCUUUAAAGAUAUUAUUAAACUUACGGUACCUUUUAGAAAACUACAAAACAAUAAUGAAGCUUAAUUAACUGCUGCACAUAAAGAACUUUACUACUUCAAGGGCUUCUCUAUUUCCAUGAAUCAAAGCAGCAUAAAUUUCUUUAAAGAUAUUAUUAAACUUAUGGACUAGUUCAAAUCUGCACACUACAGCACAUAGAGAGAGGGGGGAGGGAAGGGAGAGGGGCCAAGUGAGAGAGUGAGAUCUUACCGAUAUCGAUUAUAAUAAGUCAUUGGUAGGGAAAUCUGGUGCGUGGUGUAGUGAUUAAAUAAGUCUCGAUUAUAAUACACUAUCAGAAAUUGCAUUUUCUUUGCUUUUUGGAAAGAACACGGUUUGACGUUGCUGUUGCGCGCAAUUGGACUAUAGUAUUCAAAUGCCAACACAGAGGAGCAUCUCAUUCUCAACACAAAAGUAAUAAAUACAGAGAAGCCAAUAACCAUGUGUUAACACGUUAAUCCUUUGCUGAAAUCACCCCAACCCGCCCACCAUUUCCAUAACGAGCUGAUGGGUCAGCAGAAGUGUUUGUUUCUUCUCUUUAAAAAUAAAUAAGACAGAUUACUCUAUUGGCAUAGGCAAAGAAAACUAGAGUGUGUGAUCUUAAGGUCAGCAGAAGUGUUUGAAGCACUAUUUAUGUUUAUACAAUUCAUUAUGUAUAUAAAGAAUUGCCCACUACAUACCUUUUUACUACUUUUAGUUGUUCCUCCAUGACCCCACCAUUUUACCUUUAGAAUAUCAGCUCACCGAUCUGGUGUUCCUCUAGUUUUCAGUUUUCCACACUCAGAAUGCUAUAUGCAAUGGCAAAAGGUACAAAAAAAUUCAGAAUACUAGUAUAUUUGAAGUUGGGUCACAAGAGGUAACUUAAAAUAUGUACUAGUGAAUGUACAGAUUGUGAUUGCAAGAAAUAAAUACCUUACUCAUUUAUAGCAGCAGCAAAUCAUCCACUGUCACUAGUAGAAAAGGGGGCAUCAGUCCCGGUCACCCCCCUUUAGUCCCGAUUGUAACAGGAACCGGGACUAAAGGCCGCGGCCACGUGGAGCUCCACCUUUAGUCCCGGUUGGUAACACCAACCGGGAUUAAAGGAAAUUUUAUGAAUUUUUUUUUUGAAUUUUUUUUAAUUUUUUUAUUUUCAAAUUUCUGAAUUAUUUUAACCUCUAAUCUCUAAUCACCACCCCUCAUCACUGCUCAAUUUACCCUCUAAUCUCUAAUCACCCCUCGUCAUUCCAAAUCAUCUAACUUCCCGAACGGUCACCCAUCCUCUCACUACUCCAACCUGAGCACGCUUAACUUCCAGGUUCUAUUCUCACUCAUUUCCAAGUCUGCACUUGUUGUUUCCCUGACAAUAGUAAGAUGUCAAUCCUAUUAACCCUCAGGAAUUUUGCUUGAGCAUGAAGUGACACAUUUCACUGUUUGAGUUUGAAACUAUUGUUUUAGAAAACAAUAAUUAUUUAGUAACACUAAUAUUUCUUGAAUAAUUAGUUUGACCAUUGUUUGACCACAGUUUGACCGCAGUUUGACCAGAUUUGACCAAAAUUCAAAAUAACUGAAAUAAUUUUUUAGUAACACUAAUAUUCUGGAAUAAUUAGUUUGACCAUUGUUUGACCACAGUUUGAAUUUUUUUCGAUUUUUAGUAACUUUUUUCCUGUUAGGUUUUUGAGGAUUUUGAAAAUGUUUAACUUGGUUCCCUCGUUAAAUUCGGAUGUAACUUUUUGAGUAGAUGAUUUUUCAUAUAAAAAACAUUUUCAUCUGAGUUAGUAUGCAAAAGUUAUGCCCAUUUUACUAAAUUCUAGAGAGAUUUUGCAAAUAAAGUCGAAAUUCACAUUUGCAAAUUUUCCCAACAACUAGACCACAUAUCACAUGGGAAACUUAUUUUUUAAAUUUUUUUUGACAUUUUCAUCAUUUUCUUUUAUUUUUUUUAAAACUGAAAAGGCGAUCCCAGGGGGUGGAGUUUGAAAAUGGGACCUUUAGUACCGGUUCGUGCCAUGAACCGGUACUAAUGCCUCAAACCCCAUUAGUACCGGUUGGUGGCACCAACCGGGACUAAAGGUCUAACCCUUUAGUCCCGGUUGGUGCCACAAACCGGGACUAAUGGGCAUCGCACCCUUUAGUCCCGGAUCAUGGCACCAAUAGGGACUAAAAGGUCCAAACGAACCGGGACAAAUGGCCCACGUGGCCCCUAGGCGCACGAACCGAGACUAAUGCCCCCAUUAGUCCCGUUUCUGGACUGAACCGGGACUAAUGGGCUAACCCGGGGUGGACCAAAGCCCUCUAUUCUACUAGUGUGUUUGCAUAAUGCACCAGUAUGUUCUUUCCAUCAAGCAGCUGAAUCUAUCAUCAUGUGCCAAAAAUGUGCUAUGGUAAGGAAAAAGAACUGUGCACCUAUUAUUGCAUAUUAUCCUACAGGAACUUGACUUCUGCUAUACCUAAAGAUGUAGUGAAGCGCUAUUUUACCUAGUCGCUCAUCUUCUCCAAUGCCGAGAUGCUUCUCUUUCGAAAGAGAACUUGACGAAACUGUAUCCUUUGGAUGUCCUCGCAAGGGAUGUCAUAUUGCUUCCACUGCCAACUAGCACAUCAAUCAGCGAGAGGACAAACCUAACAAAAUCACAGGUCCAACAUCAAGAAGUUAGAACAGGUAUGUUAGGACUACCUUCGUGAACAUCUCCAUGCUGAGAGAAGACGUUGUCAAAUGACUCUAGUUGUCGGAUGUAUGAGAUACCAUCGACUUGCCAUGCUGCUCUUUGGCUCUAGCACUGCCUACCUACAAAAAAAGUUGGCAAGAAACAUAAAUGAACUUGAUAUACAGUUAACUUAAGUAAGAUACCCAGUACGUAGAUAACUCACUAGACUCACCAAUUGGUGGGGAGGCAGUGGCAAAAAGGGCGGGACAUCACUGUGCCACCCACCGGAAGCUCGUGAGUAGCCAGAAGCAGGAAUCCUUGUGCACAAGUGCCCUGAACAUAUAAAGAAAACAAAAGGCUAAUUGUGAUUCUGGAGCUAUUUAUUUCAUAGCAGGUUUAAAUAAGCUGAAGUUCUUGUUCUCAGAGCAUGAAGAUUAAAUAUAGACUUUUAUAUUUGUGACAAUUCUACAAUGCUCAACUGAAAGGAUGAACCAUUAGUAUGAUUAUUUGGACUUCUUGUGCAACUUGAAGGUAGUUCUCACUUCUCAGUGUUGUACUUUACAAAUGGAUCUUCAGUUAAGAUAUGCAAGCAAGACAUACAUACCAAGUAAUCACCACAUCAAGUCUGAGCUACCAGGAAUGGAUGCUCAAACAUACCACUUGGAGUGUUUAUUUUGUGACAUCGACGGAAAAAAUAUUGAAAGGCAUUACUGAAUAUAUGUAAUGCAUUUUCUGAUUUCUAAUUGUCAUGAUCAAGGGCUGUGGACCAAAUAUUUAUUGGCAUGGUAAGCAUGUAUUGUUACAAAUACAGUACAAUUACUGCUGUAAUUGAGAAAUUCAAUUCAUAAUUGCUGCCCUCUGAUGUCAAUAGUUUGGUUCGGUACUUCAGUUUAUUUCUAACCCAUGCAUUUUAUUCAGAGACAUUGUGCAAUAAGAUACUCAGUCACAAAGCAAGCAUCAUAUCAAUUUUGUAAUGUCCGCAAUUGGUGCCUGAGUGUAUUUUCAGUUCAGGGAUGUGCAUGUAUAUAGGUUAAUCUUAGCACAUCACUCAAGUAAAAGUUAAUUUCUGUAAAUUAAAAGAACCUUUAUCUUAUCUCGUUAUUAGACUGCAGAACAAAUGUGCCAUUGAUCUAUUUCCUAAAUUUGAAUGUUUAACUGUGUCAUUCUCUAUCUUACUGAAAACACAGAGAUGAAAUUGUUCUUAACUAACAGUCCCUUACCCAUGUGUAACCAAUUCGUCAAAAUACUUUUUAGAAAACUAUAAAUCUGCACACUAGGGUUUCAAAUUUGCACGCUGCAACCAGGCAGGGGGAGUGGAGGGAGAGACCACAAGAGAGGGAAAGAGACCUUACCGCUGUUGUUACCGCCAUGGAUGGCUACCUGUUGGUCACCGAAGGUUGGUUGGCAGAGAUGGAGGCACAUGUCGCCGGAAGCAAAGGGACCAGAGGCCGCCUACCUUGUUCUGGACCACCGGGAGCAAAAUGACCUUGACCCCUUCAGAUCUGGCACCAUGGGAAGGAGUGGAGAGGGAGGGAGGGGAGAGGGAGCCGGCUAUGGGUUGUAGCGGUGGCGCCAUAGGAGGGAAGAGUGAGGUCACCUCUCAGGACCAGCGGCGUGCGCGGGGAACGAAAGGAGCUAGGGUUUCGUGCGUGGGGAACGAAAGGAGCGUGGAGCGGCGGCGUGCUUGUGAUUUUGAGCAAGAAAACUUCGCGGGCUGGGCCGGUUAUUGGCGCUAAAGUUUGGCUAUUUGCAUGCGAGGCCCAUGUAGCAUCGGACUGUCGGUCGGGGAUAUUUACCGACCGAUGGUCUGUUCACCAUAAUACAAUUCCUGACCGACUGUUGGACGGUAUAUGUUGUAUCAUUCCCGGCCGAUAAUAGGUCACUGUACAUAGAUUGUCUCACUCACGGACUGUUAGAAAUUUUCGUGACUGACUGUGGGUCGGCAAUAGUGACUUUUUCCCAACAAACAUCGGUAGGGAAUUCUGGUGUGUGGUGUAGUGCAUCAUCGGAACCCCAAUCUUCAGAGUUGCGUUUAAUUAUUUCCAAUAAAUCCCAUUUGAAUUCAAUAGUCUUCAGCAUAUAAGAACCAGCACAGGAAGUAUCGAGCAUGGUGCGAUCAUUGAGAGAAAGCCGAGCCUAAAUUUUUUUAAUAAUCAUUUCUAUGGAGAGCUCAUGAUUGGGGCAUGAACAUAACAUUGACUUAAGCCUCCCCCAAGCUUGAGCGAUGCUUUCCCCUUCGCGAGACCAGAAAUUAUAUAUGUAAUUACGAUCACGAUGAACAAGAUGCAUAGGAUAGAACUUCUGGUGAAAUUCCAACUUCAAUCGCUUAUAAUCCCAUGAUCUCGUAUCAUCACAUAGCCUAAACCAUGUCAAUGCAUCUCCCUUCAAAGAUAAAGGGAAGACCUUCCUUUUGACAACAUCAUCGAGAAUACCUGCAAGCUUAAAUAAUCCACAAACUUCAUCCACAAAGAGAAGGUGUAAAUCGGGAUGCAAUGUUCCAUCUCCUGCAAAUGGAAAAGCUAGCAGUUUCUCUAUCAUACCCGAAGGAAUUUCAAAGUGAACAUUUUCAGUAGGUUCAGUAGGUUGAGGAGCAACUCUUUGCUCUACUGGUCAGGGCGAAGAUGCCCCGAACAAGCCUCUCAAAGGAUUAGUUUCCAUAGUAACAAGUAACAGAAAAUUUCAGCACACUAUAUAAAUGUUUCCUUACCAAGUUCCACUCACCAAAAGCGCUACACUCCCCGGCAACAGCGCCAGAAAAGAGUCUUGACGACCCACAAGUGUAGGGGAUCUAUCGUAGUCCUUUCGAUAAGUAAGAGUGUCGAACCCAACGAGGAGCAGAAGGAAAUGAUAAGCGGUUUUCAGUAAGGUUUUCUCUGCAAGCACUGGAAUUGUAGGUAAUAGAUUGUUUUGUGAUAAGAUAAAUUGUAACAGGUAAUAAAUAAUAAAAGUAAAUAAGCUGCAGCAAGGUGGCCCAAUCCUUUUUGUAGCAAAGGAUAAGCCUGGACAAUUUCUUAUAAUGAGAAAAGCGCUCCCGAGGACAUAUGGGAAUUAUCGUCAAGCUAGUUUCAUCACACUCAUAUGAUUCCCGUUCGUUACUUUGAUAAUUUGAUAUGUGGGUGGACCGGUGCUUGGUUACUGCCCUUACUUGGACAAGCAUCCCACUUAUGAUUAACCCCUAUUGCAAGCAUCCGCAACUACAACAAAAGUAUUAAGGUAAACCUAACCAUAGCAUGAAACAUAUGGAUCCAAAUCAGCCCCUAACGAAGCAACGCAUAAACUAGGGUUUAAGCUUCUGUCACUCUAGCAACCCAUCAUCUACUUAUUACUUCCCAAUGCCUUCCUCUAGGCCCAAAUAUUGGUGAAGUGUCAUGUAUUCGACGUUCACAUAACACCACUAGAGGAAAGACAACAUACAUCUUAUCAAAAUAUCGAACGAAUGCCAAAUUCACAUGACUACUAAUAGCAAGACUUCACCCAUGUCCUCAGGAACAAACGUAACUACUCACAAAGCAUAUUUAUGUUCAUAAUCAGAGGUGUAAUAAUAUGCAUUAAGGAUCUGAACAUAUGAUCUUCCACCAAGUAAACCAAUAAGUAUCAACUAUAAGGAGUAAUCAACACUACUAGCAACCCACAGGUACCAAUUUGUGGUUUGGAUACAAGAUUGGAUACAAGAGAUGAACUAGGGUUUGAGAGGAGAUGGCACUGAUGAAGAUGUUGAUGGAUAUUAACCCCCUCCCGAUGAGAGGAUCGUUGGUGAUGACUUUGGUGAUGAUUUCCCCCUCCCAGAGGGAAGUGUCCCUGGUAGAAUAGAUCUGCCAGAGCUCUAGAUUGGUUCCGGCAAGGUUCCGCCUCGUGGCGGCGGAGUUUCGUCUCGUAAGCUUGCCCACGAUUUUUUCCAGGAUAAAAGCCUUCAUAUAGCAGAAGAGGGACACCGAGAGGCCACCAGGGGGCCCAGGAGACAGGGGUUAAACCCAGUAGGGGUGGGCGCACCCCCACCCUCCUGGACAGGAUGUGGGCCCCCUGAGGUAUUUCUUGAGCUCAAUAAUUCUUAUUAAAUCCAAAAAUAAGUUUCAUGGAGUUUCAGGUCUUCUGGAGCAGUGCAGAAUAGGUUUCCAAUGUUUGCUCCCUUUUCAUCCAGAAUUUCAGCUGCCGGCAUUCCCCCUCUUCAUGGUAAACCUUACAAAAUAAGAGAGAAUAGCCAUAAGUAUUAAUAUAUAAUGUGUAAUAACAGCCCAUAAUGCACUAAAUAUUGAUAUAAAAGCAUGAUGCAAAAUGGACGUAUCACACCCCGACACCGAUACGACACCCCGACCCCUGAAACCUCCCGAAGAGGUGCUCUUUGGCCUUCCAGAGGCCGACGGGGUCAUAUAUUUGUGAAUUAUGAGUUAGGUCAUAUAUUUUUCGAUUUUGUUAUGAAAAACAUCAUAUAUAAUUGUGUUGAUCAGGUAGAUUUAAAUGUGCAGUUGUUUCAUCGCUGUGAGGUUUGGUGUUCGACGACCUCGCCGUGCGUUUGACGAGCUCUGCCCCUUCAUUCGUGGGUGAGCACAAAUGACAUGUCCUCCUCCCCUCUUAAUUAUUUUCUCUAUUCCGGUGUUCGUGCCGAUGAAACUUGAUAGCUAGCUAUAUAUGUGUCUUGAAUCAUCAGUAUGCGUAACCAAUAUGUGUCUCCCGUUCGAAAGCGUUAUAGUUAUAAGUAUGCACGCAUUUGCAUAUUUAUAACCGUGAUUCUUUCCAAUUGUCCAACGCUAUGCAUGGACAGCCUGAGUAUGUGUAGAUUGGGUUCGUUUUCCCAUAUGUUUUGCUCCGAGUCCGACGCAUAAAUUUCAUCAGUGCCUCCCCUGUUGUUCUCCGGGUACACAUCCUCUCUGUUUAUUGCAGAGACGUGUAUCAGGAGAACAACGGGGAGGUGUUGCCGAAAUUUUGCGUCAGAUCCCAAGCAUAGCAUGGGAAAAUGAACCCAAUCUACACAUACUCGGGUGGGAUUAGAACCUAUCAUUACCUAUUAGAGUGUAGGUUGCAUGGACGUAAUAAAAUUGACAAAGUAGAUCAACAGAUGAAUACAUACAUGGUGAAUUAUAUAUAUAUAUAUAUAUAUAUAUAUAUAUAUAUAUAUAUAUAUAUAUAUAUAUAUAUAUAUAUAUAUAUUUGUUGUGUGUCCAGUAGCUCCGAAAGUCAAGAUGAGUGAUCAUGAGUGGAUGUACACCGGUCACACUGGUCAGAACAAAUGGAGCGUUGAAUGGUUCAUAAAAAACAAGGGGUUUGUGCAAGCCGCAUUUGCAAAUGGCCAGAGGAAAACCUGGUGCCCCUGUUUUCGGUGCGGCAAUUGGGAAAAGAGGACAGAGGCUGAAAUGGGCAAACACCUGUAGAAGAGUGGUUUCACGCCGGAUUAUACGGUCUGGACAUAUCAUGGUGAUUCUGCCCAACGUGACCGAGUUGAGGUGGAUCAUCAUCGCACCGACGAGCAUGGUACCGGGAUGGAAAACAUGGUGCAAGACUAUGAUGAUGCUCGGGAUUCGGAUGAGGAGAUGGAGGAAUCUGCAAAGGCCUUCAAUGAAAUGUUGGAGUCUUCAAAACGUCCGCUCCACGAGCACACUGAGCUUUGUCAGUUGGAUGCCAUCUCACAAGUAAUGGCUCUGUAGGCUCAGUUCAACUUGGGCAGAGAAUGCUACGACACAAUGAUGACAGUAUUUGGACGCUUUCUACCCAAAGGCCAUGUAAUGCCUGCAAACCUGUACCAGUCGGACAAAAUCCUCCGUGCACUGAAGAUGCCCUAUGAGAAGAUACAUGCCUGUGAGAAAGGAUGUGCCUUAUUUAGGCUUGACUAUGCAGACUUGAACUAUUGUCCCAUUUGCAAGUCUUCCAGGUAUGUUGUGGUAGACAACGGUAUGGGUGAGAAGACACAGACCAAAAUCCCCCUUAGUGUUCUUCGGUAUAUGCCAAUCGUACCAAAUGGAAGGUGUGCCACAGCAUCAAGGCAACUCCAGCUUAUAUCAGUUUGGGCGGAAUUGGGUAUGUGGUUUGCUUCAUGAUUCAUGCAAUUCAUUCAUCAUGCUAGCUUGAGCCCUUUAAUUACUAAUUUACUUUGUUUCUCUCUUUCAGGCAUGCUACAAUAAGACGGAUAAGGUGCCAGAGGUGUACGACAUGUAUGCCAUAGCCCACACUGCCUCUUACAAGAAAGUCAAGGGGAAGGCGAGGAAAGGGGAGGACUUUAACCCGAGCCAGGGUCCCAUUGAUCCAGAGCAGGUGAUGAUAUCUGGUGGCGGGAGGUCCCAUGGCUCGAUAGCCAUUGGAGAUGUGCAGUUUGUGUGCGAGAAGUCCAGUCAGACCGCUCCACUGAUGCCAGAGAAUGCUCCUGGGACCACGGUGAGUUUAAUUUGAAUGGACGUUACUUGCUAGUCUUAACAUUUGAGUGUCAUCAUGCUAACGAGACAUUGGAAAUGAUCUUUGGUGCAGCGUAACUCCAGACAAGCAUCACACAAUCCUUCUCCAGCUACUGGCACGAGCCAGCCCGCUCCUACACCUCCAUGAUCACGGUAAGUUUAUCUAGUGUUUUUCUUAACAAAUGCAUAAAUACCUAGACUUAGCUUUAUUUCCUCCAAUAUUCUUACCAUAAUGACCUAAGGUUAGCUUCUUUUCCUCCAAAAUGACUUAAUAAGCUUACUGACCUCCAAAACCAGCCAUUUUACCUAAGUUAGCUCUAAAACUAUUUAUACUUAGCUUUGUUUCCUCCAAAAUGACCUAAGUUAGUUGUAAUAUGUUUAGUUAACUAGGUUUGCUCAAUAAUGACAUGUACUUAGCUUACUUAUGUCAAAAAUGACAUAAUUAGCUUAGUUAGCUCAUAAACGAUCCAUUUUACCUAAGUUAGCUCUAAAAUGACCCAUUUUACCUUAGUUAGCUCAUAAAUGAUCCAUUUUAUCCAAGUUAUCUUUAAAAUGACCCAUUAUACCUAGAUUAUCUCCAAAAUGAUCCAUUUUACCUAUGUUAGCUCUAAAAUGACCCAUUUUACCUAGGUUAGCUCCAAAAUGACCCAUCUUACCUAGGUUAGCUCUAAUUGAUGCAUUUUACCUAAGUUAGCUCAUAAACGACCCAUUUCACCUAGGUUAGCUCAUAAACGAUCCAUUUCACCUAAGUUAUCUCACAAACGAUGGAGUGCUUCUUCUUCUAGUCUUCUUCUUCUAGUCACCUUUUCCUAACUUUCUUAUUUUCCAUUUUGCAGAUUUCAUUCACUUCACGGAAGCUAGCUUGCUAUGAUGGAGUGCUUGUUUUUUCUUUCAUUCUCUUCUAGUAUUCUUCUAGCUUGCUAUAAUGGAACUUGCUAUCUUCAUGAAACUUUGCAUUGUAAUAUGUAUGUGCAACUUGCUAAUGGUUGCAACUUAUGUGUAUGUGCAACUUGCUAUGUAUGAGUGGAUGGAACUAUAUAUGUAUGUACGAUGAAACUUAUGUGCUGGAUAUGUCAUAUAUAUUUGCUAUGAAAAUUGUUGGAUUAAGAAAAUAGAAAAAAGAGGCAAUGCAGGAUCUUUGCGGUUAGCAGCUGAUGGCAAAGGCCCCUUUGCCGUCCGUCGCGGACGGCAAAGAAGCCACAUGGUGGCCACCUGUGCUCCCUGGGAGCUGACCCAUUUGGCCAGUUUGCCUACAGUGGCAGACGACAAAGGAUCGCCACAUUUCCCUACAGUGGCGGACGACAAAGCCUUGGUGGGCAGUGACGUCCAGCUGACGUCAUUCGGCGGACGGCAAAGGCCUGAUGCUCUUUGCCGUUAGCGGCGGAUAGCAAAGACUUCUGUUAGCCACCUAACGGACUAACAACGUAUUUAUUGCCGUCUGCUUUUUGAGGCUGACGGCAAAGGGUCCUUUGCCAUCAGCAGCGGACGGCAAAGAAAGCAGAUGGCAAAGUAGCUCUUUGCCAAUCUAAUCUUUGCCAGAGCCUUUUGCCGUCCGCGGAAGACGGCAAAGGCCUUUGCCGUCCGCCAUCCUUGCCUUUGCCGUCCGCCGUGGCUGAUGGCAAAGUAGCCGAUUCUUGUAGUGAUUUGCAUAUCUAUUUUCUAGAUCAAUGGCAUGUGCCACUGUUCCCUUGAAUUUUAAUGCAUUCCUAGAGAAAACUAAGUUGAAAGAUGAUGUUAGCAACUACGCGGACUGGGUCCAUAACUUGAGGAUUAUCCUCAUUGCUGCACAGAAGAAUUAUGUCAUUGAUGCACCGCUAGGUGAAAGGCCUGCUGCAGGAGCAGAUGCUGAUGUUUUAAACGUCUGGCAAGCUCGAUCUGAUGACUACUUGAUAGUUCAGUGUGCCAUGUUUUACGACUUAGAAUUGGUACUUCAAAGACGUUUUGAACGUCGUGGAGGAUAUGAUAUGUUCCAAGAGUUGAAGUUAAUAUUUCAAGCAAAUGUCCGGGUUGAGAGAUAUGAAGUCUCCAACAAGUUCUAUAGCUACAAGAUGGAGGAGAAUAGUUCUGUCAGGGAACACAUACUCAAAUGUCUGGGUAUCAUAAUCACUUGACUCAGCUAGGAGUUAAUCUUCCAGGUGAUAGUGUUAUUGACAGAUUUCUCCAAUCACUGCCACCAAGCUAUAAAGGCUUCAUGAUGAACUAUAAUAUGCAAGGGAUGGAGAAGACAAUUCCCGAGCUCUUCGCAAUGCUCAAAGCUGCGAAGGUGGAAAUCAAGAAGGAGCAUCAAGUGUUGAUGGUUAACAAGACCACUAGUUUCAAGAAAAAUGGCAAGGGAAAUAAAGGGAACUUCGAAAAGAAUGGCAAGCAAGUUGUCACUCCCAGGAAGAAGCCCAAAGCUGGACCCAAGCCUGAAAUUGAGUGCUUCUACUUCAAAGGGACUGGUCACUGGAAGCAGAACUGCCCCAAGUAUUUGGUGGAUAAGAAGGAUGGCAAAGUGAGCAAAGGUAUAUUUGAUAUACAUGUUAUUGAUGUGUACCUUACUAAUGCUCGUAGUAGCACCUGGGUAUUUUAUACUGGUUCGGUUGCUCAUAUUUGUAAUUCGAAAUAGGAGCUACGAAAUAAAUGAAGAUUGGCUAAGGACGAGGUGACGAUGCGCGUCGGGAAUGGUUCCAAGGUCGAUGUGGUCGUCGUCGGCAUGCUACCUCUACAUCUACCUUUGGGAUUAGUUUUAGACCUGAAUAAUUGUUAUUUUGCGCCAGUGUUGAGCAUGAACAUUAUAUCCGGAUCUUGUUUAGGGCGAGACGGUUAUUCAUUUAAAUCAGAGAAUAAUGGUUGUUCUAUUUAUAUGAGUAAUAUCUUUUAUGGUCAUGCACCCUUGAAGAGUGGUCUAUUUCUAUUGAAUCUCGAUUCUAGUGAUACCCAUAUUCAUAAUAUUGAUGCCAAAAGAUGCAAAGUUGAUAAUGAUAGUGCAACAUAUUUAUCGCACUGCUAUUUAUGUCAUAUUGGUGUAACACACAUGUAGAAAAUCCAUGCAGAUGGACUUUUGGAACCACUUGAUUAUGAAUCAUUUGAUACUUGUGAGCCAUGCCUCAUGGGCAAGAUGACUAAAACUCCGUUCUCCGGAACAAUGGAGGGAGCCAAUGACUUAUUGGAAAUAAUGCAUACCGAUGUAUGCAGUCCAAUGAGUGUUGAGGCAUGCGAUGGGUAUCGUUAUUUUCUGACCUUCAUAGAUGAUUUGAGAAGAUGUGGGUAUAUCUACUUAAUAAAACGCAAGUCUGAAAUAUUUGAAAAGUUUAAAGAAUUUCAGAGUGAAGUGGAGAAUCAUUGUAACAAGAAAAUAAAGUUUCUACGAUCCGACUACAGAGGCAAAUAUUUGAGUUACGAGUUUGGCCUUCAUUUAAAACAAUGCGGAAUAGUUUCACAACUCAAGCCACCAGGAACACCAAAGUGUAAUGGUGUGCCCGAAUAUCGUAACUAUACUUUAUUAGAUAUGGUGCGAUCUAUGAUGCCUCUUACCGAUUUACCACUAUCAUUUUGGGGCCGGGCUAUGCAUUAGAGAUAGCUGCAUUCACGUUAAAUAGGGCACCGUCUAAAUCCAUUGAGACGACACCGUAUGAAUUGUGGUUUGGCAAGAAACCUAAGCUGUCGUUUCUUAAAGUUUGGAGUUGCGGCACUAAUGUCAAAAGGCUUCAGCCUGAUAAGCUCGAACCCAAAUCAGAGAAGUGCGUCUUCAUAGGAUACCCUAAGGAAACAAUUGGGUACUCCUACCACAGAUCUAAAGGCAAGAUCUUUGUUGCCAAGAACGGAACAUUUCUAGAGAAGGAGUUUCUCUCGAAAGAAGUGAGUGGGAGGAAAGUACAACUUGAUGAGGUAAUUGUACCUUCUCUCGAAUUGGAAAGUAGUUAAUCAUAGAAAACCAUUCCCGCGAUGCCUACAACAACUAGAGAGGAAGCUAAUGAUGAUGAUCAUGAAACUUCAGAUCAAGUUACUACCGAACCUCGUAGGUCAACCAGAGCACGAUCCGCACCAAAGUGGUACGGUAAUCCUGUUCUGGAAGUCAUGUUACUAGACCAUGGUGAACCUACAAACUAUGAAGAAGCUAUGAUGAGCCCAGAUUCGGAUAAAUGACUUGAGGCCAUGAAAUCUGAGAUAGGAUCCAUGUAUGAGAACAAAGUGUGGACUUUAGUGGACUUGCCCGAUGAUUAGCGAGCCAUAGAGAAUAAAUGGAUCUUCAAGAAGCAGACUGAUGUUGAUGGUAAUGUUACUGUCUACAAAGCUUGAGUUGUCGCAAAAGGUUUUCGACAAGUUUAAGGAGUUGACUACGAUGAGACAUUCUCACCCGUAGCGAUGCUUAAGUUUGUCUGAAUCAUGUUAGCAAUUGCCGCAUUUUAUGAUUACAAAAUCUGGCAAAUGGACGUCAAAACUGCAUUCCUUAAUGGAUUUCUUAAAGAAGAGUUGUAUAUGAUGCAACCAGAAGGUUUUGUCGACCCUAAAGGUGCUAACAAAGUGUGUAAGCUCCAGCGAUCCAUCUAUGGACUAGUGCAGGCAUCUCAGAGUUGGAAUAUACACUUUGAUGAGUGAUCAAAGCAUCUGGUUUUAUACAGACUUUUGGAGAAGCCUGUAUUUACAAGAAAGUGAGUGGGAGCUCUAUACCAUUUCUAAUAUUAUAUGUGGAUGCCAUAUUGUUGAUCGGAAAUGAUGUAGAAUUUCUGGAUAGCAUACAAGGAUACUUGAAUAAGAGUUUUUCAAUGAAAGACCUCGGUGAAGCUGCUUAUGUAUUGAGCAUCAAGAUCUAUAGAGAUAGAUCAAUACGCUUAAUAGGACUUUCACAAAGCACAUACCUUGACAAAGUUUUGAAUAAGUUCAAAAUGUAUUAGUCAAAGAAAGGAUUCUUUCUUGUGUUGCAAGAUGUGAAAUCGAGUCAGACUCCCCAACCAGUGCAGAAGAUAAAGAGAAAAUGAAAGUCAUUCCCUAUGCCUCACCCAUAGGUUCUAUCAUGUAUGCUAUGCUCUGUACCAGACCUGAUGUGUGCCUUGCCAUAGGUCUGGCAGGGAGGUACCAAAGUAAUCCAGGAGUGGAUCACUAGACAGCAGUCAAGAACAUCCUGAAGUACCUGAAAAGGACCAAGGAUAUGUUUCUCGUUUAUGGAGGUGACAAAGAGCUCUUUGUAAAUGGUUACGUUGAUGCUAGUUUUGACACUGAUCCGGAUGACCUUAAGUCACAAACAGGAUACAUAUUUAUUUUGAAUGGAGGAGCUGUCAGUUGGUGCAGUUCCAAGCAGACCGUCAUGGCGGGAUCUAUGUAUGAAGUGGAGUACAUAGCUGCUUCGGAAGCAGCAAAUGAAGGAGUCUGUAUGAAGGAGUUCAUAUCGGAUUUAGGUGUAAUACAUAGUGCAUCGGGUCCAAUGAAUUUUUUUGUGACAAUACUGGAGCAAUUGCCUUAGGAAGGAAUCGAGAUUUCACAAAAGAACCAAACACAUCAAUAGACGCUUCAACUUCAUCCGUGAUCAAGUCAAUGAGGGAGACAUAGAGAUUUGCAAAAUACAUACAGAUCUGAAUGUAGCAGACCCGUUGACUAAGCCUCUUCCACGAGCAAAACAUGAUCAACACCAAGAUUCCAUGGGUGUUAGAAUCAUUACAAUGUAAUCUAGAUUAUUGACUCUAGUGCAAGUAGGACACUGAAGGAAAUAUGCCCUACAGGCAAUAAUAAAGUUGUUCAUUUAUAUUUCCUUCUUCAUGAUAAAUGUUUAUUAUUCAUGCUAGAAUUGUAUCGAUCGGAAACCUAAAUACAUAUGUGAAUACAUUGACAAACACUGUGUCCGUAGUGAGCCUCUACUUGACUAGCUCGUUGAUCAAAGAUGGUGAAGGUUUCCUAACCAUGGACAUGUGUUGUCAUUUGAUAACGGGAUCACAUCAUUAGGAGAAUUAUGUGACGGACAAGACCCACCCGUUAGCCCACCUGUUAGCUUAGCAUAAUGAUCAUUCAGUUUAUUGCUAUUGCUUUCUUCAUGUCAAAUACUUAUUGCUUCGACUAUGAGUUGAUGCAACUCCCGGAUACCGGAGGAAUGCCUUGUGUGCUAUCAAAUGUCACAACAUAAAUGGGUGAUUAUAAAGAUUCUCUACAAGUAUCUCCGAAGGUGUUUGUUGAGUUGGCAUAGAUCGAGAUUAGGAUUUGUCACUCCGAGUAUCGGAGAGGUAUCUCUGGGCCCUCUCGCUAAUACACAUCAUAAGAAGCCUUGCAAGCAAAGUGAAUAAUGAGUUAGUUGCAGGAUGAUGUAUUAUGGAACGAGUAAAGAGACUUGCCGGUAACGAGAUUGAACUAGGUAUGAAGAUACCGAUGAUCGAAUCUCGGGCUAGUAACAUACUAAUAAACAAAGGGAAUUAUGUAUGUUGUCUAAUGGGCCAAGAGGAGAAACACACCAGCCACGAGGGGCUGGUGCGCCCCCCAUAUGGGCCGAACCAAAGGGAGAAGGAAAGGGGGGAAGAGAAAAGAAAGGGGGGGAUUCGGCCUCCCCUUCCCUUCCCUCCUCCUAUUUCCUUCCCCCUCUCUGAUAAAUAAGGAAGGUGGGGGGGGGGGGUUAGGAUGAACCCAAGUAGGAUACGGCCCUACUUAGGGCGCCUCCUAGCCUCUCGCCUCCCCUCCCACCUAUUUACAUUUGGGGGGUGGGGGCGCCCCUAGCACACCCCAGACAAUUGCCUAGCUUUGUGCGGCGCCCCCCUCCACCGUUUACACACUCGGCCAUAUUUUCGUAGUGCUUAGACGAAGCCUGCGAGGAUCACUUCACCAUCACCGUCACCGUGCCGUCGUGCUGACGGAACUCAUCUACUACCUCGACGUCUUGCUGGAUCAAGAAGGCGAGGGACGUCACCGAGCUGAACGUGUGCAGAACUUGGAGGUGUCGUACAUUCGGUACUUGAUCGGUCGGAGAUAGAAGAAGUUUGUCUACAUCAACCGUGUUGUCAAAUGCUUCCGCUUAUGGUCUACGAGGGUAUGUAGACACACUCUCCCCCUCGUUGCUAUGCAUCUCCUAGAUAGAUCUUGCGUGAGCGUAGGAUUUUUUUUUUUGAAAUUGCAUGCUACGUUUCCCAGCAUGUUGGUGGUUACAUCACCUAGUUGUUGAUAAUUUUAGUCUGUUCUAAAAAAUUGGUUAUGUUAAUUUUUGAGUGCAUCUAACUUCAUAUUUGAAUUUUAUGAGAUUUGGUUUAGCAGACAUGCAUUUGUCAAUCAAAAAAUUUGUACCUCAAAUGUACCGCCCCGGCUAAGUUCAAUUCCUAGAUCCGCCAUUGACCGGGAUAGAGGGGGAGAGAGCCCCCCUCCUUCUUCUUCUACUUCCUUGACCUCACCCCCUAGAUGGGAGGAAGUUUUCCCCUCUGGUCCAUGGCCUCCAUGGAGGUGGAGGGGCGGGAGCCCUUCCGAGAUUGGAUCUAUCUCUCUGUUUCCUUCUGUUUCUGCGUUCCUGUUUUCUGGCCUUUCACCAUUUCUUAAAUUCUCGGAGAUCCUUAACUCCGAUUGAACUGAAAUUUUAACACGAUUUCUUCCGGAUAUUAUCUUUCGUGCGGUGAAAUAAGGGCAUAAAACCGCCUUGCGGAGGGAAGUAAAGAGACAAAGUAGCAUAUUUUUCAGAAAAUACAAGUAAAUGGACACAAGUGUCAUAGAAAGCAAAACGAAAAUUGGAUUCACUGUUAAACAGGAAAGAAAAUAGUUUUCAGUGUCAAAUAGGCUAACAGAAUUGAAAAUAGUGUCAGAUAUGGAACUCUUUCAUUGUAAUUCUGCAUCUUUCAAAUGAAACUCUCGCUUAUCCCUCUAGCUAGCUAGUUUGAUCCCUCCUAGCGGGACACAUGCACGUGUGCAGUAAGUUUGAUCCACGUCCUAACCGGACACAUUCACGUGUGCAAGUGCAACUAUAACUUUUUGAGUCAUGUGUAGCUAUGUGUACUAUGGAGAAGUAAAAACAUUUGAUCAAUUGUAUGAGAGGGAUGCCUCCCAGAAGGUGUCUGUUGGGAAAGAGAUGUCUCCCUAACACACCCUUAAACAUGUAUAUAAGUGGGUUUCCCACGUUGCAAUAGAUCUAAGAGAACCAUUUGUGUCUCUACUUUGUCUCUUUACUUUGAUACUACAACAUCUACAACCCCAACUUUCUUCCUAGCCGGACCCAGGCACAUGUGCAUCCAUGAUUUGUUUGAGCGGUCAAAAUCAUACGUAGCUCCGUGUACAACUUCUAAGUAUUUAUUUUGUGAAAGAAAUUCCUUUCCAAGUAGGUGAAAUUUAAUGCACUUUAUGUACAUAAUUUGGCUUGUGGGUAUCCCUUUUAUCUUUAAUCUCAAUCAUUGUAUUUAAAAUUUAUGGAGUAUAUAUUUUAAGCAUAUGUGAACGAACUUGGUUGCCUGUUUGUCUUUUCUUUUAGCAAUAUACGUAGUAGAUAACUUAUUAUUAAGAACUUGCACUUACAUUUCAAACAUAUAAACCUAACAAAACAUACACAUCACAGCACACGUAGCACUACACACAUAUAUAGUACAAUAUCGUAUCAUCUGUAGAUACAGUACCAAAGUAAUUUAGGGCAGAUCCAGCAAUGCAUCCAUCCAUGGCAUCAUCGUUCGCACAGCCAGCAUGUGGGUGCACAUGCAUGGAUGCAGCUUAUUUAAUUUGCACAUUACGCUACGCGUCAUAUGUAUACCCAGCGCGUAGACUAUAUGAUACUCCCUCCGUUCCACAAUAUAGUGCCUAUAGAUUUUAGUGAAAAACAAACUUUGCCAACUUUAACCAAAUGUAUAGAGAAAACUGUUUACAUCUACAAUACCGAAUAUGUAUAUUCUGAAAAUUUAACUUAGGAUGUAUCCAAUGACGUGCAUUCGGUAUUCUAGAUAUACCUACUUUUCUCUAUAAACAUGGUCAAAAUUUGUAAUGUUUGACUUUUGUAAAAAUUUAUAGGCACUACAUUAUGGAACGGAGGGAGUAUACACUAACUACAUGACUGGAUAGGCACUGUACAUGGCGAUGCCACACAGCCCGCGGGGCCCGUCGGCUCCCCUGCACAUGAAGAAGAAGCCCUUCUGACCCGACGUCUGCCGCCGUGAGUUCUUGGCGAUCCAGUACUCUUCCCCAGCGACGGUGACUCCAUAGCCUACGAUUGUCACCACGUGGUUCUGGCUGGUGGUGCAAGGCCCCUUGUACACGCCGGGCUCGUAGUUCUGCAGCACGGAGCUGCUCCCAUCGUUCGGGACGGUCACUGGCAUCCUGAGCACGGCCAGGGCCAGCGCGCCGUCGUUGCUCCCCGGCUGCACCUCCUGGACGCUGGUGAUCUUGUCGAUGCGUCGGGCAGCGUCGUGCACCGCGCAUCUGCCUCGUUUGGCCAAGUAGGGGUAUUAGCCUCCGUAGGGAGGCCGCCUUUUGAAAUGAAAAAGAAUUAAUGGAAAAAACAAAAUUAAAAGAAAAAAUAAACCCCUAAAACCCCUAAACCUUUUAGUCAUGGUUGGUGUAACCAACCGGGACUAAAGGCCCCCAGCCCCCCGGUGCGGGCUCGCGCCACGUGGUGGGCCUUUGGUCUCGGGUCGUGACGAACCGAUACUAGGUGGGGGUGGGGGGGGGGGCUUUACUCCCCAUCCUUUAGUGCCGGUUGACGAACCGGGACUAAAGAUCGUCACGAACCAGGACUAAACCCCGAUUCUGCACUAGUGCAUACACGUGUGCAAGUGCAAUUAUAAGUUUUUUAAUCAUGUGUAGUAUUGAGAAAUAAAAACAUGUGAUCACUUGUAUGGAAGGGUGCCUCCGAGAAGAUGUCUGUUGGGGAAGAGAUGUCUCCCCAACACACCCCUUCGGCAUGUUUAUAAAUGGGUCUCCUACAUUGCAAUAGAUCUAAGAAACUAUUUGCGUCUAUUUACAAAUGCUCCUGCAUUGUUUCAAGCACUCAUGAAUGAUGUGUUCAAGCCCAAACGAUUUGUGUUGGAUUAUUAAGAACUUGCACUUACAUUUCAAACACAUACACCUGACAAAACAUAGACAUCACACCACACGUAGGGCCACACACAUAUAUAUAGUACUAUAUCGUAUCAUCUGCAGGUAUAGGGUGCCAAAGUAAUUUAGCGUAGAUCCAGCCAUCGGUAUCCGUGGCAUCAUCGUUCCCACAGUCAGCAUGUGCGUGCACAUGCAUUGAUGCAGCUUAUUUUAAUUGCACAUUACGCUGCGCGUCAUAUGUAGUAUACCCAGCGCGCAGACUAUAUGAUAUAGUACUAACUACAUGACGGGGUAGGCACCGUACAUGGCGAUGCCACACAGCCCGCGGGGCCCGUCGGCUCCUCUGCGCACGAAGAAGAAGCCCUUCUGACCCCACGUCUGCCCCCACGAGUUCUUGGCGAUCCAGUACUCU
rnacentral:lncRNA from 1 species